rnacentral:lncRNA from 1 species
UGGAGUUCUGCAUCUGCUUGCUGCUCACAAUCCUUGGCUAUGUCCCUGGAAUGAUCUACGCGAUUUACGUCCUUGUUGCUCUCGACUCUGACCGGCACGAGAGGGAAUACUAUACCCUUGCGUAGCCCAUUUGCUUGUGUCACGCCUAGGAGCUUUGCAGUGCAUAGUAGAGUCAAGUUGCUAUUUUCAUGUGGAUUAUCAAGUGGUCCUGUCCGGAGUCUGGUCUUUCUUUCCUCUCUUGUGUCGCUUGACAGUCAUAUUUCAGUCUGUUAAGUACUCGAACAGUGGUCCAGUUUAUCCAUUCUGUAAUUGUGAUGUGAGAGAAUAAGAUGGACUCCUAUUUCUGAGAGCCAUUGUGAUUUAUGAUUGGUGCUAUCAUGCAAUUGUACACUCUCAAUUCUCCCUCCAUUCUCAUCGAUAUAAUGGUCGAUAAUCUUUUAUUGCUUGAGUUGAGAUGAUGAUGUCUACAUGAGCCAUUUGUUCAUGCUUUAUCAGCCUACCAAUUUCAUUGUCGAAGAAAUGCCUUACUUUGUAACCAUGCUACGCCGGAUCGCAUAGUUUGAGCAUGGCAAAUUCGUGGCACUGGUUUUCUUUAUAGCUGCAAUCAACAUUUACAUUGUCGGACACUGAAAUUCGAGGUUAUUCCGCCCUGGUGUGUGGUGAGCUGCUGGCACCAUUUUUUUUACGCAAAAUGCUGGUUAUCCACAGCUAGUGAAAAACUUGUGUUGUGCAGAAAUUCAGAUUUGUCUGUUAUUCCGACCUCUUGACUUUGCACAUAUCGUCACUGAGAUAAACUAAGAGUGUUUGCCGAACCUUGCUGCAAUUGAUUCUGUCACUCCGCCGCGCUGCCGCGAGCGUGAUCCGUGCUUUCCGAACGACAUCUUCAUAUGCCGACGACGGUUCCGCGCGCAGCCUGUAAAAUAGAGCCAAAAAUGCUUCGUUCCCGGUGCUGAAUGUUCGUGCCCAUGUGCCGCCCAGCGAUUCUGCUAGAUCGCGAGCCACCUGUGUAGAUUGCGCGCAGCCGCUCCGGGAGCUUUGUUUAUUGGCGCUUCGGAUUGCAGGGAUCCUGUCUGCGUUGCUGUACGGAGGAGACGCUGCUGGUAAUCUGCGACGGCGAUAUGCUGGCUGAUUCAGGUGGCCCCGUAGUGGGCGCGUUCGGGGCAGUAUCACGUCUGAUUCGCUCCUGCGCUGUUAACGCCACUGCUUCUGAUUUUGUCGUCGCGUUUGGGUACUCCACGGGUUGGCUGGCGUCAUCGGUGACCUAGAAGUUGAGGAGGGGAGGAUCAGUGAGAAGAUACGCGUCGUUGGUAACAAGAAUCAGAGCGUCGGGUUUGUCGUUCCAACAGACCCCAAGCACGAACGAUGUGCAGCCAACUAUGUUAGCCACUGGCAUCUUACAUCUUUCUACUAAUCAGCGAGUCAGCAGGCUGCAAGCCGCCACGAAGCUGCUGAUUCGUUUCCGAAUCAGCCGAGCUUUAGCUCCUGCAUUUGCAUCUGCUGCGCCCUUGCUCUGUCGGCAGGAUGCGCUGGGCGGGGACAAAGAAGAAAAUGGAGCCAUCCCGAAGAAAGAAGAUGAUGAGCGUUGAAUGGACCCAGCCCAAUGGGUGGACUUGGAGAAACAUGUUCCCCACGGGCGGGCCCCCGACCGACGAGCUCUGCAGGUUUAAUCGUGCUGGGCUUUACAGACAGCAACGCUUGGAGAGGCCCGACCGAGUAAUAAGGCCCAUCCUGAAAAAAGGUCCAGGUCCCAUCAGGGAGGAAUCGGGAAGUUCAGUGAAAAAAUCAGCUGAAUUUUGAGCGCGGCGGAGGCGGCAGGCCAUCGUGGUCGGCAUCUCAUUCCCCGACCCCGAGUCGUCGAUUGCGGCGUGGAGGGGGCGCAUCUGAUUGGAUCCGCCAGGCGCCAGCCUACGGGGUUUCGAGUUUGACGGUCACGAACGGCUCCCGGCCUUGUCUGCCUCACGGUCAGGUCAGCAGUUAGGUACUACGGGUCAGAUGGCCGUGAUCCCGCCGGAUCUGAGAGCCGGAACAAUGGUCAGAAAGCAUUUUCACGCCUGCUCGUGCUGUUUCAGCGACCGCAUGAAAGAGGCCGUGUUAUGCGGCUACCACGAGGAGAGCCUCGACAGGGUCAGUGAUUACAUGCCCCCUCAUCAGUCGUCACGUUUCUUCCCAUGGCAUCCUGGCCCUACACGCCUCGCUAUAAGCUGAGCGCACCGAACAUGCGCAGAACAGCAGCAGGGGUUCCAUCAUCCGUGGCAUCAUCGGAUGUUCCAGCGAUGAUUUCGGUAGGGCAAGCAAGAACGCUCGAUGGAAACGAACAGAGAGUGCCCGCUACUGUUUGGAGCUUUUUAAAGGAUGGUCAGGAACGAUAACCCAAAGAAAGCUUGCUCGUCAGGUGGUUUAUAUGGCACCACGCCAGAGCGGUCGGCGGGUUGUCCAAGGGCGGUGCCUUGUGCCGCUGCUCGUCGGGGAAGCUCGACAUGGACUUGACGUCUCCUUAGACCAUACUCCAUUUCCACACAAUCCGCGCAGCAGAACUGUGAACCGAGGCAUGUGGGCGUGCGGGUGUGGCUGCCACUUUUACUCAACCUGAUCCGAUUCCUAGGCGCACUCUCCUCAGCUCAGCUCGGCACUGACUUGGAUGCCAUAUUCUGCAAGCAACUGCGGCCUGCGGGUAGGCUGGCCCUUCCCGUCAGGGCAAUGCUAGCUAAGCUGAGCUCAGGAAGCCUUGCUACGGCGCAUCACUUUUCUAACCUUAUUACCUUGCAUCAAAACUGUUCAUCUGUUACCAUCCGUCUUGGAAGAAUACGUUUUUUCUACAUGAGAAAAGAAAUCCAGUCGUGUUUAUAGUUGCUUCUGUUCACCUGACGUAACCACCCAGACACGAAUUACGGUCUUGUUUGGCCUUUUUUGUUACCCCAAAAUCUCAACUUUGACACUACGAAAAAAGAAAAUUCCCCAUCACAUCAAAUUUACGGUACAUGCAUAGAGUACUAAAUAUAGACGAAAUAAAAAACUAAUUGCACAGUUUGGUUGUACUUUGCGAGACGAAUCUUUUGAGCCUAAUUAGUCAAUAUUUAGACAAUAAUUCACAAAUACAAACGAAACGCUACAGUAUGGUACAGUACUGUCACAAUGAUUUAACGCUAUGGCACAAUGAUUUUGGUUGUCCAAAAUCAGGCAACUAAACGGGGCCUACUAUGCUUCGAUGUCGGCAAAGCCAGGUCAGUAAUCUUGCCAGACACAGAGUAUGACCACGACCACGUCCGACGUCCCUGAUUGAGGCGGGCAGGUUUCUUCCAGCACCGCGAAUGGUGGCGGCACGAGCUCGCGGCAGCCAAUAGCGGCCGGUUGCCGUCCCGAAUGGUCAAACCGUCGCAGCAAUGAUAGAAUAGAAUGGAAGCCGCAGCGUUUUCUUCAGUUUCGUUGCGAAGCGGACAAGGGCGCGGCCGCGCGGCCGGCCAGCGGAAGAAAGAAAGAUGCCACGCCAGCGGCCACCAACCGCGGGCAAGUGGAAACCGAAAGCGAGGUGGGGCGGCGCGUGGGCGGACGGGACGGGACGGCAUCAUGGAGGUCGCUACCACCAACCGCGGGCGCCCGGGGCGGGGGCGCCUGCCUGCCUGCCGCGCGCCGCCCGCUGGCUGCCGUGGAAAACGAGGGCACCCCGCGCCCGCUCCCGGCUCCCUCCCGCAUGCGGUGGGUUCCACCGCGCUCCCACUACUUUCCCCCACCCCGCGCCGCGGUGCAGUACCGUCCACCGCGCUGCUGGCCGCGCCAAUAGCCGCCGCUGCGCGCUGAUUCGUGAGCCCGGGACACGGGAUCCCUCCCGUGAUCUCCCUGCCCGCGCCGCGGACGCGUCCCCGUUCCACCCCCCAACCCCGCGCGCGGCGCGCCCGCGGUCUCCGCUGCGCCGUGUUCGCGGCCGCGGGGCCGGAUCCGGUCAGCGCUGGCGUCACGCCCCACUCCGCGGCCGCCCCACCCCGGCGCCUGCCUGCCUAACCUAUGCUAUGCGCUCCGACGCGCGCCUCCACUCCACCCCGCCCCGCCCGGCCCACCGCGCGCGCCUCGCUGACGGCCGGGGCCCCGCGCCCCUCCACCUGGCGGGCGCGGGCAGUUGGCGCGCCGGGCGCACGCGGGCGGUGGGAGGAGGAGGCCGGGAGGAAGAGGACGUUGGACGGGCCGAGCCGUGGGGCCCCCGGCCGCCUCCCCGGUUCCCGGUCUCCCACUUUCCGCGGCUGCGCUCCCCCACCUCGUGCAGUCGUGCUCUCUCUCUCCCCCUUUCCUUCGCCCCCGCGUAGACGAUUCCUACCGAGCCGCGGACGGAGGAGACGGAGCAGGAGGCCAGGAGCAUUUUCUCCCCGCAAAAUCCUGCGCCCUUCUCCUGUGCAUUUGGGAGCUCGGCUCGGAUCCCGCCGCCCCCAUCCAGCCAUCCUGCUCUCUCUCUCUCUCUGUGUGUGUGUGUGUGUGUGUCUCGUUCUAGGCCUUACUGUUCUCUCUCAGUCACCGCCAGCUCGAUCUCCUCUUCCUCGCCGCGUUGCGUUCCUUCUGCUCGCUUGCCUAGGAUUGGAAUAGGACUUGGCACGCGGGCUUCUUUCCGCUGAAAUCUCUGCCGUGUUCCGAGCAAUUUCUGCUCGAGCGCGCCAUCUGUUGCCACUUGCCAGCAAAAAAACAGUGGAAACCGCCUUGCCUUUCUAGUGUAAGCAAGCUUUCACCUCCCGGAAUUUGCUUCUUUUGGUCAAUCUUUUCGGGGCUUCCAGGUCUCAGCAUCACCAGUGCCCCUUUUGCCGCGAUCUUUCUGUCUGAUCACUGCAGUUUAAGCUCGGAGCACCUCCUUUUCAGACAAUUCAGUCCGCUAGCUGUUGAUCCCAUGCGGCGGUAGCUUCAGCAAAGAUCCUACCAUGCCGCAGGCUCCUACAGAGCCGUUCGCCGUGGCGUAGCUGUAGCCUCGCUGACCCCGAUUGGCCUGCGCGGGCUCCGAGAUUCGGAUUCGGGUUCCUUCUUUUCGGCUCCCGCGCCCGCCAUGAACGGCCUCCCCGACGCCGACGCUGCGGCGCCGCUGGCGGCCGCCGCGCCACCGCAGAAGCGCGACGAGUGGAGCGAGGGCGGCAUCGUGCGCCUGCUCGAGGCCUACGAGGCCAAGUGGCUGCUGCGGAACCGCGCCAAGCUCAAGUGGAGCGACUGGGUCGACAUCGCCCGGGAGGUGUCCGCGCAUUGCGCCGACGACGCCGCGGCCGCGGGGAAGGCCCCCGGCGGCGGAGGCGGCAACAGCGCCAAGACCCCCAACCAGUGCAAGAACAAGAUCGAGUCCAUGAAGAAGCGGUACCGGGCCGAGUCCGCCGCGGUGGCGCGCGCAGGCCCCGCCGCCGCCGGCCCGUCGUGGCGGUUCUUUGCCCGUAUGGACGGACUCCUUAAGGGUCCGGCCAUCUGCUCUGGUCAGGUGCCACAGGCAGAGUUGGGUAACAGUAUAGACCUGCGAGCUCCGGCGAAAGCAGAGGCCGAGGUAGUAGAAGCAGAUUUUGCCGCGCAGUUGCCGGAUGCGGGUCCUGGUGCAUUCUCUGAUCUGAUGAACAUUGACACAAAUGGCGCUGUCCCGGAGAAAGCGGAGAAGGUUGACAACAGCGUGCAGAAGGAGAGCAGGGCUGCAGAUAGCGAUGCCAACGUGAGCUCUCCAAGGAGUAAGGUGGCGAACGAGGACGUAGAGGAGGUGGACAAGGUCAGGGACCGGCCCAAGAAGAGAAAGAGCACAGAGUUUGAUAUAGCCAAGAGCAUCGAGCUGCUGGCUAGCUCAUACUUGAAGAUUGAGCACGCCAGAAUGGAGAUGUACAGGGAGACAGAGAGGAUGAGGGCUGAAGCUGAGAUUAAGAAGGGGGAAAUGGAGCUCAAGAGAACAGAAAUCAUGGCAAAAACGCACUUGCAGAUCGCUAAGCUUUUUGCAAAGAGAUUGAAGGAGGGCAGUGGCAAGACUGGUGGCAGCUCGUCAGUAACAGCUGAAGUGGACACCCAUACCAAGAAAGGCGAGAAUGGUUAGUGUCGACACAACAUCCCGAUAACAUGUUUAUAAUUCUGCAAAAGUUCCUAAAAUUCGAGAUAAUGGAUCAAUAUGUAGCUUUCUCUCUGUGAGAGUGCCCCAUUUGCUAAGUCUGUACCUCUAUGUCUGUUCCUGAAAUUCAUGAAUAGGAUGGAAACUUCAGCCUAAAUUAAUUAUAGCAGUCAGAAGUUGAUUACUAUGUAAAAUUGUAGGACACCUUGAGAAUUUGUGUAGUGGUAGAAGUGUAACAUUUUCAUUUUGCAGCUGUUGUCUGCUUUUCCUUAUUCGUAUGUAAUUGUUAGCAAUCCACAUGUGGAUCAUCAUUUCCCCAUUAAAGACUGAAACUACCAGUACGAAAUAUUUAUGUCUGCUAAAACUUCACAAUUAAGACUUCAUGUGAAUUCUCCAUUAACAUGAAGUCUUAAUUGGUAUUGUGAGUUAAGAUCUUGCCAUAUUACAUUGGCAUAUGUGCUUAUUUAGAUAUUGUUCUGGGACCAUAUUUUCUUAUUUCUUUACUGGUGAUAGAAGGGAUUGAUUGCAGACUGAUAUAAAGAUUUUGUUUCAGAAUGCAGAUAUUGCUGCAAGGAAUAGAAUACAAUUUUACCUCUUUCACAACCCAAGAAAAUACUUUACCUAAAUAAAAUGAUCACAUAUGUUCCGAACACAUGUCAGCUGAAAUUCACUACUCAAAUACAGUGCCCCAAUAAAAUGAUCUUUUAUUGUGCAAAAUAAACUGUAAAUGUUUAAAACCAUCUAAUUGCUCCAUAUGCAUGCUUUAGCACUUUUGAUUGGUAAUGAUUUGUAUUCAAGUGCAAUUCUGAAAUUUGUACAUCCCAAAAGCAUAAUCUAAAAGAGUGAUCCCAUCAUUCUGACAACAUUCAGGUGCUAUUAAUAGACCGAGCUUAGUGGUUGUGUACUCUAGGAAGCAUUGAUGUGUCAAUAAUAGGCUUAAAACGUUGAAGUUUAGGGUUACUUCUUGUUUCCUCUGUAUUCAGGUGAUAUUUUUAACUUUCUAAGAAGAAUCCCUUCCCUAAUGUAUGUAACCAAGAUUGACCUAAUAGACGUCGAGGUAUGCUUGUUUUAUUAUGAAUCUGUUCGCCUGCUAGCCUAUAUGAAGAUUCAGCCACACAUGUCAUAUUGAUGGCAUUGUGCUAGCACUAUGAUGUUUUACUGUGUUACAAUAAAAUGAAAAAUAGGGCUCCGAAGUUCCUGAAGGAUUUGCAUUGAGAAGUUGUAACUGCUCUGAGUGAUUUUUGUUCUUGUGUGCUUAUUCUUUUUUGGUUCAGUACCUACUCCUAGUGUUUCUGUCACGGUUACCAUACAAAAUCUCACACCUCUCAAGCUACUCAGAUGUUACAUUGUCUGUUCCGUGGCCCCAACAAUAUUAUUGUGCUGUAUAAGGGACUGCAUUCCUAUAUCACAACUCUUUUACUGCUGCAUAAUAUUCCAAUUUCAAUUUGGAUUCGGAAAAGAGAAUUCAAACUACAGCUGUGCUUGUUUAAUUAUAGAACAAAUUUUGUUUGUACCAGAAGCAAUAUACUGAAUUUUGUACCUGCAUUGUCCACCUUAUAUUGUUUGCUGUGGCCAAUUCUCUUUCUCAACCUUGGACAUGUGAAUUUCAGGUUCAGGGUGAUGUGCCAUUCUCUCAUGCUCAGCAGCUGAUUCUAUUACCAAAGCAGGCUAGCCUUAGGUGUCCUUGGUAUUGCACUGUUCAUGUGCACCAAAUGUAUGUCUGAUUGAUCCAACUUCACUGCGAGCGUGGAGAAAAAAAAAAAGUCACAAAAUUAGAAUACAGAUGCUAUAAUGGCAGCGACGAUAUGGUUGUUACCCGGUUUGUGGAAUUACAGAAGCAAAUUUUGUAUCAGUGAGUUACAAGCCUGAAAGCUAUCCCCUUCUGUCUCUGAAGUAAUCUACUGACAUCCAUUAUUUGUAUAAGUCCAUCUCCAUGUUGUGAAGAAAUGAAGCAGCGGUCGCCAAUGCUGUGAUAAACUGUAUCUUGCUGAAGCCCUUUCCCCCUUGACUAUGUAUUGUAACUAGAUUUUGGAGAGUUUGACUAUAGGGAUCCAAUUCAAAGGUCGGCUAAGUGAAGAGCAAGUAUAAACUGAACUGUACAUUUUUUUGGGAAAAUUAUAAAAAUGACUUGUCUUGUUACUGUUACUACAGUAUAUUUAAACCGCUUCCUACUGCAAUGGUGACAGACGAGACGAGGCGGUCACAAUUGGCAAAGAAGCUGCCGUGCAAGGUAAGGUCUCACCGUAGUGUAGGCGGGGCAGGGUAAAAAUGUGAGAAGAAGCAAUUCUCAGGAAGAAAAAAAGAAAAAAAGAUUGGCGAUUCAAGAACUGAAAAACUCGAGUGCUCGGAUGGCCUCAAACCUUACAUUAGUUUGUUUCUAAUUCAUGUACGGGUAUUUAGAUUCCCCUCCAGAAAUAAUAUUGCCAGUUAAAGUACUUUUAUUUGAACUAAGUUAAAGUACUUUUGUAACGGAAAUACUAGUAACCACAGACAUACAUGUCCCCACAUGUCAGUGGCCUGUUACCAGGCUGGGAGGACUCCUUGUGUGGCCCAAGCUUUUAACAACCGGAUGUAUGCGAACGCCGAACGGGCAGUCACCACUUGGUCCACCCUCCUCCUCCCUCUGUCCCCUCUCUGGCUAAAAGAACCGCAAAAAGAUCGCAUUUUUUCUGCCUCCGUCCUUCUACUCGAGUUCUUCCGUUCUUCGGAGUCGUCAAAUUGAGCGACUCGAGUUUGCCAUGGUGGUGAUUUGGAACCGGAAGUGCUGUGCUCCCCCUCUGAUCCCCUGAUUGGCCUCGCUCCAGUUCGGCGCGGGAUUUGGACGGGUGGAGGGUGGGAGAGCAGAGGCGGCCGCCAUGUUUGGGUCCAGGGUCCAGGAUGAGGUGGAGAUGCAGAGGAGGCCUAACAACAGGUGCGGGCUUCAUUCCUUAUGGCUUUCCUUUUCCUCUGCGAUGUAUGGUUAGUUCUGAGUUCUGACCAUGUGGAUCCCCUGUUGGAAUGGAUGAGUAGCUGCUAGAAUUUUGCUGAAUUAGGAUUGACUUUCGUUAGCUGUACGGGGAGCGAGAUUUGGGUUCGAUUCUAGUCGAGAGGAGAUAAGAGGUGGUGGCGUAUAGCUUGCACAAUGGGUUCUUCACUACCUCUAGGAAUUGGAGAGGACCAAUUUGAAGCUUUGAUCCCGAUUUGAGCCUGGAUUUUAGUUGCUUUGCUGAAGAGAGGGGAGGGAUGAGCCUAGGAUUGAGAUUGAGAGAGCUUUGCUGGAGAUCAACCGGUCAAGUCCAGAAUAACGCUUUGGUGCUAAUCGGACUAGAUGGUUUUGGUGGGCAUGUCAGAAUCUGACGAAGUUUGUGAAAAUUGCUGAAUAAAUGGAAAGCAUCCACUGCAUUUCAUUUGUUUAAGCUUUUUUUUCCUUUCAUUUAUAUUCAGCUUCAUGUACAAGCUUCUUUGUCUUUCAACUAGCCUGAUUCCCAUGCAACUGCGUGGGCAAAAUUGAAUGACACAGUCUACAUAUGAUUAUCUACACUGUUAUAAUCUGGCAUGCAAAAGUAAGUGAUGUAGAUCCUUUUCUUUUUCUCUUGAUUAGUGAUUGUGAAGGAGAGUUUCUAGGGUUUUACCUUUCGAUAGAUUCUUGUGGGAAUUUCUAACCCUUAAAGGGAAGGAAGCGCCAACCAUCUAUGGGUAUAUAGAUGUAUCAUGAUGAACUAAUGGUUAUAGCCUAUGUGGGUGGAGAUGGUUUUUUUUGUGGGAUGCUAUGUUCAGAUGAUAAUUCUGUUGCUACUUUCUUUCAAAGCACUCUAUUUUAACCCAAAAUUAUGUUGAUCAUAUUGACACAUUUUACUAAUUCUUCUAAGUUUCUGUUCUAUCUUUAGGAUCUUUCCUGACGAGAGACAAAAUCAAUCUAAGCCAUUAUAUCAAGCUGCACGAGCCGAUAGAUUUGGGGCAAAUAGAAUAGAUGUGAAGAAUCCUGAGAAGCUUAAGAUGUUAAAUGAAGGCAGCAAACCAUGGCACCAGCGUAUUCUAGACCCUGGAAGUAAUAUUGUACUGAGCUGGAACAGGGUGUUCCUUGUGGCAUGUUUGUUUGCUCUUUUUAUCGAUCCUUUUUUCUAUUACCUUCCAUUAGUUAGAGAACACGGUAAUGGAUCUUCGUGUGUUGCCAAGGACCAGGGACUGAGCAUAAGAAUCACCGUUCUACGAUCACUUGCUGACUUGUUUUACAUGUUGAACAUAGCAAUCAAGUUUCAUACUGCAUAUGUGGAUCCAAAAUCCCGAGUCCUUGGAAAGGGAGAGCUUGUUGUGGAUAUUAAGAAGAUUCAACAAAGAUAUUUAAGAACUGAUUUCUUUGUAGACAUACUUGCAGCUGUGCCGCUUCCACAGGUAAAGACCUCACAAAAUUAAUUUGCAGCAGAUCUCGUUGCAUAAAUUAAUUGCUUAUCAUUUUCUUAUUUUUCCAUUUCUACUGGUAUAACAAACAGCUGUUGUUUAUAUAUGUUCGGUAGCAAUAACAUAUACGUACUCUUUUGAACUAAACUGGUUGAGUAGCAUCUAUGCGUCCAACUUUGGUUAGAUUCUUUUGGUAGGCCUCUGGGAUGAGCCCAUACCAUUAGUUCCCUUAAUAUAAAAGGUUAUUGAAGGAAGUCAUCUGGCCAGUGCUUCCUGGUAAUGUUACUAUUUCCUAUCCUAGCUAAUUGUUGUCAGUAACCAAAUAUACCUCCAGAUUGUGACUUCAAUAAGGUGGAGCCAGCUAGCUUUCUACCUGGUAGAGCCAAAAGACAAUUGGUUUGAUCUUUUUCAACUCAGAUCAUGUGUAUCAUCUGAAUCUAAUUAACGUCCACUUAGAUCAUAAGAAAACAUUAAAAUUAUGAAAUUUUACUGUAAUAAGCUAUCUUAGCCAAAUCCUUGUAGAACAUUUUUGCCUGUGUAGAUGAAAUUUUGAAUGAUGAUUAUCACAAAUACCGAAUACCCAUGACUUGGUUUGCUAGUUCAAACUUCUGUAGUGAUGACUUGAAUCUUUCUGGGAUGCCUUUGUUUUGCAGGUUACUGUGUGGUUAAUUAUGCCUGCGAUAAAAAACUCAGAUUAUAACGUCCGGAACACUGCAUUUGCUCUCAUAAUUGUGAUUCAAUAUGUCAUAAGAAUGUAUCUCAUCGUCCCUUUAAGCAAUCAAAUUAUCAAAGCUGUUGGAGUUGUUGCAAAGUCAGCUUGGGGAGGAGCAGCAUACAAUCUUCUACUCUACAUGCUUGCAAGCCAUGUAUGGUCAUCCAUUUCCAAUUUCACUUAUAAAAUUGCUGGGAUGCUAAUUUGAAUCAAGCUUUAUUUCAGCUUAUUUUUGUCCUAAGGGAUAUGCAUGAUUUAUUUGCUAUUUAAAAUUAAGCUUGCCUUUUCUUCAUAUGGAACCUAAAAUCAGUGUUAUAUUCUAUUUUUCUAUUUAUAUGCAUGCUUUAUAGUGGCAGGGCACCAGCCUGUGAAGGCAACCACCGAGCGGUAUGGUUUGGGCCCUCCCAUCUGGGGUAGUUGCACGUGAUUGCCAGUCCCCUAUAGGGCCCAGGUUACGAUGCGGCCCAAUAGUGUUUGGGGGGUUUCUGGGCCUGUAGAAGGUUGAUUUCCUUCUUAAUCGAAAUACCAUGGGGGCGAUCUUUCCCCCACCGUUCGAGUUUCUUUUUUACGCUGAUAUGACAAGCAUAUCGAUUAUCCUAGGAUGCACUAGAAUUCAGUCUCAUGAAACACUAUUGGAGUAGAUAUGCAUGUGAGCUCAAUUGUGAGAAACAAUGCGACCACUAUCAUCUUGCAUUUUUUUCGUUACACUUUUGUAUGCUUGAUACUAAAAUAAUGUCACUUAUGACUUGUGUACAUCGCUGCAGAUUACUGGUGCAAUAUAUUAUCUUCUCUCCAUCGAACGGCAGAUUACGUGUUGGGAUCAGCAGUGCCUUGCUGAGUCCAACGUUACAUCUUGCAACCUUAGAUUUAUAAGUUGUGAGAGUGAUGGUUCUAACAGUUAUUCUGAGUGGCAAAAGAAAACACAGAUAUUUGUCAACUGUAAUGCCAAUGACAAUUCUAUACGAUUUAAGUACGGAAUGUUUUCUAGUGCACUGAGUAAAGGCGCUGUCUCAGCUUCAUUUCUUGAGAAGUACUUCUUUUGUCUUUGGUGGGGCUUGCUGCAGCUUAGGUAGUGAUCUAUCAAGAUGUUCUGUUUUUUUUAAAGAUCCAUCAAGAUAUUCUAUCACCUUGGGUUAUGUAUGUCUCUAAUACAAUUACUAAUGUUAAGGUCUGUGUCUAUUGUCACCUUUCCAGUUCAAGCGGAAAUCCUCUUCAAACAAGUGCAUUUAUCGUAGAGAACGCAUUUGCGAUAGCAAUUGGUGCUAUCAGUCUCAUACUCUUUGCUCAGUUGAUUGGCAAUAUGCAGGUAAUGUCAUAAACUCUCACUUCUGUAGUGCAAUAAGAUGUUUUGGACUUGACAGUUCAUACUUUUUAUGCCCAUCUUGCCAAGUUAAUCCUAGGAUUGAAUUAGCAUGAAUAAUUGCAUCAUGUGUUAAAUUUGUAAGCAAUUUUGAAAACUGAACUAGUUUGGCAAAAUUAUCAUGUAUUCAGUUAUAUUAUGAUGAUAUGUGUUAGGCUAUUUUAACUUUCUGUCAUUUUUUUGCUAACAAGCUAGAGGAUAACUUCCAUUUCAUGGUUUGAAAUUUCUGCUAAAAAUAAGGCUAUUACUGUUUCUGUAUUCAGUGAGCCAUUUUUCAUAUUGAUAGACCUCUUGAUGUCUGAUUCAGAGAUCACUUUGUAUUCUUUUCUUCUUUUAGACAUACCUGCAGUCUAUCAGUAAAAGGCUUGAGGAGUGGAGGCUGAGGCAAAGGGACAUGGAUGAGUGGAUGAGACAUCAUCAACUCCCAGCUCAUCUUCAAGAACGUGUCCGGCGGUUUGUUCAAGUUAAAUGGCUUGCGACACGAGGAGUAGAAGAAGAGUCCAUCUUGCAAGCUUUGCCUGCUGACAUACGCCGGGAUGUGCAGCGACAUCUUUGUUUGGACCUUGUUCGACGUGUAAGUUGCGGUUAUACUAUCAUCUCGCAGCUGAAUAAGUAGAAUUUUUAGCCUUUGAUUGUUGAUGGAAUGUUUACUGUAUUUGGAUGGAAAGAAACAAACUGUCACUCUGUUGCUAAUUGCAAUUGCUUCUAGUGCUAGUUGAAACUUGAUAUACAUUCCAUGGCAUGCCUCUGAUUCCAUUCUUCAAUGCAGGUCCCUUUUUUCUCUGAGAUGGAUGACCAACUUCUUGAUGCCAUCUGUGAGCGGCUGGUGUCUUUCCUGUGCCCUGAGAAUACAUACAUCUCUCGCGAGGGUGAUCCUGUGAAUGAGAUGCUUUUUAUUAUACGUGGCAAACUAGAGAGUUCAACAACCAAUGGUGGCCGCAGCAACUUCUUCAACUCUAUCAUCCUGCGCCCCGGUGAUUUCGCAGGUGAAGAACUGCUCACAUGGGCCCUGCUUCCGAAGACCAACGUCCACUUCCCGCUUUCAACAAGGACCGUGCGGAGCCUCACAGAGGUGGAAGCCUUUGCUCUGCGAGCUGAGGACCUGAAGUUCGUUGCAAACCAGUUCCGAAGGCUCCACAGCAAGAAGCUCCAGCACACAUUCCGGUUCUACUCCCACCACUGGAGGACAUGGGCUGCCUGCUUCAUCCAGGCGGCGUGGCGGCAGCACCAGAGAAGGAAGCUGGCUGAAAGCCUCAGCCGAUUGGAGUCAUACUCAUGGUGGUCAGAGGAUCAUCUGGCUGCUGAUAAACCCAGACAAGAAGGCACCUCAAGUGGUGGUAGGACGAUUGCUGAGGGUGCCAUUGCCCAUAUGCAUAAGCUCGCAUCUGCUUCCAGAAGGUUCCGUGCCAAGGACACUGCUAUUCGCAGGUUGCAGAAGCCUGAUGAGCCUGACUUCUCCGAAGACCAUUUCGAUUGAACCUGAUGCUUUGCAGCUGGAAAUACACGUUGUACAAUUACAACCAUAGUGUAAUUUUAUAUUCUUACUAAACAAGAAUUCUAGGUGUUGUGAAUUGUGAUAGAAAAGGUGUAUCAUGUAAUCCUUAGCUCGAGAAUCUACCCUGUUAGUGUAUAGACUUCAUCUUUGCAGUGCAUAUGGACUUGAGAGUUCUGAAGCCUCAUAUAUUGAGUUUCAGAGAUGCCAAUGAAUCUGGACGAUGCUCUGUUCAGGGACAGCAGCGCCAGCACUGACUUGGUACUUGGUUAGCACUGGUGUGGUGUCUGGUGACAAAAGAUUUAGCUCAAGCACUGUCCAAUGUACAUUGAGAUUCGUGAUCCCGAAGCUCUUGUGCUAUUUGGCUUUUGCUCUCUGGUCUCAGAGCCUCCGCCCUCCGUCUUGCUCACCUGAGUCACCUACUCACCUCCCCUAUCCGCCGCGCCCAAGCCUCUCGGCUUCGUCGGCGUCUUCCUCGCUCAGUCUUCACCGCAGUAAGUGAGAUUGAAAUGAGCUUAGCAUCAGAUGCUAAUCCCCUCCCCUCUUCGUUCGAUUCCGAUUUUGUUUUGCGUUUUUCUCUUGGCAAAGUUAUGCGAUAGCUGAGCUGCGUUGUUCGUGAUGGUCAUUUCACCCCCCAAUCCAGCAGUGGCAUGAGGGCGGGGCGGCCCAAGAUCGGCGACCAGGCGACCAGCGACGUGGUUGUGCGGCUACGGACACCGGAGGGCCGCGACGAGUGGCUCUACUGCCACUCCGCCGUCCUCGCCGCCGGCAGCACCUACUUCGCCGAUCGCCUCUCCGACGCCUGGCCGACGUGCCAGAUCCUCGGUUCGCGCUACUGCGUCGAGGUCUACUGCCAGGAGCUCGACCUCAGCUCCCAUGUCACCGCGCUCCGCCUCCUAUACGCCGCCGAGCCCUGCUCCCGCUUCGGCGUCCGCGGCGCGCUCGGCGUACUCCAGGCCGCCGUGAACCUCGGCUGCGCCCAGAUCGCCGCCGCCUGCGCCGGCUACAUCGAGUCCGCCCCCUGGGACGAGGCCGACGAGGAGGAGAUUCUGAGGACCGUCCCCGGCCUCGGCGCGCAGUACGAAUACAUCCUUGCGCGUCUCCGGCCGAUCGAUCCGGCUCCGGUAACCAGCAUCUUCCUUUCGGCGUUCCGGCACGCCACGCGCUCGUCCGCAGCUGGGCCGGCGCGGGAGCUCAAGUCUGCAGCUCAGGAGCAACUGGAGUAUAUGCUCACCGAGGAUGACGACACACCAUUGGUAGCCCUUGACAACAUCGAUGUCAAGUCUCAGGUGAAGGAAUGUGUCACUGGUUUGCUGAACAGGUUCAGUGAUUUCUUGAGUUCUGUACCGACGAAGCAGAAGGAGACGCCUCUUGUUGGUGACAAUGGCGAACUUCAGCAGGAGCUGCACACAUUUGUUUGUGACGUCUCCUGGGUCUGUCAGGUCUUGAGCAAGCUUGAGAUGGUGAAGUGCAUUGUUCUCUAUUGGGUUGGAGUGUCAUCUGAUGUGGUUGAAGCUGUCGAUGCAGUAUGCCCUGGGCACGACUGUCUGAAUACCAGGCUGAAGGUGGUAGAGGUGUCUGCAAAAGUACUGGAGGCUGUUGCGUUUGGCAAUAUUGUUCUUCCAACUGAGAAACGUCGUCAUAUGGUGAAUGUCUGGAUUGCCUUUGCAGGAACAACAAAGGCUUUGAUUGUUCAGGCCGAUCGCGAUGACGACGAUGAUGGUGAUGUCGAGACACCAAAGGCAAACCUGGACAACGAGAUUUGGCAGGGGCUGGAGUCGGCAUUUGUUUCAAUUGUGCUGACACUGCCGUCAAAUAGUCAAGCUGAGAUUUUAUCAGAGUGGCUCCAGUCAAAACAUGUUCGAUAUCCUGACUUGACAGAGGCGUUUGAAGCCUGGUGUUACAGAUCGAAGGUUGCCAAAAGAAGGUUCUCUUUCUUGAGUGACAUUGAUCGCGUAUCUUGAUCCUUGACUAGUCUAAUCGCGCUGUGGAAAAUGCCAUUUUGUUCAUAUUCCUACCAUCUGACUCUCGAACUUGUCACUGAUAGGAUUGAGUUGCUGCCUUUCACUGAAACAGUCAUAAUGGAGCUCCAUUAUCUUGAUUCGAACUCACCCCAGAUCAGGUUGUCAGUUAAGUUUUGGUGGAUUAUCUGCUUAUGAACUUACAUUGAACAUCGCUGAUGGAAUACACAGCAGUACACAGCACUAUCGAGAUAAAGUAGCCGACAGAACAUCCUGGUCGAUAUACACAAGUCAUGAUCUGCACCUGCAUGUGGUUGAAGCUAUGCUGCAAAAUUGGAACAGACGCUGCUGUGGUUGGCAAAUGACCAAAGCAAACCGGAGAUACCUGAAUUGAACAAGUUCACAUGCUUUCGCAAUUUUGUUAGAAGAUGCACAGCUAUGUUGAUGCUCCCCUUUCUCAGGUUUUGUUACCUCCAGCGUGAUGCUGGAGGCUUAGCCGCAUGUGCAGUGCUGAAAAGGGCUCUUGCUGCCAGAAUGAGGAGAUACCUGUGGUUCCUAUUGAAAUUGACAAUAUCAGUUAUAUCACAGUAUAUGUCUUGAAUCUUGAUAGCAUCAAGUGGCCGACUCUUGACAGGCGGGAUGGCAGCCAGAUUUAGUAGAUUACGCACCAUCCCUUGCUCUCCUCGAGGCAACAGUCUGUGAUCAAUAGGGCAUCAUUUCCUGCCCGCAGAAAAGAAAUUUGUAAUAAGUUGGUGUGAGAUCAGCUAAUCUUGUCUUUGAGGAAGUAAUCGGGGAUCGUGUGAUCUGUUAAUUGAUUGAGUAUUGAUCAUGAGAUGUUGACAAGCAUCCAUGUGCCUGUCUCUUUUUGCUCGUGAGGGUUGCUUUGCCGAGUCACCACCAUGUUCUAAAUCGCGCAGUAUAUAGUAGGCAGUGGAAAACUGAAAUUGACGACUUUAACUGCUGAAUGUAUUAUUAACAUCUACUGAGUAAGGUAAUCAGUAACAGCGCCCAUGGCCUAAUGGAUAAGGCGUCUGACUUCUAAUCAGGCGAUUGUGGGUUCGAGUCCCACUGGGCGUGCAAUUUACUUUUUUUGUGUUUUUAUUCCCCCCGCUGGCCUGCCUGGAUACCUCUGCGUCCAUGUGCGUCGAUGAGAACCCACAGCAUAGUAAGCCAAGCCUUCUGGUCGGUUGACAACCAGGAAGAUCGGAACUAGAUGCAAGCAGAGCAUUCAGGACUACUGCUUUUGGCUGUCCGUUUUGCCUAAUCUGGCUCCAACAAGACGUGGUCUACUCCCCGAGCUUUCUCCUGAAGGCCCCUUGCCGCCGUACGCCCGUACCGAGAGGCGAGAGAGAUCGAUCAAUGGCGCGGUUUGCAUGGCAGCGCUUGAUGGCAAGAUGUUCGCGUGAGCUUGUGCUACCACUACAAGCUGCACAAGGGCAGAAGGGCUACAGCUGAUCAUCAGUCAUCACUGGCCACCGAUAGAGAAAUUGCCUAUCUGUAUAUUAUUGACGAGUCCAACACUAGUUGCUGAGUCCAACUUGAAUGGACGGACGCUCUAGAUGAUUGAUCUCUGUACUGAAACUACAUGACUGCAACUAACUAUACUCAUGCGGUGCUAAAGCGAUAGAGCAGCUCUCGGUCGAUCGUCUGCUACAACUUUUUUCCUUCGUGAUGACGAGUAGUUGUACUGGUUGUUAUCACUGCCAUGGCAAAUCAGCUUUCUCAAAAGAGCAACAAAAGUCUUGCUGGCUCCUGUAGUAGCUUGUUGAUAGCUCUGCGACAAGGCCACACGUGCUGUUCCGGUCCGCAAACGCCAUCAAAUUUCCACUGUUAACGUCCCCUAUCCUGGAUCUGGAUGCGUGCUGGACAUGAACUCGUGUAGAAAGAGCUAGUAAAGCGUUCGUUGUGGAAAUGCUUGCAAGUUUACUAUGCGUAUACUCCAUAUACAGUCCAUAUACACACAUGGACAUUUUGUGUUUCCUGAGAACAUCUCGAUCGAUCGAUCGAUGUGUCGGCACGUCGUCGCUCCUGGAACUAGUAGCGAUCUUGCAAAUAGCUACUGCAUUUUCCAUUAAAGAUUUUUUUUUUGGGAUGCCAUUUCCUUCGAGUUCGGGAGAAAAAGAAGAAGCGUAGGGUUUUUUUUUUUUUUUUUUAGAUCAGAACGUAGUACAAUCGAGAGGGGAUACAGGAAACAUCAUGUGCAGCGGGGCCUGUCAGCCCAGGAAAUGGCCCAUUGCCUGGCUGGCCCAACCAAACCAAGCGGCUGCCAAGCCCACGAAAUGGCCUCCUUCUCCUGGCCUCCUGGGCCGGGCCUGUCAGCCGCAGCGUACAAGAGGCUUGACCAUUCGAAUUCGCAAACUAGAGUAGAAGACGAGUAGACGCACGUAUCCAGAAAAGGAAAGUGCCCGUUCGUUUCAAAAAAAAAAAGAAAGAAAAAACAAAGAAAAGUGUUCCAAUUCCCAAAUGUCCACCGCCACCGGCCGGCGGCCGCCGCCGCGCCGCCAUUCCAGAUCUGCCAUGGGGGUGGUCGCCGGAGCCAACGGGAAGGGGAGGCAGCCAGCAGAAGAGGAAGGGCAAGGCCCGGACUACACCAGCGGCCUUCCGGACGCCGUCCUCGGCGACAUCGUCUCCCGCCUCCCCACAAAGGACGGCGCUCGCACGCAGGCCCUCUCCUCCCUGUGGCGCCACGUGCGGCGCUCCGCUCCCCUCAACCUGGACCUCCGCUUCCAUCCCAUCCCCCUCGGCAAGGUGCCCCGCGUCCUCUCCUCGCACCCGGGCCCUGCCCGCCGCUUCUCCACCUCCGCGUGCUACGGGAAGCUCCGCGACGCACCGCCGUGACCCUGGACGGCUGGCUCCGCUCCCGCGCCCUCGACGGCCUCCAGGAGCUCGACUUCCACUACGACAUCCCGGCUCGGGAUCGGGGGAAUCCUCCGCCGCUGCCCGCACCGGCACUCCGCUUCUCGUGCACUCUUCGCGUCGCCAGAUUCUGCUUCUGCCGUUUCCCGGAUGGAAUCGAUGUCCGCUUGCCGGUUCUCGAGGAGCUGCACCUUUCGCAUGGCAUCAUCUCGGAGAGUUCUGUGCAUGCCUUGCUUCGCCGGCUGCCCUGUUCUGCAGAGGUUGCGGCUAACUUACAAUGAUGGCUGCACUAGUGUUCGGAUCGCGUCCCCUACCAUCAGAAGCGUUGAUGUAGGUCGAGGUUCGGGAGACCUCGGUUUGCAGCAACUCGUCAUCGAGGAUGCUCCCUGCCUGAAGAGAUUACGUCAUGAUACUCCUAUUUCACAUCACAAGAUGAUGGACAUCUUGGUGAUCUCGGGGCCAAAAUUGAGCAUUUUGGGGCGUAUCUAUGAUCACUUUCCCAGAUUUGAGAUUGGCACCACAGUUUUUAAGGUACAUGCGCUUUUAUCUUUAUAAGAAUCUCAAGUCUCUUUGCUUCAUCAUGGUGUCAACUGUCAAUCUUCGGAUUUUUCCUCACAUCCAUCUUCACAAGACUAUCGUGUCUCUUUGCUUCAUUAUGGUUUCAACUUUUGUAUUUUGUGCUUACAUUUGUAUUUUGUGCGCACUGUGAAGGUCUUUAUCUUUGUCAAACAAGAGUCUUCGUUUGGGUUUGGUUCUUAACUUCAUGAAAUGCUUUCCCUGCUUGGAGCAGCUGAACAUCAAUGUGAGUAAACUUACUCUUUAAUUCAGUUUCCGUCUGCAUUGAUUAUUUUGUAACUUACUAUUGCUUCAAUACUUGUUCUAGAGUAGGUUGUCACUAUUUUUGUGUUUAUUUGGCCUUUCCCGACAUUAUUCUAAGGAAGGGAAAAUGUGUGGGGUAAUGGACUCUGCAAUCUUAUUAAUACCCAUGACACUUGUUUGAAGAAAAUUGUGUUGAGAAACUAUAGAGGCAACGAGUCACAUGUUAACUUUGUCAAGUUCUUUGUAUUGAAUGCAAGGGUUAUAGAGUCAAUAAGGCUUGUGUUGAAGUUUAGGAACGGUAGCAAUAGUUGGAUUAAAGGACAGCGCAGCCUGCUUCAGUUUGAAAUGAGAGCUUCCAAGGGUGCACAGUUGGAUUUUGUGUCUUCUGAUAGUUUGCGUGAUGAGGAAACCGCGUGAUUUCUCCACAGAGGACCUCAUUUCCAGGUAUCAUAACUGGUCCUGAUUUCUUUCUUUCCAUGGAUUAGGGCACCAGACUAUACUAUUUAUCAGACACUUACUGGUCACCUGUUUGCAGCAUUUCGAUGUCUCUUCUCAUGGAAUAUUGUUCAAGAUACAGGAUUACCGGACCAUGAACCACAUACACCUAGGGAGAAGCAGAUUCCUGUCUGCUUGGGGCAAUGGAACAGUGACUUCAAUCUUGUUGUAGCUCUGCCAAAAGUGCAAGGAAGCCUGCAUUUUCACUUGUGCUACUGCUAACUACUGUACAUGUAUAAACUUGUAGACUUGUGAUAGUCCUGUCAACAGGGAUGGUCAUUUGGCUUGUCUGCUACAGGUUCUGUCGUGGAUCUAUGACUGACCAGUUGCAGCAACUGAUUUCCUGCCCUAAGACUUGUUCCUGGCUGGUAGGAUGAAAGUACCAUGAUUGUAAACGCCUUUGAGAUGCCUCGACAUCCAUUUCUCAUGACAGUAGCACAGCAGUGAGAAAUCAUCGAGGCAGAAACUCAAGGAAUGAAUUUCACGUUGUUCAUUUUGCUCGAUGCGAAAAAGCUGGAGUCGUCAAUGAGAUAUUGACGGGUGGACUCUACAUUGAGAACAAGGGGUUGUCUUUUGCAGCUCACAUCGUGGUAAUAUAAGUAGAGCAGAAUUCCAACCUGAGAAUUUGGGAGAUACAAUUUCCAGCUUAGAGUAGCAGCUUGACAAACAGCUCCUCAUGACAGUUUUUUUUUUUCUGAAUUGCAUGAACGCUCACGCCCCUUUGGUAAGCUGUGAACAAGAACAGGAAGAUGAGUUGAUUAAAGCCAGACCGAAUACAAUCAAUUUUCCAUUGCUUGAAGAGGUGGAUACCAAUCAUCCCUGAUGAUCCAUGACACAUAUUCAGUAGAAGACUACCGUAGGACAGCACGCGCUAAUGCGAGAGGUAGCCUAGCAAAUGUUCCAACGCGCCCCAAAGCACCUCUACGAUCAACAAACCAGUUAAGAUGAUCAAUAAACUAAUAAUAUAAGUCCUCAAUGAUCAAUCAGUUAUCAGUCAAUCAUAUCUAGAUCGAUACAUCCCCGAUCAAACCAGAAAGAAAGUAAAGCAAAGCAACCAAGGGUUCUGUCCCUCACCAGUACUGAUAAGAUGCUACGGCCGAUCGAUCAAUAGAUACAGAUACACCGUGAUGCAAGCUAGCUAGAUGAACUGAGCGGAGAGGAGCCUGCGUGCGCACGGCACGCUCAUCUCAGUGCGCGCCCCACCACUCUACUGUUGGGUUGUCCCGUUUGCCUCAUCUGGCUCCAACACGAUGCGCUCCCUGAGAUUUCCGUCUCCUGAACCUGAACCCAUCGUCCUCCCUCGCCGUCCUCAACUGCUGCUUGAGAAACCAGGAUGGCACGGUUCGGCACGGCGCAGAGAUAUGACAGGAUGUUUGCCUGAGCUCGUGCUACGGCCUCGACUGACUUUUCCAGCCAUAUAUGCAUCGACCUGACCAGCUCGCUUGCUUCUCGAUCAGGAUGGGAACGUACGUGCGUGCGCUCUCUGCAGCUAGGUAACCAUGAUGGGUGACAGCGCGAGCAACUAAUUAAGCAUCGAGGACGGGAAGCCGCUGCUAGCUGCCAGCAAGUCUUCCUGCAUGCUGUAGACGACCAAUCAGCGGCGGCGGGUUUGGAGCCUUUCGCUCUGUCUGAAGCUGCAGAGAUGGUGACUUCAGCAGGAGUAGGUAUCUUCAGGGCUGUGGUUUUUCCUUGGACUUAUUGUGUUAGUCACAUGCGUAGGAUUAAGCUAUGAUUGUGAUUGUCCAGCAGGAGGGAAAGAAUCAAGCAAGAUGGAUUAGGGGCGCUUAGGGCAGCAGCUGGGCCCUAAGCCACUAACACACGACAUUGUCGCCAUCUUGUAGCCACCUAUAGAUACCUAGCUACUCCUAUAUACUUAUAUAUACAUACUCCAAUAGUGUGCAUUGAAUAAGCUUUGCUUUUCCGGUGCUAGCCAUGCAUGCAUACAUACACAGGUUAAUUAGGAGUACCAAUUAAUGUACGUACACUACUACACUUACUGGUAGUUCAAUGUGCAUACGCCAACAUGGAGAUCGUUUCAGAAACGCCUUAGCAUACUACACCAUUAACAACCUGAACACGACUAUCACUUGAUUAAUUCCAAGCUUGAAGUGUUCUUUUUUCCCGACAAAUCAGUUUGAUAUGACCUGUUGAAUCAUUGAUUGGCUAGUGAGGCAUUAGGCUAUUAGCCUAUUACCACCACAUUAUUUUGAAGGCAUGAACGCUAUACUAUACAUUGAUUGAUCUGUACUGAAACUGCUUCAUGGAUGCCACUAAACACUAAUGUUGCUCAUUUAUUUAUUGCACAAAAAAAAUGUUAACUUGCACUGGUGCGCGCGGUGCUAACAUCUAGUUUCCUACUUGGCGGUACAAGGGCUUCAAGUGCAACUACUUUCUUGCUAGCCACUCAGCACUCACAAGAUGCAGAUAAGCAGCUCCGAGUCGACCGUUUACUACCUCUUUUUUCUUCGCGAUCGCAGUAGUCUGUACUCAUCAUCACUGCCAUGGCAAAUCAACUUUCAGAAAAAGGAACACCAAAGUCUUGCUACCUAUCUAGCUUCAUCGCUCCGUGACAGGCCACAUGCUAACCUUGUCCCAAAACGCCGAAUUUCCACUGUCCAUGUCCCCCCAGAGUGGCUGGUGUUCGAAUAUGGCUUAUCACCCUGGAUGCGUGCAGGGUCACAACUUGUGCAGAAAGAGUAAGCCUUCUGCUUGAACAUCCAUUCAUGUGUGCAAGUCUACUAUGCGUAUACUCCAUAGUUUGUGUGUUCAGUAAACAUCUAAUCGGUCGGUCGAUCGAUGUGUCGACACGCAUCAUGCAACAUUGCUGAGAGCCAGUGAUGUCUUCUAUGGUAAGAUCAUGUAACUACUGAAAGAUCCUGCAAAGCAAGAGCCCCGGGCGGCCCAGUGCGUUUUCCAUUCAGAGUUUGGGGAACUAGCAAAGAGAGUUGCAGUCUGGCAAAAGCAAGUUCCAAGAAGAAACCUAGCUAUAGACACAACUUUACCAAAGAUCCAAGCAAAGGCAAGAACAGCACUACCCAACAGCACAGCUAGCCCUUGCUUAUGUGUUUGGUGGCCUUGAAGUAAUUUCACUCGGUUAACCUUUUACAGCACAGGUAAAACGAAAAUAGAAGUAGAGCACAUAUACUUCACUAGAUAGCUUUGAAAAACCAUAGCGAGACUGUCAAUUGCCCACUUAAUACAUUUUUCUUGGUUUUUGAAUUCUGCUUAGACCACAUGUAGCCGACAGCUGCACUUGUACGUCUGAACGUUUGUGCUCUUUUGUAUUAUUAGUAUUUCUAUAAAAUGUCGCGCAAAGCUUUUCUGUUUUCCGAAAGAAAGAAUAAUCGUCGCGAGAUACAUUUUCCAGUUUUCUCUGAGGAGGAUCUUGUAACUAGCUACGCUAGCUCAUCAAUAUACUGUCAACACAUGUAUACACACAAUUUUGAGCAUGCAGGAAAUAUAUAGCAUGGUGUCCAUGAUAUCUAUAGAUAGAUGAAUAUAAAUGGAGAGGCCUGGCUUUAUAUAGAUCUAGAUUAGUUGUUGCAGAAAGUUAUACCAACUAUAUAUAUAUAUACUACUCAUUAGCUAGCUUAGCUAGUCAAAGCUUAAAGCACCUGAUCAAAGAGUAGGCCAGCAAGCAAUUAAUUAGCUAAAAGGCCACUUGCACCGGAUCGGCCGGAGGAGAGAGAUUAAUUGGACGUACGGCAGAUGCAACAACUAAUCAAGCGUGCAUGCAAACUUUCUGAUCUCAUCAGAUCAUCAGAGCUUGAGCGACAGGUCGAUCUCCUCCCCGUUCCGGCCGUGGCCGAGGCGGCCACAGCCGCCGUCAGCCGCGGCGGCCGUGUCAGCGCCCCAUCCUGCCAUGUCCAUCACGACGCUCGGUGUCGGUGGCGCCGCCUGCUGCGCCGCCGUGGCGUCCUCGGCCGCCCCAGUGGACCACGUGGCGCCGUACGUCGCCGGCAGCAGGAAGUCGUCGUCCCUGUUGUUGUUGUUGCGUUCCGGUGGCGCGGCGUGGAAGACGACGGCCGGUGGCGCCGGCGUCGGCGGCGGGGACGAGGACGGCGGCGCGGCGGCGGCGAGGAUGUCCCGGCUGCGCUUGGCGAGGGUGCGCUCGAGCUUGUGCGCGUUCUGGUGGCCGCCCAGCGCCUGCGAGCUGUAGAAUUUGCGGUGGCAGUAGUUGCAGGCGAAGGACUCCCCCGGGCGGCGGCCGCUGUCGACGGCGGGGACGGCGGCAACGGCGGGUCCAGAGCGGCGGCCGCGGGGAGAGAGGUCGUCGAGGCUGACGCCGUGGGCGCCCGACGCCGCCAGCUCGUUCUCCAUCGAUCGGCGGCCGGAAGCGAAGACUCUCUCUGCUACCUACGGUGCUGGGAAGUGAGGAGGAGAUCGAGGGAUGUAGCCCGUGUUGGGAGGAGGCUCGAAGCCGAUGGACACCAGCAAGAACGCAGUGGCGUGUGGCCGCGUGAGAGCCCCGGUAUAUAAUGACAAGCAGCCCGGGCCGGCUCCACUCCCACGCGUGUGCACGAGCCGGCCGCGUACACUUUGGGAGUAUCUGUACACGGUUUGUACGUGUUGCGACGUACGUGGCGUAUUUGGAGAUGUACGUCUUUCCCCUCUCGUACGCACACACACGUUCGGGGGGCUCGGGGCAGUGUGUGCUACGCUCGAGCGCUGAUCGAAAGAAAAUGACGAGGAGACAGCAGUAGGGGAGGUCGAGGUCCACGCAGUCAACUCGGCCGACAUGGAGACCAGUGAAAAGAGUAGCUAGGGGGCUUAGCGUCCGGCUAGCGGACAAGCCGUUGAACAGUCGAACUUGCGCAUGUGCGUGAAUGCCGCGAUGCGUCCGGCCAGUAGGCGCCCGACACCGCGGGCGUCCAUGGAUCUCUCCCAGAUAUUCAGGUGUGGGGCUGGUGCUUCCCGAUGAGAAAGACGGGGGGCCCUGGAGGCUGGAGGUGCCCAGCCGUCACGUCAGUGACCGUCGCAUGCACGGGCCGGGCGGCCGAGACGAGCCCGUGUGCUCUACCGGUGCGCUAGCAGCAUGGCACCUGCAGUCUGCAGAUCGCGGAACGCGACAAAGCGAUCGAGGUAGCUAUCUGCUAGUCUGUUCACUCAUCAGAUCGACCACUCUGUCCUUUUCAGUCGCGUUGCGUCGAUCGAUCGGCCGAUCUGCAUGCAGCGGCGCUCAGCGAGAAACGCGUCUGAACUUACUGCAUCCAUCGAUGAUGAACAAUCCACUGAAUGGUCGAUGAUGAACAAUCCAUUGAAUGGCUAGCGGCAGCCUCUGAGUCUGAAUGGAUCGAUGUAACCAACGCCCUCCUGCAUAUACACGGAAGGGCCGACACAAGUAGCAGCUCAGAUGGAUGACCCGCUGCACAUGAUCGAUGGCGAGGGCUUCCGCAGAAAGAAGCGAAAAAAUGGCACCAGGGGGAACCGGACGCGCAGGUUCCGAGUUCAGACUUGACUAGCGUGCUGAUGCGCAUUAGUCCCUGGCAUGCACGGUCACUCACAUGACUGCACGAGUGCUGUGGUGGCAGCAGUACAGCAUGGAACGUCCGUCCCUGCCCCUGUUCCCCACUGACAUUUGUCCUGGCAUUCUUUCGCGUAGUAUCUCAGAGCAGAGCCUGAGCCUGAUGCCUGAUGGCUUCACCGACGCGGCCAAAAGAGCGAAGACGAAGCCUGCUGGCAGGGUUAGAACGUGCUCGUUUUCCUCUGCCUCCCAACUGCUGCAACGACGUCCUUGUAGUACAACUGCAUACACAAUGCAGUGAGCUAUUACAGAUAUGUUUCACUUGUAACGGGAUCGACGACGCUGCUCCAAAGAGAUAUAUGGUGGGGGUGCCGUGCCAGAUCCUGCAUGGCAGUCUGGUCGACCGCAUGCGUGUACCAGGCCAGGACUCCUACAGUCCUAUGCACGCAUGCAUCACGUUUGCCAGGACAAAAUUUGAACCAGCGAAAAUCUGAUUCAGCUCGCCUGGUUUCAAACUGACACCUCCGAAGGCGGAACUGUCUUCAUUCCAUGCAUCGAUCAAUGGAAGGUAACAAUGCACUGGUGCAUGACACACCGUACAUUACAACGUCUACGCUCCAAAACUUCUCCAUGAUCACACUUUCAUAUCUUUCAACAACAGGUAGCUGUGUAAGGAGUAGGUAACAAUGCACUCUUCGCAAAAAAAAAAAAAAGGUAACAAUGCAGGCCAGCAAGAGGAAACUCGAAACAAGCAUCCACACACAACAGGAAAACAGUCACAGCUACACUUGUCUACAGAUCGAGGAGUUAACCGCGACAGCCUGAUAAUCUGAUGGCUGUUUUAUUUAGGCUCACUAUCAGAAAUCACAACAAUGAUUUCUUGAAUAAAUAAUAGCUCGCUGCAGUCCUAUACAUAAACAACCCUGCUAUGCUUCAUAUUACUCUGUAUAUUUCAGAUCCUUGUAUACCUCCUACAGAAACAGGUCCACAGUUGGGGCCAUUAGCUUCCUAUACAAACACAUUCUUUUGUAUUUGUGGGGAAACUCCACAACGACGGGCGCGCUUCUCUGUGGGCGGUACGUCACCAAACAUCUCUCAAGUAUCUCCCUUCCGUCUGUAGACUCUUCACGUAGCUUUCUGUCUUUGAGUUAUCCAGUGACCCCUGCAGAGCACAUCCAGGGUAGCAGCAUUCACAGUAAAUAGAAGCACUGUACUGUACUUGUUGUGAAGCAAUGGCAGUAGCAAAGAUUUAUCAUGGUGUUACGCAACAAAAUUCAAGCAAGUAAAGUAACCUGGAACUUCACUGCAUUUGAGUCAACAACACCAAAAAAAUGCACUUUAAGAGGCUAGGGGGGCUUAACUGACAGAUGGUCAGCAAAUGAGUUGGCACUACUCAGAGCAAACGGGAUCUCAGGAUUGUUUUUUAAUAAAAAAAUAAUUGGCCAGAAACCACAGCUUUCUGCAUGAUUUGAUUAUCCUUGUUUUGAUGUUACUUUCAAGAAAGACACAUGGACAAGGGGAAAACUAUCAACAAAAAAUCCCUACCCAUGUUAAGUGGAAGACUAAAGAUCAUACUUAGUUAUUCUUAGAAACCAAGAGUAACAUGGUAGACAUAAACACAGCAAAACUCUGAUAUUAAUAUGCUGAAAGUAGUCGGCCAUGCUGUUUGGUGGUGGUUUCAAAAGCUUGAGUACCAGAGUGAGCAAUCUAGCUGUCCACUUCUUAGACCCUUGGUAAAGCAACUACUCCCUCCGUUCCAAAUUGUUCGUUUUGGUUUUUAUAGGUGCAUAGCUUUUGCUGAGCACCUAGAUAUAGUGUAUGUUUAGAUGCAUAAUAAUAUCUAUGAAUCUAGAAAAAGUCAAAACAACCUGCAGUUUGAAAAGGAGGGAGUAACUAAAUCUAGGAAGCAUCAGGUGACAGUGAUACAAUGACAAACUUUGUAAAACUAGACAUACCUGCUCCUGGAUGAUGGUAUGUAGUGUGCGGUGCACAUCUCUAGCCAUGCCCUUUGCAUCACCACAGACAUAAAUAUAACCGCCCUGAGAAAUGAUGCUCCAAAGCUCGCCAGCCUAGGAAGAUUACAGGAAUUGUGAGAAAAGGGGGAAGUAUUCUAGGUCCUUCCUUUUAUUUCGUUGGGACUUAAUGUCCUUGUAAACCUGCUGUAUAUAUUCUUUUUUCUAUUUUAUAAUAUGAAAAGAUGGAAACUCUCCCACAGUUUCCAGUCAAUAGUAUUCUUUUGAACAAAACAUGAUUCUGCAGUGGACAAUCAGUUUACCUUUUGUGCCAUUUUGUGCUGAACAUACUCUUUUGUAGGACCCUCACGAGAAAAGGCUACAAUCAACUCAGAAAGGGCACCAGUAUCAACAAAGUUACUAAGCUCAUCCUCAUAUAUGAAGUCCUGAAAAAAAAAAGACAUGAAUCAGUGAAAUUUUGAAGAGGCUACGAAGUACAUCCAAGUUGAACAUGUAUGAUCUGCAUCUCUGUAUGCAACAGAAAUGCGAAACAUUCUUGGCAGAUAAGGAGCUUUGAUAGAGGAAUAAUUAGAUGGCAGCUAGGUCUUUUCUAAGCAAGAAGUGAGACUGAAAAUUUUCAGCAAAUCAUGGACUUAUGCAAGCUAAUUGUUGACGAGGAUGAAUAAUGUUGAAACACAACCAUACCAUCUUCCGAUUUCUGCACCCAAAGAAAAGGAUAGCAGGGCCUAGUUCCACCCCUGCCUCUUUUAAAGCUAAUCGUUCCUGCCAGUGCAAAAAAGAACAUCGGACAUGCACAUAAAAAUAUUAAAGAGAGACAUAAUUUGAAGAACAAUGAACAACGACAGCUUAAGACAAAAACAAACCUGUAAGAAGCCUCUGAAAGGUGCCAGACCAGUCCCAGGGCCAACCAUUACAAUAGGCACAGUAGGAUCAGCAGGCAGUUUGAAGUUUGACUGCCUAACAAAAAUUGGUGCCCAACUACAUUCUUGGCUCUCUUCCAAGGUAGUUGAAUGCUGUAAGUAGGAUUAGCAGACCAAAUGUUUAAUGGAUGACAUGAUGAGUGAUAAAUAACUUAAAGGAAUUAAAUAAUAUAUGCUUGAAUACAUGCAUAUAGUUAUACUGAAAAUAGUAUAUCCUCGUUUCAAGAUUCACCUCAGACGAAAGAGAAGACAAUGUCUUCUAAACAUGAAAGAAUAGAUAACAUGUACCUUCAUCCAAGUAGAACAAACUCCUUUGUGGAUUCUUCCAGUAGGGGUUGGCCCAUAUACUAGUGCACAUGUCACAUGAAUCCUUGUUGGUGCCAUUCUGCAGCGAUAUAUUAGCAUCAGUCCUAACUGAUCGAUCAACUUGCUCAGGUCAAACGAGGUAUUAUAUAGAAGUAAAGGCCUAAUGGGUACCUUGGUGAGGAAGAAAUAGAGUAAUAUCUCGGCUGCAGGCGAGGAGAAAUAGCUGCAAAGAAGACACCAAGUGGAGGCUUUGCUGAUGGGAACUCCGACAUAACUUCUAAGAGACUUCUUUGGCUCGUGACUAUCCAUUGUGAAUACUCCUUCUGCCAAUGAAAGUCAUGUGAGAAAUUGUGAAUUAGAACACCAACAUCAUAAAGUAUAUUGGUCUAUUUUAGAAACCAACCUUUCCAGCAGGAGAUGCAAGGUGUCUAAGCCGCUCAGCUUCUUUGGGAUCAGAUGCAUGAGCAGCCAAAGCGAGCAAAGCACUCUGCAGCAACCAUUGAGAAAAUAAUAUGAAUGUGAACAAAAACAUCAUAUAGAUAUGGAUGAAAAGAAAAACACAAGUUUACCUUCUUGGGCGAAUUCAAUAGAUCUGCAUAUCUGGUAAGUGCAGUCCUGACUGUGCAGGGGGAUGGGAAAGGAGGUGGCAAAGAACCCCCACAAAGCGGGGUACCAUCCUCUUGGUCAGCAUAAAUUGAGAAUAAAGUAUCUGGUGAAUAACCUAGAAGCUUUUCUGCCUCUUCGACAAUUUCAAUGCAGUUUUCAGCAUAGACACCAACAUGAUCUCCAGUCUCAUAUCUAGUAAGGUAAAAGGGGACUGUCAGAAUAAUGCAUUCUGAAGUCCAAUCUAACAAUAAUGUAUGUCUACUCUCUACUCUUACUUUCAUGAAUCCAGUUUAUUGAAUAUACUUACUUGAGUCCAGUUCCAGCAAUAUCAAAUUCCAAAUGAAUGCAGGAUCUGUCAGAAGCUGGUGUGUGAAGCUCUCGCCGCACAGCCACAUUUGCCCUGAAAGAUAAGCAGAUUGGUAUCAGCUCACACUGCAGGCAGAGCAAAACUUCCAGGCAUAUGUAAGUAAAUUAAAAAAUAAAAAAAAUACCUGCAAGGAUGUUGAAUGUCAUAGACAGCAUGACCGUUACUAAGACUAAAUGACUUGUUAAUGUUUGUGGUAUCUUCUUGUUUAACAAACACAACUCUAUAUUCUGGAAUAGCAGCUGUGUAAGGAGUUGCUGCUGCUGAAGAGUUGUCUUCCUGGCGGAGCAAUUUAUCCAAUUCUGGCCAUAGAAGUUCCUUCCUUUAAUCGAAGGAAACAACAGAAGGCAUUAGCUUCAAUGUGUAAGUGUUAGUCUACUGUUGAAACCAAAGUUAAGUGUCCUCGAAUAAAAGCACUAUACGCAAGAUAAGCCUGAUGAAUCAUCAGAAAAGAAAAGAAAAAAACACCCAUGAAAGUAAGUUCAUUGGAAUUCAUACCACGCAUUAAAGUCAUCCUCAAUGCAUUGGUCGUCAUCUCCAAGACCAACAGGAACAAUACGUUUGCCACCUAGAAUAGAUGUGUAAAUGGACAGGAGUUAAUUACACUCAAGUGUUUCAAGAACAUAAGAAAACUGGGAAAAGCAUAACACAGGAUAUAUGACGCAGAAGAUCCGAUGCACCUCACUCAAAAAUUAAUAUUGUGAAACAGUUGCUCGGUCCUUUCUAAAAAUAAGGGUCAAUUUGGCUUAUUUAUAUAAAGUUUGAAAGUUUGGGUCAGGCAGCAAAAAAUUGAUAGCAUUCAACUCUUUAAGCAUUUGAGCAUUAUUACCACAUAACACUAAUAGAAAAUGCAAUGUGUUUACAGUGCAAAUGAGUGUGCGCAUAUGUAAAUAAGAUAAGGGGCAACACUUAAUAUGCAUUCUAAAAGAAAAAGUUCUGCCUAUGAAGGAGUAGCGUUCAGAGAUUUUCAGUGAGAACAAACAUAAAUACUGCAUGCAAAAUCAAAAGCUUCAAAUCCAUCUGAAUUGAGAUUGAAUCAGUGAUUUGGCCGCUCUAAUUUAGUUACCUUGUUCUGCAAGGAGCUGAUCAACCAUCUUUCCAAUCUUCAGUGGAGACAAAAUGACAAAAAAAGAACAAAAUUAGUAUGCGCUGUACAAACAAAUAUACACAUCCAAUCAAUGUAGACGCACCAACCUUGUUAAAGUGCUCGUACUGUCUAUUUCCAAGGCCAAACACCCCAAACCGAAGAUUGCUCAACCACUCACCUCUCUCAUUCCCCUGCAGACCAACCAGAUCAAGAGGCAAUCAACAAUCAAUAAAAGGAAAAAGGACACAUACACAGGUGCAUCCAUAAAAGUAAGCUUGCAUUCCAACCUCCGAGAACCAUUUAUAAAACCUCGCUGCAUUGUCAGUUGGCUCGCCGUCACCAUAGCUACAAAAAAACAGCAAGAAGACAUGCUAACAAUUAACACAAAACGUACUUUCUCCUGUCUUUGAUCGACUUAGUAAGGUGCUGGCAAUUCUUACGUUGCCAGGAAGAACAAUGCAAUGCUCUCCUUCUUGAGCUUCUCUCCGUACUCCUCAUCCUCAGCGGCGUAAUCAUCCUAAACCCCAGUGAAGCACACAUCAAUUAUAACAGAUAAGCUGCCAUAAACAUGAAAUUUUAAGCAGCAGCAUGAGGAUGGAAUCAGUCGAGCGUACCAGAUCGACCACCUUGAAGACGGCCCUGUCGUACCUCGCCUUGGCCUCCUCCGCGAGAGCCUGCAAAUCCACGCCGAAAGUGGCAUCAAUUUCAACCCAAUCAGAAGUGGGAAACAAGAGCAGAGCUCUGCUUGUGCCAAAAAAAAGAACACGAAUCAGUAGUAACCUUGGCGAAGCCCUCGGCGGUGCCGGUCUGCGUCCCGAAGAAGACGGUGACCCUCUGCCUGCCGUCGUCGGGGUCCGGCUCGUCCUUGGGCUUCGCGGCGAGGGGCCGCGUCUGCGCCUGGGCGGCGGCGGCCGAGGCGGCGCGGGGCGCGGCGGCGGAGCGGCGGACGAGCAGGGCGACGCCGCAGCCGACGAGCACGGCGAGGGAGGUGGUGAGCAGGACGAGCAGGUGGCGGUCCUCGGCGAGCGAGGACGCCCAGUGCGGCCCCCGCCCCGUCAGCAGCGCCGCCAGCAGGUCCAGCGCCGAGGGCUUCAGCCCCGCCGACGCCGAGUCCAUCGCGCCGAGGCGGGGGUGCGGAGCGAGCGAGCGAGUCGCGAGCCGGGGGGGCGGCUGUCCGCUUCGAUAGGAUCGAGGCGGUGGAGAUGCGCGCACGCGAGGAGGGCCACGGCCACAGAGAUUUGCUGCUGUUGAGUCGAGACAGCGGCCGCCGGCCGGGCACGGGGGAACUUUUAUGUGGCGCGGCCGGCGUGUGCAGGCUGCCGCGGCCGCGAGCCGGGACCCGGACCGGGAACGAGUGACCGAGGCGGGGUGCCGGCGCGCGCGGGCGUUUCCUUUCCUCGUGCCCUUGGGCUGCGGUGACGCGCGAUCGGGGCCAAAAAGGACUUGGGGUUGGGGUUUGGUUGGCGGUGCCGGUGGCUCUGCCUUUCCCUGCCGGGGUUGGUUUGGCUCGCGUUGUGGCUGUCGUGAGGCCACCGGUCUCUGUGCCCGAAUCGGGGCCGCCGCGCGGUGACACGUCGAGCCGAGCCAAAGUCCGUCGCGGCCGUCACAUUGGCUUCGAUUCGAUGCCCCCCCCACCACUUUCCAUCUGGUGAUCUUCCGCAAGCUCCCGGUUUCUGUCGCCCUCCCUUCUCUCUCGCUUUCGAACCAUAGCGACGACUGGAAGCGUGUAGGCUUGUCGCUCUGAAGUCUGAACCAUCACCAGAAACAGUAAAGCCGGGGCUCAGCGUCUGACUUGGACACAUGGGGGUUGUGAGUGUUUCUCCCUGCAAGGAGACUUGCCACUUGUGCGCGGCAAAAAUUGACUGGCGCCUGCCGUGCACCAAAUCGGUAUCAGGAGAUGUGGUGUGUGUGUGUGUGUGUGGGGGGGGGGGGGGGGGGGGGGGGGGUGGGGGGUGCGGAAAACUCCAGAACGGGCGACGAGACUGGGUGGAGGACGACGUCGAUGUCCGCGACGAUUGCGUGCUAGGGCUGCAGCCUGCAGCUCCAUGUCUGCUUCGACCGUGCCACGGAAGCUGCGAUCACGAGUUCUGACUUUUGAUGCACGUCCGUCCAGACAUGUUCGGUUGCAUGGGCAUCCAAUGGCUCGAGCUCGUCAGUUCUGGCUGCUCCUUCGGCACCAUUUUUCUGGGCAUGCAAUGCAACCGCUCAGUUGGAAAGUUGGUCUGAUCUCUCUCCUCUCCUCCUCCUUCUGGACAGGAAUUUGGCCUGAUCUCAAUCAGACAAUAGCACCGUUUUUCUGCUGCCUCGUCAGACUGUGAGGAAGGGGAUGCUGUAACCUGGACUGGGCCGAAUUCAACUUGGGCAAUGAUGUGCAAAUUAGGCCGUGGCCCAGUUUAUCUCGUUCAUUCGAAAAUUCAAUCUGUUUCCGUAGGUGGUGAAUUUGCGUGUCUUUAGUUUGUGUUCUCUGAAAUGAAGAGCUUGCAAGCCAUACUGCUCGGUUGGGCAUGGAGGCUUCUUCUGCUCCUCCUAUAAUGAUAUAAACUAUGUAUAGACUUCAUGGUGGACAGCGAGUACGCUGUUUGGUCUCGGUAAUUCCUGUUUUAAAAAAUUGUGGAAAUUUGUGCAGUUCUAGUGCAGGCCUGCAGGGGAACUUGUUACUGAUUACUGUUGCUGAAACAGUUUUGGAUGCUAAACCAGGCAACAUUUUUCUUUCACAAAUUGAUUUUUUUCCACCAAAUUAAGCUCCCUAGGAUAGACAUUAUUGGACACUGCCACGGUGAACAGAAUCAGCCUGCGCCAUGACCUCGGCCAUACCGUCCUCAAACUGUCAAACACUCAAAAACCCUUCACGAGCUCUGCUCAUCGGAGUGCUUUCGCGUCACCCCCGUGCGCGCCGCGAGCUUCUCCCAGUACUCCGCGAGCAUCUCGGCGGCAGAGCCGGCGCCGGCCGCGCCGGUGCGGAGGCAGAGGUACGGUCCUCCCUCUCCUGCUCCGCGCAGCGGUGCAGCCGCUCGAGCGACGCCCCGGACGUACUCUCAUAGCUCGUGAUUGGCCCCGUCGCGCUCCCGGUCCAGGUAGUAUGCGUUGGCGUAGCGGUUGCACUGGUAGAGGACGUCGCCCGUGUGCUUGUCCCACGGGACGAGGCAGAGCCAGCAGAACUGCUGUCCGCAGGGGUCCGGGCACGUCACGCGCAUGCACCCCUGGUACUUCUUGAUCGGGGCUCCCACACCUGGGUCAGGGCUUCGUGUUGGCCACCAGCCAGUUGGCGGCCUCCCAGUCGGAGCGGCGCUUGGCCAUCGCAGGACGCCGGCCAGUGCGCCUCCACGCCGCUUCGGAAGAAGAAGAUCGGGCUCCUGCAGGUGCAAACGACCACCUCAUGGAGGUACCAGGUACGAGCCGGCAAGGGCGCACCCGGGCCCGGGGCACCAACGGAUGUCCUCGACGUACCAACGGGUGUUUGCGUUUAUGCACGGGAAAAUGUUGUUUCAGCUACUAGCACAGUUGGUGCGCUAAGAGUUUGCAAGUUCGAAUUCAUUACACAAAGAUCUAGUCGCACUUUAUGAUAGCCAAAUGCGUGCAUAUAGCAUACAAAUUUAUGCUAUUUGACUCUGGAAGAGACGAAACAUAUGAAACAUUUUCACUGACAGGAAGAACUCAUUCGCAGAUAAAAGGAACACAGCACUUGAACCCCUACACACGAUCACGACACGACCUCGGCCAUGCCGGAUUCAAACCCCUCCACGAGUUUGCUGAAGUGGCUCCGUGUCACAAGUGUCAGGUUACAGAGCUUCUGCCUGAACUCCGCGAACCUCACGGCGGCGUGCCUAGUGGCAGAGACGAAGUUGCGCUCGGCGCAGAGGUGAAGCACCUCCAGCGACCUCUCGGCCUCGCCCUGGAGGUACUCGCACAGCUCGCGCUUGGCCCUGUCGCGCUCCGGUUGCAGGUAGUACACGUAUGCGUACGUCCACCUCAGCACCCGCCGCGCCUCGACGAUCUGCGCGUGCGCAUCCAGGAGGAAGCCCAGCUCCGUCGGCGGCACGCCGAUGGCGUCGGCGAGCUCGUCCAGCCCGCUGCCCUCCAGAGCGUCCAGGUCCUGCCGCGCCUUCCUCAUCGAUGCGCCAUGCUCCGUCCAGCGUUCGUAGUAGUGCAAGUACCUCUCGAGCGACGCCCUGGCCUGCUCCCGCUGCGUCUCCUCCUCAGCGAACUCCGACUCGCCAUCGCCCGCCGGGUAGCGGUUGCAAUACCGCAUGAUAUUAGCCUUUAAUACCGGUUAGUUUUCGAUCCGGUAUUAAUGUGAGCAUUAGUAUCAGACUAACGCCAUUAGUCCCUGUGAUCUCCUUUAGUACCGGUACCAGCUCGGUUUCAUCCAUUCAUAGUGAAGUAGAGGAGGUGCUGCCGGAUUUUUGACCAUUUCGUGGGGAUUUCACUCAUUCAAGUGUUCUAAAGGUUAGAAACUUCAUCCUCCUUUAAUAUACGGUUAGUGUACUAAGUUUUAUGCUUUAGAGCUUGACUGUUAUAGUUACCCAGGUACCCUCAUGGAGGCCUAGCCGACUACUAAUGGCCCGACUCGACUUGAUGAAGAAGGUAUGAGAUAGAGUUCGGCUAGGGCUCUUCACGUAUUGUAAUUUGACUAAUCUCAUCUAUACUAACCGAUUAGGGGUCCUGCCAUGUAACCCUACCCCUCGAAGUAUAUAAGGGGAGGUAGGGGUACCCCUAGGAGGGGGACCGAUCCAAUCCCUCAACACACCAACCAACACUCAAACGCAGGGUGCAAAACAAUCCCCAAAACAGGACGUAGGGUAUUACGCUACACUGGCGGCCCGAACCUGUAUAAAUUUUUGUAUCUUGUGCCUUGCGUUGCCAUCAAGUUUAUGGUUUUGUGAUCCUUCCUGCGUACAAAUCUACCACUUUACCACUUAGGUAACCCCCUGGUGGACUGUCGGGCUACUAAAUCCGAUAGUUAGCACACUAGGUAGAGGUGAUCGUGAGGUCCUCCUCAGCGAAUUUGAUGGCAGUCAUUCAAAAUCUGGGUGAGUUGUUCUCAAUAUCGUUAUCAGAUCAAUCUGAUUUUUGAGAAGCUAAUCAUGUAUUGAUCUUUUAUUUCUAAUAUGUACGUGCUGACCGAGCGUCGCCUGGCAUCGCGUGUCAUUAGCAACGGCCUCACAGCCACUACAUGCCCAAGACGGGGCAACUGCCACGGCUGCCGCCAACACGCUCUCUGCGAUCAUAGUUGUUGCUCUAGCUGUACUCAUCUGCACCCAGGCUGCCGCCGGCCAUGAUUCUAUCUGCAUCGACUUGACAAGCACAUGAAGGGUGCGGCUGGAUUCCUAUGUCCCUGCUUCCUGGCGUUGACUCCAUGUUUGCCUGCAUGCAGCUAAGAAGAAUCAAUCUACAGGAAGUACACGUGAAUAGGGAAAUAAUCUUUCUAUUAUUUUUCUUCUUCGUAUAAUAUAUCAUGCUCCUUCGUGUGAUUGGCCGAUGAUAUUUGUUCUAAUAUGUUAUUUAUUAUCUCACCUGAUGCAUAUCCGUGGUCUUCCGUAAUCCGCAUAUCCAUGGUCUUCCAUAAUCUGUAUGGCUAACUUGCCGAGCACCCAACGACGGAUCGUGUGGGUCAGAGCUCAUGCGAGUCCACUGCGCUUGGCGGCAGCUUCGACGAGCUAACGAUGAUGCCACGCACUAGUUACGGUCAACGUCGUCGACACGUCGCCAACUAAUUCAACCACUCGAAUUCGGCAUGAUAGUUGGGGGUGAAUCCUGAUUAGUUUGCUUCAUCAACAACUGUCCGUCAACCACUACGAUCAAGAUGACGGUCGGGGCUUCUAAGCCUAAACGCGAAGAUGACACGCGGGUUCUCUGACUCGAUCACGAAUCAAGCUAAGUCUUAUUUACAGUUAAAUAUUUUACGACUUCAGUAUACCUACAUACGCCUCGACUCCUCCAUGUCUCCGUGACUUUCACCGACCACCUCGGCUCCUCUACGUCUCUGUAACUUUCGCCGACCACCUUGGUCGCACCCUGACUGCUUAUACAGCUUGGUCCGUCCACCACACGGGCAGUUAGGAGUUACACCCCACGGAGCUCAUGCUGGUGCUUUUCCGCACAGUUCCGACUGCUAUGUAGCUUGUCCGUCCCUCUGAAUGGUUGCUAAAAUACUUGGGUAGCACACGCCUUAAUCCGUGAAGCCUGACCCUCAUGUGUCGCUUCCUACUAAGCACGCUCGAGUCCACUCGGCAACACCCCGGCAGAGUCAGGUGCUUAAACGUAACGGGCUAACUACUCGGGAAAAUUACCUGGCCUAUAAGAGCAGGACGUGCAAGAGUUUACUUUUACGCUGAUUAAACGUCCAAGUUAUUCAAUCAUUAAAUAUUCUACAUUAUGCUACAUAAUGUUUGCAUUGUCCUUUUACAGUUCAGAAACUACUCGGCGUGCCUCCUUUUACAGUUCAGAAACUACUCGGCGUGCCUCCUGCCGCUCAGCCGACCUCCCAGACUUGGGGGCUUGGGGCAGGAGGCGACUUGGCGUGCUUCCGUGGUUCGGUCGGCUCCCAACCUCAGGGGCUGGGCGACAGAGGCGACUCGGCGUGCUUCCGUGGCUCGGUCAGCCCCCGGCUCGGGGGUUGGGCGCCACAAUCUCCCUAGCUUGGGGCGGGAAGCGACUCGGUGCGCUUCCUCGACUUGGCCGGCUCCCAGGCUUGGAGGCUGGGUGCCACAGACGACUCGGUUUGCCUCAUGUUGUUCAACCAACCUCUCUAGCUUGGGGUAGGAGGUGACUCGGUGUACUUCCACGACUCGCCCGGCUCCCAGGUUCGGGGGUUGGAUGCUAUAGAUGACUCGGCGUGCCUCCUGCCACCAGACCGACCUCCCAAGCUCAGAGGAUGGGUGCGGGAGGUGACUCAGCGUGCCUCCGUUGCUUCUCCAGUCCUCGCGCUCGGGGGCUGGACGCCUACUUUGGGUCGGCGUGCUUCCGUGGCUCCGCUAGUCCUCGUGCUCGGGGGCUUGGAGGCUGCACUUGAUGUGCAUCCAUGAUGUUUCACAAGACAAAGACUAUAAGAUCAAGGAUUUUUCUUUGAGUACUGCGCAGCUUCUCAGCAACCAGACGAUGAAAGCACUCGGGCGAAGCUUAUCCAACUCGGCAUUUGUGUUGGGCUACCGUUCAGCUCCACACCGCUCGGGGGCUUAAUGGUUAUUGAUACCCGGGUACCCUCAUGGAGGGCCUAGCCGACCAUUAAUGGGCCGGUCCGACUUGAUAAAGAAGGCAGGAUAGAGAGUCCGGUUAGGGCUCCUCACGUGUUGUAAUCCGACUAGAUCUCAUCUAUACUAACCGACUAGGGAUCCUGCCAUGUAACCCUACCCCUUGAAGUGUAUAAGGGGAGGUAGGAGUACCCCUAGGAGGGGAACCGAUCCAAUCCCUCAACACACCAACCAACACCCAAACGCAGGGUGCAAAACAAUCCCCAAAACAGGACGUAGGGUAUUACACUGGCGGUCCGAACUUGUAUAAAUCUUUGUGUCUUGUGCCUUGCGUUACCAUCAAGUUCAUGGUCUUAUUAUCCUCCCUCCCUAUAAAUCUACCACUUGGGUAACCCCCUGGUGGACUGUCAGGCUACUAAAUCCAACAGAGCUAGAGUAAUUUGUGAUUUUUAGAAUAAGGUACAAUGGAGAAAAUUUUUAUUUAUAUGCAUGUGUUAUCUAGGGCUCAUAUUUGUGAUUUUUAGAAUAAGCUACACUUUUUUGGAUGUUAUGGUUUGUAUAGUUAAAGAAAUUGAUAUGAGGUUAGAGGAAUAAUUUUAUAGUUUAGUCCUUUACAAAUAUGAGCUAAAUAAAUUAUGGGAAAAAAUAUAAUUUGUUCAUAUUUUAGUCAUUUGCAAAUAUGAUUGAGAUAAAUUAUGGUACAUAGAGAUAAUAAGAUGGAAUAGAGGUAUGUAAUUAGGCAAUUUUUAGAAUAAGUUACAAUGGAGAAGUUUUUUCAUUUAUAUGUUAUGUUUGAGCUAAAUAAAUUGUGGGAAAAGUAUAAUUUGUUCAUAGUUUAGCCAUUUGCAAAUAUGAGCGAAACAAAUUAUGGUACAUAGAGAUGGUUGUUGCUGCUGGAGGUAGUGGUGAUGGUGGGGGCGAUCGUCGUUUCUCUCGCGGUAAGGGGAAAACCAUAGUUGGUCCUCAUGAUAAGCUGGAGAAAAUGAGCAUGUGGGAGAGAACAAUGCUUCGUUAUUUGCAAAUAUAUCAUGAAGAUGCUGUUGCGUUGUGUCAGGAAUCUCCUUUUGGUGGUCGUUAUGCUCCACCGCUAGUCCCGAGGGUUUUAAGUCCACUGAGUACUACCGUCGCAGGAGGCACAAAUAAAGUAGAGGAUAAGGCUGGGUCAGGAAAACCUUCAUCUUCGCCACCCAAGGAUGCUUAAAGUCCUCCUAGAUGGUACUCAGUGGAUGGUUUGUCGUACUGUAUCAUGUUGUUUGGAUCUGAAAUUUAAAUUUCUGUAUUUCUAUCUAAACUUUCAGCAACAUUUGAGUUUGUCGUAGUGUAUCAUGUUGUUUGGGUCUAAAAUUUAAAUUUAUGUAUUUCUAUCUAAGCUUUCAUCAACAUUUGAGUUUAAUGGUAUUUUUAUCAUGUUUGUUAUGUUUCAUGUAUAAUUCUAUGGAUGAUCAGCAUAUCUUUGGUUCGGUAAUACUUUGUAGAUGGAUCGGCAAUAGAUGUACAACGCGGACAAACACUCCAUGGAGUAUAUUAAUGGCUUGCAUGGUUUUCUCGAUCUGGCAGAGUCCAACAAGCUACCGUCUGGUUUCAUCUAUUGUCCAUGCCGAAUUUGCAAAAGUGAGAAGGAUUAGUCAUCCAGAAAGACUAUUCAAGUCCACAUAUACAGUUCGGGAUUCAUGCCUAACUAUUUUGUUUCGACUAAGUAUAGGGAAAGAGGAGUUGUGAUGGAAGAUGAUGAUGAUGAAGAAGAUGGUAACUACAUUCCUGACUGGACUCAAGGAGGUACCUUUGCAGAUGCUGCAAUGGGCGAUGCUAAAGAAGAGAUGGUUGCAGAAGAAGGUCCAACCGAUGAUCCAGGUCAGGUGUUGCGAGAUGCAAAGGAAGACUGCGAGAAUGUGAAGGAGUCAAAAAAGUUCGAGCGUAUGUUAGAUGAUCAUAAGAAAUUAUUGUACCCAGAUUGCAAACACGGGCACAAAAAGUUGGUACCACACUGGAAAAGUUGGUACCACAAGAGUUUUGAUGAGUUAAUGAAAAUCAUAAAGAACAUACUUCCCGAGGUUUGUUGGUACCACACUGGAAAAGUUGGUACCACAAGAGUUUUGAUGAGUUAAUAAAAAUCAUAAAGAACAUACUUUCCGAGGGGAACGAAUUGCCAUCCUCCACGUACAAAGCAGAAAAAGGUUGUUUGCCUCCUAGGUUUGGAGGUACAAAAAAUACAUGCAUAUUUUAAUGACUGUAUCCUCUAUUGCGGUGAGGAAUACGGGAAAUUGGAGGCUUGUCCUGUGUGCGAAGCACUACAUUAUAAGAUCAGGCGAGAUGAUCCCGAUGAUGUUGAGGGUCAGGCCAGUAAGAAGAAAGUUCCUACGAAAGUAAUGUGGUAUUUCCUUGUAGUACCACACUUGAAGCGUUUGUUCAGAAACAAGACACAUGCAAAGUUAAUGCGUUGGUACAAAGAAGAACGUAAGUAAGAUGAAAUGAUCAGACACCUCGUUGAUGGGUCCCAGCGGGGAACAGUUGACAUAGAAUUUUCCAAGUUUGAAAAGGAUGUAAGGAACAUAUGGUUUGGUUUAAGUACAGAUGGAUUCAAUCUAUUCGGUGAGUUCAGUAGUGGUCAUAGCACUUGGCCUGUAACCUUAUGUAUGUUCAAUCUUCCGUCCUGGAUCUGCAUGAAGCGGAAGUUCAUUAUGAUGCCAGUAAUUAUCCAAGACCCAAAACAACAUGGCAACAAUAUUGAUGUUUACCUAAGAUCGUUGUGUAUGAAUUUUUACUGUUAUGGAAGGAAGAAGGAGUACGUGUGUGGGAUGAGGAUAAAAAGGAGACUUUUAAUCUACGAGCAUUGUUGUUCGUAACCAUCAAUGAUUGAUCGGCACUUGGUAAUCUGUCCAGACAGACAAACAAGGGAUAUCGAACCUGCACGCACUGUUUAGAUGAUACUUGUAGCAUAUAUUUGAAACACUGUAGGAAAAUCAUGUAUACAGGCCAUCAUCAAUUUCUUCCUGCUAAGCACCCAAUGUGAUGUACUUGAAGCAUAUUUUGGGAGCUACCCUUUUGGAAAAGUCUUUGAGGUCUAUAAUGCAAUCGAUGUGAUGCACCUGACGAAAAAAAUCUGCGUAACAUGCUUGGCUUUCUAGGUACAUAUGGAAAGGCAAAGAUACAAUUGAAGCAUGUUGGGACCUGAAACGUAUGAAACAACGAGAUGGUCUACAUCCGGAAAAGAGAGAUGAUGCACAUUACUUGCAUCCUGCCAGUUACACUCUCAGCAAGGAAGAGACGGAAAGCAUGUUUGAGUGAUUGAAUAGUAUGAAGGUCCCAUCGAGCUACUCCUCGAAUAUACAGAGAAUAAUAAAUUUUUACAUGGUCAAAAUAUCUAUUUUUUCUAAUUUUAAAGUUAACAUAAGUAUUAUAAGUAUUAUGACCAUUAUAACAUACUACUAAGUUAAAAUUAAUAACUUUCCUAAUAUUUGACUGAAUCUAAUAUUUUUAUAGCAUCAAGCUAACAAAUUGUUUUUCAAUUUUUAUAAAUAUAAUUUGAUUUACUACACAAUAAAUUAAUAUAAUAGCAUUUGUAAAAAAACAAAAUAAAAAGAUGUUUAGGCAGGAAGCCAGAACAGUGGGCUACAAACACCUUUAGUACCGGGUGAUAAAAAUACCCGGUACUAAAGGAGGACAGUUUCGUUUUGGCACGCUCUGACGCGCUCCUCCUCCCCCGACCCAGUGCCGCCAUCUCUGCCGCGCCGCCCGUCCGCCCCCAGCGCCAUCUCUGCUGCGCCGCCGCCGAACUCGGCAGCCCCAACCCGUCGGCGACCGUACCGGGCCCCGCCAGCACUCCUCCCUAGCGGCCGCCCGAGAUAUUGCACGCGGCCGCGGGCUCGUCGUCUGGUCCGCUGACGUAAGCCCGCGGCCGUGCUGACGUCAUUUUUUUCUUUUUAUUUCUUUUUAAUUCUAUGAUUUAGGAAUAAGUUAAAAUAGCUAGAAAUUAUAGAAAAAUUAUUAAAAUAGCGAGAAAUUAUAGAAAAAAUGUUAAUUAUUAGUAUGGAAAUGGUGAUAUAGAAAUUGUGUUAUGAAAAUUAGAAAAUUUAUAAAUAGCGCUAGGAAAUUAGUAUACAUUAUUGCCUUGCAUUGUUUUAUUAUAACAAAUUGUAUAAAUAUUAGUCAUUCUUUUUUAUUGUUAUUUAUUGUAACAAAUUGUAUUAGUCAUUUAUUUUUUUAAAAUGUAUAAGUUUUAGCCAUUCUUCUUUGUAGUCAAUUAUUGUUACAAAAUGUAUAAAUAGUAGUCAUUAAUUCCGUAGUCAAUUAUUGUUACAAAAUGUAUAAGUUUUAUUUAGUCAUUCUUUUUUGUUGUCAUUUACUAGCAAUUCAUAGUAAAUAUUGUUGUAGUCUUCACAGUAAAUCAAUACACCGACCUCAUAGACAAGCUUAACAAAGCAUGGGCUCACUUCCGACAACAUCACUCAGGUGAAUUCGAGGAGCAACUUCAUAUCCACUCAGAAUUUCAGGUAUGUAUUGAAUUUGCACAUCUCAUGUCACUUCCUUGAACACAACAAAUAUUUCAUAACUUUUUUUCCCAUAUAUAUAGUGUUUGAGACAGAAUACAGGGAAUUAUUUAUGCGGAUACUAAGUAUGUGAGUUCAUCCAUAGUUUUGUAGGUCCCAAGCGUAUGACCGACCACGAAUUCAGAGUACGUAUACAAAUUUCUUAACAAUAAAUUAGUUCUAAUUGUGUAGAUCUAUUGAUCUAAUAUAAUAACCUUUGCUAAUGACAUAGAUUAUGCACAUGAAAGAAGAACUCCUCGAAACGGAAAAAAUCAGGGCAAUUUAAGAACAACUCAGUGGAUUUGUUUCUAACGAGGUAGUAAAUCCAGCGGGAGAGUUCUAUAAUAAUGGAUCAAAUCUGCAUCACCGUCAGGACUCGGGUUCAGAAUAGUUGAUCCAAAAUGUUAAACUUGGAGAGUUGAUACAAUAUAAUAUUAUUCAUAUAUGUGUAUGUACAAUAUGUCUAUGUAUAAUAUUAUCUCAAAUGUAAUAUUAUAGAUCAAAUAUGGAUUGCCGUAGACGCAGGAUGGGAAGCCAAGGAGAGGCUUCAACUCCAUGAGAAAGAGAUGAUGGGAACUAUGGAUUGCAUGACUACAUCGCUUCCUGUAAGCAUUCUCAUUCACACAAGGGUCAGACAAACAUUCGCCGGUUCAAGAAUUUGGCAAUUUGUCUUAAUUUUUUGUUGUCCACACAAGCAUACAAUAGCUAGUCAUGACUACAGUAGUUAAUUAUGCAACGGCAAUACACAAAUGAAUAGUUUGCAAAACUGAUCAAUAUACCUUAUUCAUUUCAAUUUGACUGCACGAUUCUUCGCUAUAUUGAAAUGAUCAAUAAUCAAAUUUGUCAUGACUUCGAUUGUAAUCUCUCUCUCGAUAUAGAGUAGCAAGCAAUCUCUUAAAAAUCCAUCUUCCAUUAUGUUUCGUAGCCUAGUCCUAACCAAUUUCAUUGCAGAAAAUACACGCUCUAUAGUUGCAGUUGAAACCGGUAGAGUAAGAAUAAGGCUUUGGUCUAAUUUCAUCGGAAAAUCCUAUGAUACUAUGAGACAAGAAAUAAAAUUGAAAAUAAUGUAGAGGAUAUACUGAUAUGGCUUAGGAAAAUAGGGUUGGCUUACAUUGGUUUGAGUCGGUUGUGAUAUUGCCCUUCAUUGCAGCCACGCCGCCACGGCCACUGGCUUGUCCGUCGUCGAUGGCGCAAUAAUGGUAGUGCAAGAUUCCAGCAGUCCGCAGACCGCAGGCGGCGGGCGACAGGGCAUCGGGCGAGGUUUUAGCGGCGUUGGCGCGUCGCGAGAUUGGAAUGAAACGUCGCGUGAUUAGGUACGUGAACAUGCACCUGACCACGUGCGUUGUUUGGGCUCUGGGCAACAGUUGCCAGAAUGCCAAUUGGGCUUGACCCUGCGACCUUUAACUUGCUAAGUGCUGAUAUAGUCUAUGGGCUGACAAUUGACAAGAGGUAAUAGAAAUUUUUCUUUCUUUGUUCGGGGAGGCCAUGCCCCGCCCCCCUUCCCCCGUUCCACCACUGAUUGUAGAGCACCCUUUUCCUUUUAUUCCUAGCUGGAAAGCACAUUAUUUUCAAAUUUUUCCUUGUUUGCCUGAAUCUGUGAACCUCAAAAAGCAAUAUUUUUUGAAUAAAUUGAAAGCAAUAUGACAACACAAAUUAACAUGCCAGAGCGAGAAACUUUGCAAUGCGAAAAACCAAGGUGUCCAUCACCUUGAUUGUACUCGCCGAGCCAACACGGAACUGUGAGCUUUGUUAAGGUAACUUCCUCCAAUAUGUAGUUCAUUAUGUAACUUUGGGAUAAAGUUACAUGUCUCGAGCGCUUACGAAACAACCCUGUUAAUAUAGUUGUGAAAAUGAAAAUCACGUGUCUAGACUUGAGGGGAGAAGUGUACAGCGGCAUAAGCAUGGACUGCAUGGUCCCUGGAGCCAGCAGUGUCGUUCGUUCUUGAGGGUUUUGGCCGCGUCCUCGCGCCCGUGCAUAAGCAGUGGCAUUUCCACCGCGCCGUGCCGUGACCAUGGGAUUCCAAUGGUGACGGCGCCGUGCGCUAGCCGGGCAGUGCCGAACGUAGCCUCCAAACUCAGAGCGUGAAACAGCCGCUCCUCGUCUUGGCGUCAAACUGUCCACGGCAGGACGUACAGGUGUAAGUGUACGAGUUCAGUAUCAGUCACCUUGAAGCAAGGCGAAUAGGCCUCUGCUUCUGCGCCGCAAAUGGCGGCGUGGGUGGCCUCAGCGUUCCAGGACAAGAGACACGGCGUGGCCUGCCUGGGAGAAUGGAGGGUGUGGGCGCUUGGCCUGCUCUUGCCCGGCAUCCGGCAAGAGUACAGGAGCACGAUGCGGGCGGCACCUUGCCGGCGCGCGCCAGUGUACAGCACGGCGUUGGUCAGAUUCAGCGGCACCUCGACCGCCCGAUGCAUGGGAACGCUCGUUCUCAAUCUCUGCGGUGAGCAUCACACCCUCCAAUGUCGGGCGUUGGCGACGAGCGCGGGCGGGAGCGCCUCUACGCGUUCUUGGUGGAAUUAGUGUUGUUUUGACGCCGUCCGACGUCGGCCGCGAUGACAAGGCGGGACACGGCCGAGCACGUCGGCGAGCGCAUCCGAGAUCGUGUGCAGCAGAACGCCCGAAGAAAUUGUCGAGAAGCUAGCGGCGAAGGCCACAAAGGCGUGCUUUGUCGCCGACAAGCCUGGUGGGAUCGCCAUUGAGGCGAGCGCGCUGGGGAACCGAGACCCCAGGGUGGACGGUAAAUGAAAUACCGUCCACCCCCGGUCCCUCAUGACCGUCGGAUCCGACUCGAGCGGGUGAGAUCGGCUACCAAAAAGAACAGGAGUCUCGUUCCCCAACUCGCUCGCUCGUCGAAGCCCGUGCAGGCCGCCUGUGUCGCCAGCUCGCCGAACGCCGCCUCAUGGCGAUCUCCGCGACUCGGGCGGCGCUCGUUCCGUCUUGCCGCGGCGCCAGGUCUGCGUUGGGGCAGUUCCAUCGUUUCCACGCCGCGCACGCAUCGAACAUGCACGAGACGCUUCCGCCGGGCAUCGGGGAGUGGGAGGCGUGGUUGUCGCCGACAAGCCCGGUGAGGUCGCCAAUGAGGAGAACUCCCGAGACGGCGACACCCCAGGGGUGGACGGUAAAAGAAAUACCAUCCACCCUUGGGUUCCUCUGGACCGUCGGAUCGGACUCGACCGGGUGGGAUCGGCUAUCACAAAGAACAGGAGCCCCGUUCCCAACUCGUUCGCUCGUCGAAGCCCGCACAGGUCGCCUGUCGCCGCGCACCGCCUCAUGGCGAAUUAGCGAUCUCCGCAACUCGGGCGGCGCUCGUUCCGUCUUGCGGCGGCACCAGGUCCGCGUUGGGGCAGUUCCAUCGUUUCCACGCCGUGCACUCCUGGAACACGCACGAGGCGCUUCCGCGGGCAUCGGGCAGCGGGAGUCCGGGACGCAACUCUUGCGCGCCGCCGCGCCUGAGCAGCAGCGGUGGGUCCAGCGCGUCCGCACGGAUGCACGAUAUGAUCGCAGACACGAUCACGAGUAGGUGACCACUUUGCGCGGGAACACCGUCCAGGCGUCCGUGGCGAGCAGGUCCAUGACCAAGCGCUGCACCUCGCCGUCGGCGCCGAACCGCGCCAUCCCGACGGCGUCCACCUCGCAGACGAACACUACUGUUUGCGCCGUCUCCAUGGAGAUCCGGAGCACGUCGUGAACCAGUCUGGGGCCGGGCCUCGCGCUGAGGUGCUUGUUCUCGAGCUCCACGCCGUUGACGCGGAUGGAUACCGCCCAGGUGCCGUGGGCGGCUGACCUGGCCCAUGGCCGUCUUAUCGGGCCGGAGGAGCCAUAAAGAGGUACACGAGGCCAAGCCGGCGGCAGCGCGAGUGGAGGGACUGGGUGAUCCUGGGAUCCGGGCCGGCGGUGCUGAUCGCGGAGCGCGCCAUCUCCAACGACUGUCGACUACGUCGACUUCCUCCGGUUCCGUGCCGCGUGCAGGACGUGGCGCGAGUGCGCCGGCGCCACCCCGCUCCCACGCAGAGCCCUGGAAUGGCGGUUCCUCCCCCAGCGAUGGAUCAUGCUCCCGCGCCGCAGCACCUCCGACAACGACGACGCCCACGACAGCCGGCGGUGCUUCCGCGACGUCGCUACUGACCGGUGCUUUUCUCCGUCACUGCUACGUCUUCGACCGCACCACCAAGGGCCUCCUCGUCCUCAACCCGCUGACCGGACCUCACGACGGCGUGGUUGCCAUCGACGAUGGCGACGCGCCGGCGCCAGCCACCAGGCGGGCGGCGGAUCACCCAGGGGUGGAUGGUAAAUCAUAUACCGUCCGGGACUCCGGGGUAGACGGUAAAUGAAAUACCGUCCACCCCUAGAUUCCAUAUUAACCGUUGGAUCGAGCUUGGCCGGCGGAGAUCGACGAGCGUAAUCGCAAAAAGGGCCCCCUUCCCACUUUUCCUUUCUCGUCCAAGUCCGCGCGGCCUCGCGGGUCGCCACGCACCGGUCGGCCGUCGGCGGUCGCCGCACGUCGCCCCCAUGCCGGCCGCCUCAGAUCAAGCCGCGGCUAUCUCGCCGGUUCCUCCCGUGUCGUGCCGUGUCGACAUGUCCUCCAGCUUGAUGUCGCACGGCCGCACGCCUGGAACGCGAGCCGCUAGCUUCUGCCGCGCAUGCCGGCCCGGCAGCCGGGAACGCGUCGCACACUAUCGUGGGCCACUCGCACAUGAUGCCAUCAUUCAUCAACUCAUCAUGUGGCGCUCGGCCUCUCGGCGUCCCCGACGACGGAGCACGGCGGUGAGAUCUGCCAGCUGGGGCCCGAAUGGGAACGAGACCAAAAAUCUUCUUCCUGGUGUCACAGUCCUUUGCAUUUCUGUUGCUCCGCCAUUUUUUAACAUGCCUAGAUUUCUAACAAAAAUCUAAUCUGCAAGGGAUCCCUGUCAGCAAAUCGCAAAGGAAGGAUCAUCAAGGUCGGCGACCCGGUUUAUGUUUUGCAGUCAUUCCCUUCUCCUGAUGAAGCUCCAGCCUGAGUCCAUUACGGAGUACGUAACAAUUGCUUCCUGUUGUUGUCAUACUGUGUGUGCAAGGGACUACCAGCUAGAUGGAUAAUUAUUGCUAGCAAUAGCAACAACUACGUAUAUUUCAAUUCAAACAGAGUUUAAACAUUCAAAAAUUUCAAAAAUUGUGUUGUGCGUGUGGUUGUCCGUCCAAAGUUCAUACAUUCAGAAAUUUAGAAAACUGUGUUGUGUACUUGUGUGCAUGCAACGAACCCAGAUGCCAGAUCUUCAAACCUUUCAUGGCAUCCGAAGAAAAUUAUUGGACUCUGAAAUUAUCAAAAAUGAAAAGAGAGAACAGAAGUCACUGCCCUUGCUUUGCAAAUCGCCUGGUGCUCGCGGCGUGGAGGUCCAUGACUCCAUGGCCAUCGCCGCCGCGAUCACCUCCUCAACAUCCAUCUCUCUCCCGUCUUCAACAUUCUUCUUCAUAUCAUCAGUUGAUUAUCGGAGUAUCAUCGGGGCGGAGAUACGAGUGCUAUGGUAGGCGGAGAUACGACAUGCGCUCCAGUAUUUUACAUAAACAGAUCGCGAUUAAACCUCCUAACCUGGAUUGCCAUCAAUAAUCGCGAUCCAAAUAUUUACGUAAAAGACCCUAUUAUAUUUUCAAAAUAGUCCCUAUUUUCGUUUUGCCCCUGCUAUCCUCUCCCUCGUGGCUCCGGCGAGGUGGCGACGGCGAUGGCCGCCGCUACUAGCUUUCCCCUUCCGGCUUUCCUGCCGGAUCUCCGCUGUCGCGACCCCCGCUCUCGAGAAGCUGCCCGGCGGUGUUUUGGCAUGGCGAUGCUGCCCGGCGGUGUUUUGGCAUGGCGAUGCUGCCCGGCGGCCGGUGAGGGUAACCGGCGCGGCUCAUGUUCCAUGAGUACUGAGUGUGAGGCUUCAGGACUCAGACGAACUGCCGUCCCUCCUCGCCGCGGCAGCCUGCGCGCCGUGGGCCUCCUCGUCGUCCUCUUCUUCUUCACAUCAUAACUUUGAGGUAUCAGGAUAUUACUGUAGUUGUGAGUCCGAUGAGGCACAUAAGUAUACUUCAGAGUUCAGAAAUUUUUAUGCGCUUGUAUUUGCUAAAUGGCUUAUUUUAGGAAAUUCAGUGUCGCAACAUGCUUGUUGUGUCAUCAGAUAUUUUACUGAAUCAUUACUCUGUAUGAUGUCCUAAUUGUCUAUAUUUUCUUUUUCUUCUUUGCAUAGUAAAAUCAGCAACACGACUAUGUCCUACGGUGUGGCUUCAGUUUUUUUCCCCCUACAUGAUUAGAUCAUCUGUUGAGCUAUGUGAUAACUGAUGAUAGUUAGUUGAGUUAGUAUUGUUCUUAAGAGAUAAUCUUCAAUAAAAUUGUCAUAUAAUUCGUGCCAUCUAUAAUUUCCAGGAACAUAGAACCAGUAAAUUCAGUACUGCGAUGAGCACCAUUUUAUUCACUUUGUCCUGGAUGAUUCAGGUGCCUACAAUCAAUCAAGACACUGGAAUACCUAGCUCUACUGAACCAACUGGAACUCUGCAGAGAUAUCGGUCCGGUGAAGUGCUGCUUUCAAGCCAAAAAAUAAACGGCAGGUGAUUGUGGCUCGCAUCUUAUCCGCAGCAUUUGCUAGUCCAACGUGCUCAUGAAAUAGAUUCAUAAUGGCCUAAAUUGUUGAAAAUCCAUGCUUUCUUAUCGAUUUUGUAGGUGUACUUGGGACAAAAUGCAGUCUGCAAGGAAUCUCUGUCAGUAAAUGGUGAAGGAAGGAUCAUAAAGGUUGGCGAUCCAGUUUAUGCCAUGCGGUCAUUCCAUUCGUCUGAUGAAGUGCCAGCCUGAGUGACUGAACUAUGAUCAGGAGUGCCUAACAGCCACUUCUGUGUUGCAUGUGCAUAAUCCAACACGGAUCAUAGUGAUGUACAUGUGUGUGAUUCGUAAUCGAAGCCUGUCUGACAAAAGUUCAGACAUGUUGUUUGCCCAAAGAAAAUUCAGAUACUCUGCUGAAUCCUUUUAUGGAGUUAGCAAUUCACUAUGAGUCUAUGACUGUUCCAAUGGCGUCUUCCUAGCUAGCCAAUGUGAUAAGGAAGGUAGUAGUCAGUUCCUAGCUAAACCUCCCCCUCCUUUUGCUGUAAGGUCGCACUCAUCUUGAGAAGCUGAUAUCAGUGCUUCCCAUGAACCUUGAAAUAGUGAAAGAAGAGGAGAGAAAUCACUGUGCUGGUGAUUGGUUAGGUGGCCAGAUUUCAAGCCAGGGUUGGCUGAAACCAGGUCAGCUCGAUCAUGUCUUAACCAAUGCAACACUCUCGUUCGGUUGACUUGCAUUACCUAAGCCUGCAUACGGUUUCUCUUGUUUGGUUACCUUGCUUGACUUGAGUGUGUUUACCUUGCCCUUGUUGCGUUGAGUAGCUCCAUCACCCUCCCGUAUUGGGAGCUGCUGCACUGCUCAUUGCUCAAACUGAACUGGCAGAAGCCUUCAAUCUUCAGACAAUAUUCAGACAUACAUGAAAGGCAAUUGCUUUUGCAUCUGUAAACCAAUUGAGACACACUAGAAGCUUCACUGCACACCGAAAAUACCAAUCUAAAAAAGAAGAUCAAAAUAGAACUUCACUGCAGCCGGGUGUUUUGAUUGCAAUUGCAGUGUCACCGUCUUGUAUCCAGGCCGAGGUCAUGUAUCCGCCACUAUCACAGGCUCAGAUCGUGCUGGGAGAUCUUGAGAUUUCCCGUCGAUUCUCCACGAAUCAAUUUCCGUGUUCUUGCCAUUGAACUCGAUGGCACGGCCGCCUACGCGCACCGCAGCGCCGGCAACUUACGCUCAGCUCCGCCUCCUUACCAGCUGCUGGUGCCGCGUCGUGGACGACGCUGCGUCUUUUCCUCUCCACACCGCCAAGUCAUCAGUUAUGUGCGGCGGGUUUCGGGAUGGAGGAACGGGGGCGAGCUAGCCGGGAGGCACGGGAGCUGGCUGGUUCGGCCAUGGCGAGAUCGCGCCGCCGUGGCUGAUGCUCAGCGAGUCGGAGGCCGGAGCUCACAUUUUAGAGAAAAUCUUGUGUUAGUAAUACGACGCCCCCAGUAUUUGCAUUAAACCUUUGGAUCGCAAUUAAUAGUCGCGAUCCAAAUCGGGAGUAUAUGUAAAAUUUGAUCCGAACAUUUUUCACGACACCCCCGAAUUUGGAUCGCGAUUGAUAUUCGCGAUCCAAUUUAUGCGGGUAUUUGUAAAGCAUGAUCUAAACAUUUUUAUAAAACCCCCCUAACCGAGCUCUUUUGCGGCCAGACCCCUCCGCUCGUUCGCCCCUUCUCCGACGACGGUGACGGCCGCCUCGUCGCGCCGAGUGGCCUCCGGUUCUCCCCUACCCGAUUCCCCAUAGGAUAUCCCCCGCCGGGCCCCAUUUCUCGCGAGAUUCUCAGCGGCAGUCGGGCUUGUGCUCUUAUGGUGAUGCUGUUGCUGCCCGGCGAUGGGUGAGGGUCACCGGCACGGCGCUCGUUCCCAGUGCAUUGGCUCGAGUUCGCAAACCUUUGUCCCCGUCUUGCGCGGCGCGGACGGCGGACCUCCUCAUCCUCACCGGGCGUCACGUGUACUUGUAACAAGCAAACUUUUUUUUCCUAUAAUACGCCGGAGAGUUGCAUGUCUUUGUAUCAAGAAGAAUGAAAUAAAUUUUUUACAACGCUGGCCUAACCGGACGCACGCACACGGACAUAUUACAUGACUUGUUACAUGAUCGAAACGUACUCAACCAAAACCACAGCAACAAAAACAGCUAGAGCAGGUCAGCUAGCUUGUUGCAGCCCAACUGAAGACACCGAUGUGCCUUGCACCUGCAGCACUCCACAGGUUGGCCUCGUCGACGAUGUCACAAUAGAGCUGCGUGGGUGUCUUCUUCGCUGCUCUCUGAAAAACGCGGUCAUUUCGUUGCUUCCAGAUACGCCAAGAGACCAACAUGAAAACGGAGUCGAGUCCGCUUCUUCUGUCAGCACUGAUCGACUCCCUUUUGUGCAAUCACCAGUCUGAUAACGUUUGGUUUUGUGAAGGCACAACAUUCUGGAGGUUCAGGACUGAAGUUAGCUUGUGCCAAACUUCCUGAGCGAAGCAGCAUCUGGACAGGAGAUGUUCUGCUGUCUCAAUCUCUUGAUCACAAUUCACAAAGUAUGCAUUCCGCCCGAUCUUGCAGGCCAUGCCUUUGUCUCCGAGCUGCAAUCCAUAGUCUUUCCCUUAGCGCCAACCACAUGAAAAAUUUAACCUUCAGUGGCGCCCAGGCACGCCAGACAGACCUCAUUGCCGGGGCUUUCGUCGAUCCAAUGAAGAACGCCCUAUAUGCGGAUUUGGCCGAGUAUGUGCCCGUGCUUUCCCACCUCCAGGACACCCUGUCCUCGACUCCUGGCAGUAACUGAACCGUUGCCACAGCAUGCCAGAGGGAAACAUACUGCGAAAAUGGCGUGCACUGUAGCGCGUCCGACAAAAUCAGCUAUCCAGCGUUUUGCAGGGUGCGGGUGUUUCUGAUUCUCGGAGAGAUGAGCUGACAGAGGUCUGGUGCAAGGAUGCAGGGGGAGUUCUGACCAAGCCAGUUAUCAACCCAGAAUAGUGCUAGAUUGCCAUCGCCCAACUGAACUUGGAUAGAAACUUGUAGCAUUUGUUGCAGACUCCUGUCCCGGGCAAAGUCUGAAGGCAAAUAUCUCCAGGGCCUGUUGGCAUCGAUUUUCUUGAGCCACAGCCAUCUCAAACGCAGGGCAAAAGAGGCGAGACUGAGAUCUAGAAUUCCUAACCCCCCCCCCCCCCCCCCCCCCCAGCUCAACUGAAAACCGUGUGAGUUCAACUGAAAUAAUCUUUGCUUCGAAGAUGAUCCAUUUGGUCAGCAGCAGCCUGAAGGCUGAAGAUGAUCAAUUUUGUCAGCUACAGGUUACAGCAUGCAAUGCAACAUCAUCUGUAGUGACGCUCCGGCCAAGCUGGUAAGCUCAAUUGUUCGCUCAAACUUCAUUGUGAUUUUCAGUUUGGUUCAGAAAUUCAGUAGUAUAUGACAAUCGUCCAUAUAUGUUCUGGCUAUUGCUGUACAUAAAUCACGUAGCUAAGCUCCGCAUGAAACCUAAAAGGUAGAAAUGUGAUUGCUAUUUUACUGGCAAAUUUGCCUGGGAGCUGAACUUUCCCGAACUGUCCCGAACUGAAGAAUAUUUGCCAGAAACACAGAUAUGCUUAAGACUGAAGAGUUGUAGGCUAUAAGCCUAUAAGCAGCUGAAAAAUGACAAUACAUCUCCACAUGCGGCAUUCAAAUGCUGAGGGGGAACAUGUACGUAGCAAGACUUUUCUUGUGCGCACAAAAGAUGUCAUGGGCAAAGUUCAGAUGGCCCUGAACCCAAGCAGCGUGACCAUGCCGAUGCCCGGCGGCCGCACCACAAGGGCAGGGAUAGAGAGGGGGAAUAGGAACUCUUGAUCUAACUAAAAGAGAUACAGUCCCAUCCUUAUAUAGAUGGGCUGACUUGAAACCAAUCUCUAAAAUUAAGGAACCAAAUCAAUCUAAUCUUAUCUCUAAAUAACAAAUCUAAUCCUAGGCUGCUGUGAACAUAACCACGUGGUUACUGUUCGCGUGAACAGUAACUGCGGAUGAACGGUACACCAGCCCUUCAAUGGGUUGGGGCUUCUCCAUCUCAUGGGCCCUAAUAGGCUGCACAUGACAAAAGACGUCAGGAAUAUGCAAGCGUGUGGGCAGUGUAUCCAAGCAAACCUGAAACCUGUUAGAAAAUGUAUGUAUAUAGACAUGAAUGUCAGAGUUUAAUCCCUAAUUUUCAGCAUGUCAAAAGCCCUCCUUUUUUCUGUCAUGUCUUGCAGGUUACAUCCGUUGCUUACAUUUCCUUUUCCCAUCUUGAACAGCACAAUGAUGAGAGGGAAAGAGAACACCUAUUGGCAAGCAUGAGGCCUGUGUACCCAAAGAACAUUCAGGGAUCAGGAUGCCACUUUGACGGCUGGUGGCAGGAUUAUUGAUCGUGGCACAAAGCAAGUCUGUCUUCAGGACUCAAGUGCUGUCGAACUUGCCAUUGUCACUGCGCCACUUGGCUAAUCCUAUCUUUGAUGGUCUGUCAGAGAAGACGUACUCAAACGUUUUGAGUUCCAGCCUUCCAGGCAUAAUUUUCAGCUCGCCAAAAAUCUCUCUGCAAAUUCGGUUACCUACAUCGCCGUGGCAUUGUUUGCUCAGCAAAAUUCCGCCGCUGUGUGGCAUUCUGGCAUGGCCAGACGAACUGCCUGCAUCCAGAAAGACCUGAAAAUCUUUCAUGGAGUCCGGACAAAAUUUCAGACAUGCUGUUUGACCAAAGAAAAUUCAGAUACUCUGUUGAAUCCAUUCAGAAGAAUUAAACCUUUUAUGGAGUGUGCAAUGCACGAGAUCCAUGUACGUCAGUUUAAAAAGCAUGACAGUGACAGUUCAAUGGUGUCUCGCUAAUAUGUGAUCAGGAAGGUAGUAGCAAGUUGUAUUCUAAGAGCAUGUUUAUUUGAGCUGCAGUUUUUGAGUCUUUUUUGAAAUGCUGCUGCUGACUUUUUUUUUAAAAGCCAACACUAGCUUUUAGAAGAUGUGUAUAGCUUUCUGGGCUUAAAAAGCUACGAAAAGUUCGGAAAACUGAGCUUUUCAGCUUCCCAUAUAAACUCAGCUUUUCCGAGCUUAUGUUUUUUCGAAAGCUGCACGGGAAGUUUGCUGUUUGUUUGAGUUUCUAACUUUUCAUACUGCAAAGUUGUCAAAAAGCUCAAACAAACGGGCCUAACAAACCUGCCUCUCCUUUUGCUGUCAGGUUGCAAUCAUCUUGAGAAGCUGAUGUCAGUGCUUCCCGUGAACCUCGAAAUCUGUCUAGUGAAAGGAGAGAGAAAUCGCUGUGUUGCGCUGGAUAGCAUCUGAGCUUGCAGCGCGGAGGUUCAUCGUGGCCGGCGGCGCAGCGCCCUGCUCCUCCAACUCUUUCGUCUCCAGCCUUCUUGUUCGAGAACGCUGACCGGUUCGGCCAUGGCGAGACUAGUACGUGCAAGGACAAGAAAACGUGCCGCAGCCGGGCAAUGACCUCAUCAUCAUAUUCUCCUCUGCAGUCUUCUUCCAUUCACGGAUGCCAUUGCCAUGCCAUCAUCGCAUCGGCAACUAAAGCUAGCGAAUCCGUUUACCUAGGAUUAUUCGUUAUUAGCAGCUGCAGUCUGCAGAUCGAUGACUGCAGCGCCCAGCAAGUGCCACCCGGUGCUGCCCGCGGCGAGGGCGCCUGCGGUGCUGCUGCUGCGAGGACACGCUGGGCGUCCCGCUCCGCCGCGCGCCGGCCCAGCAGCAGCUCGCCGUUCCUGACAAUAAUCCCCCGCCGCCCCGGCCUGGCCCAGCGCGGAUCGUGCUGGUGCAGCACGGCGACUCGGCGAGAGAGAGGGGAACGUGGACGAGUCCGCCUACACUCGCGUCCCAGACCCGCGCAUCGGCCUCACCGCCAAGUGCUAGCGCAACACCGAGGACUGCGGCCGCCGCCUCCGGAACCUCUUCUCCUCCUCCGAGUCCGGCGAGUCGGAGCUCACAUUUUACAGAAAUCUGGUACUGGUAAUGUAAGUACGUGACCCCAGUAUUUGCAUUAAACAUCCUAAUUUGGAUUGCGAUUAAUAGUCACGAUCCACUUAAGGGGGUGUUUGGGUAACACCUCCUAAACUUUAGUACCUGUCACAUCGGAUGUUUGGAUACUAAUUAGGAGUAUUAAAUAUAAUCUAAUUAUAAAACUAAUUACACAGAUGGAGUCUAAUUCGCGAGACGAAUCUAUUAAGUCUAAAUAGUUCAUGAUUUGACAAUGUUGUGCUACAGUAACCAGUUGCUAAUGAUGGAUUAAUUAGGCUUAAUAGAUUCGUCUCGCGAAUUAGUAUAGAGGUUCUGCAGUUAGUUUUUAAUUAGCUCAUGUUUAAUCCUCCUAAUUAGUGUUCGAACAUCCGAUGUGACCCUCUAAAGUUUAGUGUCUCGUAUCCAAACAGCCCCUAAGGGCGGUAUAAGUCAAAUAUGAUCCGAACAAUUUCAAAUAACCUCUUUGGAUCGCGAGUCGCGAUCAGGAGGGUAAAUGUAAAAUGUGAUCCGAACAUUUUUACAACCCGAUCCUGGGCUUUUGCAAAAAACAACUUUUGCGGCCGGAAUCCCUCCGCGCGUUCCUCCCCCUUCUUCUCCGGCGACGGCGACGGACGCCUCGUGGCCCCGAGCGCGAGCGGCCUCCGGUUCUCCCCUACCCAAUUCCCCAGCGGAUAUCCCCCGACGCGCCCCUCCUAGUCAAUUUUUCGUGCGAUUCCCAGCGGCAAUCUGGUGGUGAUGGGUGAGGAUCGCCGGCGCGGCGCUCCUUCCCGGUGCAUUGGUUCAAGUUCGCAGACUUUCUCCUCCAGAUCAUCCAGGUCGCCGCAUCCUUUUUCUCCGUCUUGCGCCGUUGCGAGGUGCAGACCUCGUCAUCCUCGCGCGGGCGUCACCUGUAUUCAUAGGGAACAAGCAACUCGUGUGAAUUCUACUGAAAUAAUCUUUGCUUCGAAGAUGACCAGUUUACUCAGCAACAGCUUGAAGAUGAUCCAUUUAGUCGUCAGCAGCUUCCAGCAUGCAAGAUCAUCUGUACUGACGCCCCCACCUAGAUGGUAAGCUCAAUUGUUUGCUUCAACCUCAUUGUGUUCUUCAGUUUGGUUCAGAAAUUCAGUAUUAUGAAGACCAUCAUAUUGUAUUCCGGAUAAUCCUGUAACCAAAUCAUCAGCUGGCUAAGUUCCACAAGAGAAACAUAAAAGGUAGAAAUGUGACUGCUAUUUUACUGGCUAAUUUGCAUGGGAGCUGAACUUUUGUGAAGCAGAAGAGCGGCAGGCUAUAAGCAACUGAAAAAUGUCAGAAUACGGCUCCACUCGUGAGAGCCAAACUCUGAGGGUGAACAUGUACAUAGCAAGACUUUUCUUGUGCGCACAAAAGAGAAGGCGAAUUUUGCAAGCAUGUGUGUACAGUGUAUCCAAGCAACCUGAAACCUUUUAGAAAAUGUAUAUACUCCGCAGAUAUAAUUAUCAGAAUCUCCUCCCUAUAGAAACAGCAGCUCACUUGUGUUUGCACUGCUGCUAUGCAAAAGAGGUCUGGCUGUUAGUGAGCAAUUGGACUUCCGGCAUCAUCAAAGUCCCAGAUAGGCAGGGGGAAGAGAUAGAAGAGUGGUGGAGGAGAAGCCUGGAGCGACUCUCACAAAAUCAGAAAAGAUCAACGGCAGCGCUCUUGAUGUAUACACUAUACAGCAUGAACCAUUUGGAAAGAAAGGAAUCGAAGAGUGUUCGAGGGGACGAGCCUUCAGCCUUCUCAGGUUUUCAGCUUGAUCAAAGAGGAAGUUUGAGUUUCUCAGGGCACCCCUUCUUUAGUUUAAAUGUCUCUAGAGUUUGAGUUUGAGUUUCUGUUUUAUUGUAAUCACAACAUUGUUGUAACCUGUUUCUUCUUCCUUCUUAAAUGAAUUGGCAGUGCUCCUGCCUUCUUUCAAAAAAAAAAAAGAAUCUCCUCCCUAAUUUUCAGCAUGUCAAAAGCUCUCCUUUUUUUUUGUCAUGCCGUGGCCCAAAGCAAGCCUGUAAUACCACUGCGCCAUUGGGCUAUCCUAUCUUUGAUGGUCUGUCAGAGAGGAUGUACUCAAACGUUUUGAGUCCCAGGCCUAAUUUUCAGCUUGCUAGAAACCUCUCUGCAAAUUCCGGUUAACGAAACUCAUCAGUCCCAGAUUGAAACAGCCGCUCCUCGUCUUGUCGUCGAACUGCCAACGGCGUGGGGUGUACAGGUAGUACACGGGGUAGGUGGCCUCGGCGUUCCCGGGCAAGAGACACUCACGGCGUCCGACCUCGGCGAAAGGCGCGCAGUGCACUCGGACCUCUCUGGGCGACGACGACGAUGCGGCUGCAGAUGGACCUCAUCCUCGCCGCGUACACCUGGAACGAACACGAGCCGCUUCUGCCGCGGUCCGGCAGCUGGAACUCGAUCGACCACGCACACGCCGUGUCCUCGCGGCUCGUUGCCAUGACCCCGCGCACGCAACUUGCCCGGCGCGUCGCCGUCGAACCUCGGUCCAUCUCGGCAUCUCCACCAGCACGAGUGUUAAACCACAGGCUUGGAAGAACGGAGGUGUGUAGGCGUGUUAAACCACAGGCUUGGAGAACGGAGGGCGUGGGCGCCAGCUUGACCUGCUGCGGCAAGAAUAAAGGAGCACGACGCGGGCGGCGCGGCGCCUUGCCGACGCGCGCGCCAGUUCGGUGCACGGCAGCACAAUGUUGAUGCAUGACAAGGCGUGGCCUGCAGCCACGCUUGGUCCAGCGCGUCCGCACGGAUGAUUGCAGCCACGAUCACGAGUACGUCCGAUCAUAAUAUCCUGAUUCUUUGUGGAAGCUGAUUUUCUAAGAAAAGGAGCAGUAAUUCUUUAUCUGAAAAUGAUUCUCUAGUAUAAAUUUUUAGAAUAAGGAUGGAGAAUCACUUUAUAGAAUCAGAAGAAGGUACUUUUUUUACUCCCAACCUCUUAAAAACCUCUUAGUUUAUUUAAGAGAAUCACUUCACAGAACCAGCAGAAAAUCACUUUCUCUCUAAAACUAUUUGGCAAAACUCCUGCUAGAAUCGGCAGAGAAUCAACUCCGGAAGCUCUGCCAAACGCACCUAAGAGGCCAAGUUCUGAUUCAUUUGAUCCGUACAGCACAAUCAUGAUUCGACCAUCUACUACAGGCCAAGUCAUAGAAUGUAGGUACCUACGAACACAGUUUCACCGCCAAAAACGAAAAUACAGGCAGGUCGUUUCGAGGAAGCAGCGUAGCAUUGGCAUUUGGCAUCUCAGCUGUGGAAAAGAAACAAAACGCCAACACCCUGCUGUCAACAGUCAAUGUAGUGGCGACCACCUCUGCGUUAGCCCUCGGCCCAGAUUGGCGUAGAUGCGGCAGAACGGGAGGUCACGGAGAGGCUUCAGUUCCAUGAGAAAGAGAUGAUGGGGCCUAAGGAUUGCAUGACUGAUAAUCAUCGAGGAGUAUGACCUCCAUCGGUUCCAGAAGUCAUUCACACAAGUACACAACAGACAUGCAGACUGUAGAGCAACCUUUUCCUUCUGUUCCUAGCUGCAAAUCACAUUAUUUUGUAAAUUUCCUUGUUUGCCUGAAGCCCUGCCUGAACCUGAAGGAAUAAUAUGACAACAUAAAUUAGCAUGCCACCAAGAAACUUUGCAAUGCGAAAAACCAAGGUGUUCAUCACCUUGAUUGUACCGAAUCAGCACGGAAGCGGAACUGUUAGCUUGAUUAGUACCUUCUUAAUACUGAGCACUUGAAAAGUGGACUCCCAUCUGAAAAACAGCCUCCUCUGUGGAAGCGUAAAGCUGUACAUUUCAGGCAUGGUACAUUUGCAUGGUUAGCCCUUCAUUUUAGUCUAGAAAUCAACUGACUUUGCUUGAUUGUAGAGGUUUCUGAAGUAAUCCUCCUGUUCCCAAGUACUCUUCAGCAAAAAGUUCGUCGUUUUUUGCAAGCAUGUCUGUCAGACUACAGUCUAUGUUUCUACUCUGCAGUACCCAAAACCGUGGCUUUAUCCUCCCUUCAAGUGAAUAACUGAAGUACCUUGGAUAUUCUACAACUGCUUUAAGUGGCUUUUUCAUGAUUCUUAACAGAAACUCAAGCUUUGGUUUCAUAACAAGCUCGAUACUGUAACCUAGAAGUGGGGAAAAUCUAAAGAUCAUUGAGCGCACGUCUUUCUUAGACAAACCCGCCUCCAAUAGGUAGUUCAUUCUGUAAACGUUGAAAUUAAAGUUACAUGUAUCAAGCACUUACAAAAAACAUCUUGUUAACAUACUUGACAAAUGAAAAUCACAAGGUUAAACUUUAGAAAAAACAUACGGCAGUGGUUGAAUCAGAAAUAAGUACUAGGAGUUGUACAAGUGGAUUAUGCUACCGACCAAAAUGAAUAACUAGCAUCCAAGAUUGCAAAAAGUAUCACUAAAAGGCACAACCAUCCACGUAGGGAAACAACAUUAGCAAUAAUGAUACCAAAAGCUUGCAGCUUGCAGAAAACUCUAGACCAUGGCACAAUUAAGAGGUACACUAAGUUUGCAAUAUAAAAUGUCUAUCUGGGCUGCAUUUUCUAUCACACAAAGUUGCAGUCAUACCUGGGGAGCAGUGUAUCAUUUAUGUCCAACAAUAAAAUCUCAGGAUACUUCCUAAUGAUGCGAGGAAGAUGAUGUUUGGAAACACCAAAGUCAAUAAGAAAGUCAAUUUUCUUCUUGAGGGUACUUUCCACAUUUGAAGCAAAUAUUUCAGGAGAACGACACAAAAUCUUUCCUACUGUUUCCUUAUCAAAACCCAUUUCCCUGAAAAAGAAAACAAUCUGAAACACAAGGCAGAACAGUUAGUACUAAGAUAACAAUUAUCAGAAGAUGGGGGCAUCAAAGAUGUAUAAGAGCAACCACUCAAGAGUCAAGACUCAAGACACAAAACCAUCCCCAACUUUGGAUACAAAUGUGCCUACUGUGGAUACAGUUACAAACAUUGGAUGUUGAGUUAUUGUCCACCGCUUUCAUGACCCAUAAAUCUUCAUCCUAUCCAUUGUGGCUAAUUGGAAAAAUAUGUGAAUCUGUAAAACCUGAUGUACCAUCAUUACAGCCAUCAUCCAUGUCAACUUAAAGGACAUGUGAUGGUGGUCAAACAAAGUAUUCAUUUUACUGAAGCUUUGGUUCCAGUUUGCUAAGAAAAUUAUAAGCAAGCAAAAGAAAGUUUUUCCUUUACCAAACGGAGUAUAAAUAUGUAAACGAAAUUAUAUUAAUGAUUACACACCUGCAGAAACUCGUUAGGUUUUCUCAGCAACAAUUGCGGACUUGAUGUAAUGACUGGAGCCACCAUUUUCUUAGUGAUGCCCAGAUCAUCAAACUGCUCCAGAAUUAAAUUCAUUCUUUGUGUAGAGCAGCCAAGAAUAUGAGGCCAACUUUUCACAGCAAUACCAAGGACUGUACUGGAAAUCUGAAAGCAAAACAAUUGACUUACUACUCCUGGCAACAAGAAACAGAAGGCAGAACAGGGUAAAUAAAUGAAAAAGAAAUUAAAACAUAAAUAGUGAGAAAAUUCUUUUUUUCAGUUACCUUUUUUCGCUUUAAGAACAAAAGGAUCCGUUUGUAGUUCUCUAUCACACUUGUUGAAAGGAUCCAUGGAUACUUCAGCAACAUCCUACCAAUAUGUUCUUGUUCAAUGCCAGCCUAGUAAAUUUAGAAAUGGAUAAUAGUAUUAUUGUAUUAUAUUCAAGUGAGCACCAAUCUAGCAGAUACCAAUGGACACCACGAACAUAAAUACCUUCUCCCAUUCAUGAAUCCUCGGCUUGAUAUCAUUUUCAAUGUCAGAAAGAAUGAUAGGAGGAAAUGACAGCAAAACUGAUGCAAUCCUUGGGUUUGGAAUUCCAAUGUACUCAAGAAAAUCAAUUAAUGGCUUUAGAUGAUUAUCCUCAGAGCAGAGAAGCAGCAUGGGAAACGACUCAAUGAGGUAAGGAAAUGACACAUCUCCAUGUCCCAACAUGCUAACACCACCAUACCUGGCCUCCAUCUGCAAUAAUAGGGUUCAAGAAAACAUUAAUUUCUGCUGAUACUCAGUGCAAUGAAACUGAACAAUAAGCAAUAGUCAGGACUAUGAAACUUACUUUUUCAAAAAAUGAUAAAGUACUUUGGAGUGCAUCGUCUGCAGGUAUUGAUAAGUGUGUCAUCAUGCGCUUAGAAUUCCUUCCAAUAAUUGUUGCAUAAUCACUGCUUGAAAAUAACAUUUCCUUCAAAAACUUAACCUAUAUGUGAAUAAACCAUAAGAAAUGAGUGCAGUGAUCUAGUGAACAUAUUAUAGUGCCAAGGACAACUGCAACUAUUGAAGUAACAUAUUGACCAAUGAUCACUAUGAUCCAAUCUAUUUGUUACCCUUGGGAUAUAAUGUAUAAUGUCACCAUGGACUAGUGUUACUGAAAACUUGGUGCCUGAAUUCUAAAUUUCUAAUGUUAAGGAUUCCAUUAAAAUGUCUUCCUGCCAUGCUAUGGAAAAUGGAAGUACUAUUGAGAUUCGUGGUGUGAAUGAGAAUAGGAGCAAGACUCACAUAACGUCUUUAAAAAAAAAGAAGAAGAAGACUCAUAUACUUGAACACAUGCUUUGUGCAGGACUACAAGCUUGCAACUGAGAACAAUACCAACUUUUUUGCAGGUAAAAUAUCAGUUUGAGUGCUCCAUGUUUAAGUUUAAUACUAGCUCGAUUGAACUUUGUUCAAGUUCAGCCAAACACACCCGAUAAGAGGUCAUGGAUUAGGUUGGACUCGUAGAAAAAAAUAUGAAGUAACCCUGCAGUUAGCAGUUUCUACAGGUUUCACCAAAUUUCACUGCCAAUUGCAACAUGUACGAAGUAUUCUUUCAACACGGACCAAACUCGCGGAAAUGCAAGCAAAUUGAGCCCAAAUUGGAGUUAACUCUCACCCGAUCAAUCAGCACAGGGAGGCCAGCGGCCGCGACGUACGGCGCGAUGAGCUUGGCGGAAGAGAGCCGCACCCCGAAGCUCUCUAGGAGCGGCACCACGCCGUGGUCGUGCUUGCUCCGCCCCAUGAGGUACACCUUCCUCCGGAACCCGAGCCUCCCCAUCUCCAUCUCGACGGCCCCGCUGCGGCCCACCCUGGCCCCGGCGCCGGAGCUCCACGACGCCCAGAGGCCGAGCUCGUCCAGCUCCCGGACUCCGUCGGCGAGCAUGGUGGCGUAGGCCGGCGCGCGCGCGGCGAUGGCGGUGGCGUCGGCCGGGGAGGCGCCGCUCUCGCGUAGGAGCUCCGCGACGGCUGCCUCCGCCUCGCGGGCGUCGUAGGCGGGCGAUGCGGAGGCGGACGUGGACGAGGAUGUUGUCGCGGGGAAGGCGGCGAUGGGCCCGCAGCGGCGGCGGCGCGGGAGGAGGAAGAGGAGUGGGAGAGGGUGAGGAUGCGUUUUGGGGUGGAAUUGGGUGGGAAGCGGGAGAGCGCGCAGUGGUGGGGUUGCAGGUUUGGAGAGGAGAAGAUGGAGAAGCGGGAGAGUGGCGGUGGCGGUGGCCAUGGCCACGGCGGAGGCCGGAGGGGGACGAGUGGGAGGGAAGAAGGGGUGAAGUGUGAAUCCCCCGCGCGCUUGUAACGUUCCCGCGUGCAUUAUCCAUGGAUGAGAAAAACUUCGGGAAGAAAUCAAUUUUCUGCCACAAAAUUUCACAGUUAUUUCCGAUUACUGGGUUUUCCUCAUCAAAAUUUGCCUACUUUCACCGAAUUUAGUUAGUUUUGGUUUGGUUCUAAUACUUUCAAAGAGUCCUAUUUUGAGACUUUCUAGUUUGUUUUCUUCCCAUUCCUGUGAAACAGUUAUUGAUUUUAUUUUUUUAGUUUUGCUAAUUGGGUUCUGCGGAAUAAAUUGGUAACCAGAACUCCAGAAGAAUGCUCCUAGGUCCUGUUUGGAAUGACGUACUCCUCGGGUUCUUUAUGGAUUAUUAAACCGAUAUUGUGUCAAAUGACAAGAUUCUAUAGGAGCGUAUCAAUAAAAAAUUCAUGAUGGAACUGAAUAAGAAGAAUUAAGGAAUUAUUUUUGUAAAAGUGUGCUAUUCGUAUGCCGAAACAGAUCCGAAAAUGCUACGAGCCCUUUUUUUUUACCCUUGACUUUUAGUUUGUCUAUCUUUGAUCUCCAACUCUAACAUUAUACUCCAACUUCCAUUAUAGCUAGCGUAGUUUUGACCCUUGAGCCCAUCCAAAGCAAUUCAAGGUUGACGUGGCAGCGACUUUUUAAUCUGGGUGGGAGAAAAUAUUUGAAUGAGGAAGGAAAGUUACUCGAUCACUUCCAAAAAACUUUGAAAUAGACAUUGGACAAAAAUAAUUGCAGCUCAUGAAACAAGUUCUAUAAUCUAUAACAUUCAAAUGAAAGACUCAAUAAAUCUUAGAAAAUGUAUUUGAGUAUUUAUUGAAUCUUUUAUUUGAAUAGCAUAGAGCUUGUUUCACAAACUCUACUUAUUGUUGUGGGGUUCCUUAUGUCCAAAUUAUCUUUAGGAUUCUUUUCUGAAUUUUUGAGAGGUGUUUGUUUUCCUCAUCUAAACAUUUUGUCUUCAUCAAAGUUAAAAAAAAUUGCAAUCACGUCUAAUCUGCUUUGUCUGGCCUUAGGGGCAAAUGAGACUAUUCAAAGUAGAUCGUAUCAAACUAGAUUGUAUUUUGAGUAUAAAAACUAGAUAAACUAAACAGUUGAGGGUCAAAUAUGAACUUAGUUUUAUUUGAUUUUUUGACAGUUCAUGCGCUAAAAGGAGUAUCACGGUGGAGUGUCUUUUGUCCCUACUGACUGCACACUCCACACUAUUUAUCCUUUUUUUUUUGUCCAAACACCAAAGAUACACUACAUAUAUGCAUGCUCGCGUUAUGAACACACGCACACAUACACAAUCUACCCCUAUGUUUGUUAUGGAUGGGCAUUCGCCGACUAUUUAAAUAAAAAAAAAUAUGAGCACAUGAUGAGUUGAUGACUCGAAUCUGUGCUGCACAAGUUCCACCACAAUAAAUCCAAUCAACUGAGCUAAGUUUAAUUCACUCAGAUCAUUUAUGCCUCCCACAGUCCCACUAUCUUUUUUUACCACCAUGUGCAUUUGCAAAAUGACCAAAACCAGUUUUAUAACAAUCCAUAAGCUAGAUGCCAUAACUUAAGAAUUUCUAGUUGAUCCAAACAUAUAGACAAACACAUAUAGCGCAUGCGUAAUGCAUGCAUUUUCCUAUAGAAGAGCUAGUGAUCUAAAGUCCAAAUCACCACGAUCUAAUCUGAAUGUGAGCGACAUUGGACUAUUGGAGAAAGGCGCAAAAGGACUCUGGGAGGAAGCUGCCAAGUGCCAACCAUAAUCAAAAUAGACACAAGUACGCAACCUUGUGAAAUGAUGUUGAUGUGAAACCUAAAUCAUAUUGAGAGCACUCCAAGGGCUAAAUCCGUUUUGAAUUAUCGUGGCUGUGAUGGAACUUUUGAAUUUCGGCCGCGUCGGGAUGGGCCGGCAUGUGAUCAAAGAUAUACGUAUGACCCGUGCCAGCCUUUUGUCCAGCCCGUUGGCAUCUACCCCCAACUACCCGCUUCGGAUGGAUCAGUUCGCAAAUGUGUCGCUUGCCUGUGGGCCCAGACCCGUCGUCAGCACCACGCCCCGCAUGCGCUCCCGCAUUUGUCCCGUAGCGGGCAAGAUUCAAACACCGGAGCGAAUCUCCAGGUCCCACAGUCACUGAGCCGUGGGUCCAGAGCAUGAUGGCCCGCAUGUCAGGAGCGAACCUCUUGGGUGAAAUUCGAAUCGCGGCACCCAAAAGCGCGAAAGGUGCGGCAACUCGCCACCUCGAUCGACUUCAUUGCUCCGCUCACAAGAGCGUCCACCCUCUCAGCCCAUGACAUGUGGGUUCAGUAUCUUUCGGACCCCACGUGUCAUCUCGAGAACGGCGUGGGUGAGAGAGGCCCCGGUGAUACCGCCUCGGAGACAGAGAGGUCAGCGGAGGUGGAAGACUACUGGUCCUCGGAGUUGGCGCUCUCCUCCUCCCCUUCCUCGCCUCCUCGGUGUGGGGCACAGGGGCUGUGGGCACGAGAGGAGAGAGAGAGAGGAAAAGGUGUAGAGAGAGAAAAGUGAGAAGGCCUGCCAAUUUACAUGAUUACCGCGUGGUAAGUUUGGAAUUCAAAAUCCCUUCUAGUACGGGAAAGAGGCGAGGCUUCCAUUCCAAGCCUGCGCGGCGGUCCUCCGGGCGGGCUCUCGCACUCGCGGUCGCGGAGAGAUCUCCGAGCAUCCCCCGCCGCUUCCGCUGUAUGUGCUGUUCCUCCUCCUUCCGCGUGUCAUUUGCAGUUGCUUAGUUGAAGUCUUAUUAGUUCCGCUACGUGAUUGAGUUUUUUUUUUUUUUGGGUGUGUGAGAUGCGGGAGUGAGGAUGGGAACCGGCAGUUUCAAAUUUCUCUCCCCAAUGGUUGGUGGCAAUGUUAUGCUUCGUUUUUUAGGCUGCUUUCGUGUUCCUGUGACUCUUUUUUUAGCCCGGAGGGGCUCCAAUUGCUCUCUGAUCUCUAGGUUUCGAGGGUUGCUGAGCAGUUAGUAAAAUGUGCGAGUGUAAGCGUGAGGUACGGGCGUGAUGCUGCUCAGCUCAAAUACUCUGAUCGUUUAGUUUUGGUUGGUUGGUUUUUAAUCAGUUAAUUCUAUUUCGGUACAUUUCUGAAUCGAACUAGUGUUGAUUUGGGCAGUUAAGCACCAACUGUUAGAUGAGCACAGAUUAGAUGCUAAUGUGGAUAAACUGGUUGUUUUCGGAGCUCAAAUUUGUCAUUCUCUUAAUGAAUGCACCAAUUUUAUUACCUCUUAGGUGUAUGUGUGUCUGAUCUCUCAUAUGAGUUCAUGUGUGUUUUGUGUUACAGACAGGUAAGGAAUGGGAGGGGAAACUACAGGAAACACGGUCUCCGUUGCCCCGGUGGAGAAGGCACUGUCCCUCUCCCUGUACGUUUUCCUGUGAGAUCCCUGCUAAUUUGUUCACGGAGCUGUAUCUUGUGAGAGCAUUACACUACCAUGACGAAGUCCAGUGCGGUUACUUCGAAGGGCAAGGCCGCAUUUGAGCUGAAGCACAGGCUGGUCCAAGCUGUUAACAAGAUUGCUGACAGAGACACAUACCAGAUUGGAUUGGAUGAGCUCGAGAAGAUGGCGGAUACCCUGGCCCCUGACAUGAUCGGUCCCUUCUUGUCAUGUGUGAUUGACACUGAUGCUGAGCAGAAGAGUGCAGUGCGCAAGGAGUGCAUCAAGGUGAUUGGCACACUGGCACGCUUGCAUGGGAACCUACUGGCACCACACAUGGCGAAAAUGGUGUCCAGCAUCGUUAAGCGCCUGAAGGACACCGACUCAGUUGUUAGAGAUGCAUGUGUUGACACUUGUGGUACCCUUGCAAUGUGCGCCAGAAGUUAUGGGGAUGGUGGUGCGGCAUUGGUGGCAUUGGUGCGCCCCCUGUUUGAAUCACUGGGUGAACAGAAUAGAUAUGUUCAGGCUGGGGCAGCAUUGUGCUUGGCCAAGGUUAUAGAUGAGAGCAAUUACUUCCCUGGACCUGUUCUCCCGCAGAUGCUUGUCCGUGUUGUUAAGCUGCUCAAGAAUCCCCAUUUCAUGGCAAAGCCCGCAGCGAUUGAAUUGAUAAGAAGCAUUGUUCAGGUUUGCACUCUUGUUUUUGUGUAAGCAAUGCCAUCCCACUAUUGAUAUACUUUUUUAUGUCUACAGAUUACCUUGUUUAUCUGACCUUGUAAUUAGUACCAUGAGAAAGUAGCAUUCUUCUGUGCAACCAUAUAUGUUCUUUAUUCAAUGGUUGCUUAGUUAGUUUGCCAUAGAAAUACUGCAAUCUUCCUACAAAGUCAAAUGUUUUUAUUGCUCCUUCGAGUCUAGAUCAUGCAUCUGAUUACUAGGUUGAUUUGUAUUUAUAUGCUGUAUAAAUUCCGCAAGACUUCUUAAUAUCUUUCAAGGACUAGAGUAAUAAACAUCAUCUUCAACUUGGUUCCACUUCUUGUAACUACCAGUAAGAUCUUACAUUAUGUUAGUGUACUUAUUUUGCUUUGCUCCCCAUUUUCAGGCUGAAGGUGCUUCCACAGAGCAGGCGUUAUCAUCAGCUCUAACAAGUAUUAUGGAUGCACUUAAGAGUAGCGACUGGAAUACAAGGAAGGCUGCCUCUCUUGCUCUUUCAAGUAUUGCUGUCAGUUCUGGGUAUUUGGUUGCCUCUUUCAGAACUUCCUGCCUUCGCUCCCUUGAGCGUAGUAAAUUUGAUAAGGUAUUUUUAUCCCUACUCUCCGUUGUACCUGCAGAAUUUUUUUUCCUAGAAUACGCAGGAGAACUGCGCAUCAUUCAAUUAAGAGGAAGGUAAAAACGAUGUUUGUACAACGCGGGCCAUUAACCGGGCACUCGCACACGGUAGUGGAAAUAGACAGAGAUUACAUUUGUUAAAAGGGGGCGUCUACUAGCAGAAUUUAAGACAUAGAAAUCGCAACGCUAGCUAACGAUCAGGAGGCUUCCAACCAAAAGCUUCCAUGUUUCGGGCACCACUUUGAGCCCAAAGCGACAUAUUUUUCUAAUGACUUACUGACUUCAUGCCUCCUAUUAUAGGUAAAACCAGUUCGUGAUGCCAUUAUACACGCAAUUCAGCUGUGGAAAGCUAUUCCAGGGUCUCAUACUCCUGAACCAUCGGAAGCUGGAUCAUCAACAAAAGGUACAGAAGAUGUUCCUUUAAUUCACAUUUAGCAGUCGAUAUGGGCAAAACAGUUAUAACACUGUUUUGUUUUUGGCUUCUUUCAAAUCCGCUAAUCCUUAUCUUAUUUUAAAUCAAAAGUUAGCAUACAUAUAUCUUACUUGUUCUAUUCACCUCAUUAAGAAAUUUGUUUGAUUACCAAAAUAAUUAAGCUAAUCAGAACCCACCUGAUGUUCUAUAUGUAAGCACCUCUCUUGUUUGUCAACUCUUCCAGGAUUUUAUGCAUCUUAACUCUGGAAUCUUCAACCAAAAGAAUCAAAUAACUAUAAAAGUACUCUAGGUGCCAAGGUAGCAAUGCUAAUGAUCUUCGUAGAUUUCUUCUUGGAUCAUGGCUAACUAUAAACAAUUAUGGAUGGCAACCUUUUCUUUGUGAGUUCUAUUUUUCAUAUUUAUUGUGUGCUUAAAUGAUCAUCCAAGAAUACCACAAUACCAUGUUACUGCCUUCUUAUGGUCUGUGCUUAACGUGUGAUGCUGCUAGCUAAUUAAGAUCCUUCUACAAAAUUAUUUGUUACAUGACCUCUGCAUUAUUUCUAGCUUUUGUCUUUCGUUAACCACAACCAUAUAAUCAGCUUAUUUUCUAUUGCCUAUCAUUUUUUUCUCACAGAGAACUUCUUUGGUGACCAUCAUGAUGCCAGAAGUAUACAUGAUGGUGGAUCACGAGAUACUUCUUUUAGGAGAACAGAUCAUGGGCCUUCCGUAUCUGUUACCAGUGGCAGUUCUAUCACUUCAGCAAAGAGGAGAUCCCCUUUGUCAAUCAACAAAAUAGCCCUAAACAAUGCUGCAAAUAUGCAUCGCUUGAAGUCUGGUGAUUGGCGUGUUGAGGUGUCAGUUCCAAAGCAGAAUAUGAUGCCAUUGGUUGAUAUUGAUGAGAAGGGGUCCAGUAAAGUCUGCAUCCUAAAAGAUGCAAAGAGAAAUGCAUAUGAAAUCGCUGAUGAAGACAGUAAGUUUGACUAUGACAUCUUGGAUGAUAAACAAGAAUGCUCCUCUGUGUCAGAAGUAGCCAGCAGGAGUUGUGAGACAAAGCAUGUCACUACUGCUCAGGAAUGUAUUGAAGAUUGUGAAUCGACACAAGUCACUGAACGAUGUCCUAGGGGUCAAGAGAGUAAGAGCAUAGAUUCAACAGUUACAGAUGUUACUGCACAUGGCACACAUAGUUGUUGUCUAAAUACCAUGAAUGAAUUGGCACUCAUUAGGAAGCAACUUCAAGAGAUGGAAAGGAAGCAAGCAAAUCUUUUUGACUUGUUGCAGGUAAUUAUCAUGUUUUGAGUAGUGAAGAUCUUGCCGAUUUGUUGUGUCUAUAUACUACAUUUACCUAAUAUGGUGUAAGCGUACAUAUUGAGUAGUGUGAUAAUGGUGUAAGUUAUAAUGCAAGGCUAUGAUUCCAGUCAUAGGAUGUAUAAUAUCUUUUAUUAACUCGCAGUUCAGCACUGUGCACUUUAUAUUCUUGUACUCCCUCCGUUUCAAAUUGUAGAUCGUUUUAGCUUUUCUAGGUUCAUAGAUGUUUGUAUGCAUCUAGACAUACACUAUAUUUAGAUGCAUACAAACAUCCAUGAACAUGGAAAAGGUAAAAUGACCUACAAUUUGGGACAGAGGGAGUAGUAGCCUACUAUAUUGUUAUGCUUCUUGAUUAUUUUUGAUUUUCAAUUUGGGACAGAGGGAGUAGUAGCCUACUAUAUUGUUAUAUGCUUCUUGAUUAUUUAUGAUUUUGUUGAACACUGGCACCCCUGAGCUGUGAAUCUGUCAUCUUAUUUUGGCAUUUUGCUUUCUGCAAACUCUGUAAGGAUGGCAAUGCAUAAUGACCAUAAGGAUAGUUAUCUUCAAAUUCUGUCAAUUUUUUUCCUAUCAUUGUGUGUCUGCAUCAUAUAGGCCAUGUGGCAUAUGCAAGUACAUAUGAAGACAUCAUGUAUGCAAUAUAAAGAAGUGGAUUCAUAUCUUUUGUCAAAUGCUCACUUCCCCCAGUUAAUUGUAGGAAUUCAUGUCCACCUCUGUGGAGAACAUGACGGUGCUAAAUUUGAAGGUGCACAAUUUGGAGAAUGCUGUAGACAAAACUGUGUAUACAAUCACUCAGAGUGAAAGCCGGUAUCAUCUUCCUGGUUCCAAGUUUUUUAAGAACCAAAGUGUUUCUUCUUCACCCAGGCUUUCUACUUCUACACCUAGAUCAUCUGUGGAUGCUAACUACAAGCCACCACCAAUUUCACACUUGAAACAUGAGAAGAAGUGGAUGCAUGAUCUACCAUCUAAGGGCUCAAACGUGUGCACUAAAGAGGGAGCUGAAUUUCCGAAGGAUCAUGUUCGCAGCAGAUUUAGGAAGCCUGAGACUGUGAGCUCAGAGAGUAACUUGGGAAGAUAUGUUCCAAGCUCAGCGAGAAGUCAAGCAUCAAUGGUUAAAGGGGCUUUGCCAGUUUCAUUUACCAGUUCCUGUGAGCAACCUGAAAUGCAAAAUGCAUUAUGUGCAUCUAACCAGUCUGGUGAAUUUCAAGGUACUGGCGAAAUCGAGCCUGAAAUCGAGCCUGCAUACAUGGAGGCCCUAAACUGUGGUGAUUAUGAUGAUCUGAUUGACCUAAUGGAUAGAACUGGACCAGUUCUUGAGAAGUUGUCGUGUGAGACAGCAAAUGAACUUCUAAGGGUUAUAACUUGCCAAUUUCUUAAUAAAAAGUUUUUUGACUUAGCGCUGCCUUGGCUUCAACAAGUAAGUCCACUAGAUUUUUUUUUACAGUAAUGCCCAAGUCUGAAAAGCUUGUGCAACUUACUCAGUCCAAAUUUGGAUUGCUUGUAUUGCUUCAGUUAGCAGAUUUAAGCACGAUCUAUAAGCCAGGCCAACUUUUUGCAUCUGUGAGAGCACAAAAGGAGUUUCUUUCUGCAUUGGAGGAAGUUGCAACAAGUGGAUCUACAGAACCAGCCAUUAGGAUUGCCAUUGCACAGCUUGCAUUUAAACUGACCAAAGCUUUUGAGGUUGGCCCAUGCAGGUAAUCUUCAUUGCGCAUUGACAGUGUCUCAUCAGUUCUACUACAUGUGAACUUCUUGUAAUACUGACAUAUCCAUUCUGGUUCUGCAGGAAAAUUUCAACUAGAGUACGCAGAGGAAAUGAAACUAUCAUGGCCACUGCAAUGUGAGAUAUUCCUCGCAAAUUGCAAUGAUGUAAUCUAGUGUAUGCUCAGGGCACGAAGCAGUGCUCUUUUUUAGAUGAAGGACAAAGCAAUGCUUUAGUGAGCUCAAUUUCUUUUUCUUGUAGCUCUACAACCUUUAUGAUGCUGUAUCUGUUUGAUUAGUGUGUGAAAGACUCAAAGGUUUCUGCAGAACGAUUGAUAGUUUGCUAGUUGAAAACAUGUGUGUUUUAGCUCUGUACUGUAGUUCUGGAAUUUGCAUUUUGCCAUUUGGCAUGACUUAAGAGUUAUGAGUAUAUGCUUGAUGCUGACAAGGUCCUACAGAUGUUGUUGGUGUUUUAUACCCAGACCCCUCGGUAGUAGAUUGGUUGGUGGGGGAUCGUCGGAUCUGGAACUCGAAAGUAAAAGUGAGGACACAAGACAUGGAUUUAUAUAGGUUCAAGCCGUCAGAGUAGCGUAAUACCCUACGUCCUGUUUGGAAUGUUGUAUCUGGUAUUCUGUUGUGGUAUUGUGGUUCUAUGAGGUCUUGAUCUACAGAUCUAGGGACCUCUGCCCUCCUUUAUAUACUCCAGGGGGUGGGAUUACUAGUCGGUUACAAGAAGGAAUUCUAGUAGGAUUACAUGGUACAAGUCAUAGUACGAUUACAUAGGAAUUCUAGUAGGAGUCCGUCUUCUUCCUUCCUUGUGAGUACUGGGGGUCUAUCUCCUAUCGAUGUUUCUUAAUCAUCUAUCACCUAGAAAUUCUAUUUACCUGCAUUUCACUCUGUCCACAGCAUCGGAUCUGUGUGCUUUACAUAUAAAAUAAUAAAAACAAGGGGUAGAAGAAUUCGGUACCAUUGCUAUAUCACUACUCACUACAAGAACAGUACCUUCUUUAAAUUAACCAACUUGUUUGUUGUCACACUAUAUCACUACUCACUACAAGAACAGUACCUUCUCUAAAUUAACAAACUUGUUUGUUGUCACACUGUUUGAGCAAUCAGACUAUGUAGUAAAGCCUUUUUCUUUUGUACAAUGGCAUCACAAGAGCUGCACAUCUAGGUUCUGUUUCAAAGUUUCAGCAAUAGGACGGCAACAAGAUGGACGCACAAGCAGAAGCAUCACCAAUCAGAGUCGUCAGUUCGCUGUGAGAUGCUGCGGAGGCCGCCCAUCCUCCUGUUGCUGGUGGUACGCUGGACACAUUGGAGCAGCGAUUGCACCACCUCUGAUAUGGACGGCCGGAAUUCUGGAUCGGACUGCAACACCACCACAAAACCAAUGUUCAGAGUUUCAGAGUUAAAGUUUGUUUUCAGGUGAUUCAUGGCCUUCAGCGUUGAAGCCGAAAGGAUUCAUCACCGAAGGAGGACCCUCUCUGCGUAUUUCGAUCAGUUCACCUGAACACAGCGACCGAGGACAUCGGCGAAGCGGGAGAGUGCUUUAGGCGGAUACAGGCCACGCAGAGCAGGAUCUGCCAGAGCUCCCAAGGCGUCGAUGUCAUGAAGCUGUGGAGUGACAAAAUUGACCAAGGACUGCUCCGUUCUAGGCUUUGAGCUGGAGUCACAAAGAACAUCAGAGGAUUAACUGCAGUCACGCUCCUGAGCAUUGCUGACAAACGCAAUGUUCCGUAGGCAAGCUUUGCCUGCCCCGGAAUCACAAAAUGUGGAGUCCAAAGUGGAAGGAGUUUUUUUUUUUCCAAUUACCUAUCGUAGGGCUUCCGACCGGUCAAUAGCUGAAGCAUGACGACACCGAAGCAGUACACAUCGCUCUUCAUAACGUAACCUGAUGACCUUGUGCACUCUGGAGGAUUGUACCCUGGUCCCAGGCUCUCACUUGUAUCCUGCAGUUGAUAUCACAUUGCCUUUACCAUCAUACUUUGUUCAUCAAAUGCAAGAAGAGACAGUCUGCAAACCUCAUAGAAGUAUGCAAGGCCACAGUCGGUGAGGCGAGGGUUAAGGUCAGCAUCAAGCAACACAUUAGAUGCCUUUAUGUUCUUGUGGAUCACUGAUGGUGAGCAGGCUUCAUGUAGGUACCUGAACAACAAGGAAUAUUAACACCUUUCUUAUGAACUCUGAACAUCACACCCCUCUGUGCCUGACGAUGUUUACAAAAUUCUGGAUCUAGGCUUAAAUGUUGCUUGUCAACUUACUCCAGAGCACUAGCUGUACCAAUAGCGAUCCACACUCGGGUGUCCCAGGUCAGUGGCUUGCUGUAAUCAUCAGACAAGUGCAGGAAGUCAUAGAUGGAUCCAUUCAUGUGGUAAUCAUAGACCAGCAUGUAGUGCCCAGGCUCUGAGCAAUAACCAACAAGCUCAGAGAUGUUUGGAUGGCGCAGCUUGGAAAUGCUGUUCACGAGAUCCAUGAAGUCGCUGCUUCCUGAGAAGCUCAAAGGAUCAAACUUCUUAACGACCAGCACCUGAAAUUCUUUUAUGAGAGACGAUAAGGACAACGGGAAUGCAAGGCAUACGAUCAAUACAGAGUGCCAACUCAAGAUCUUACUGCAGAACAUAUUUGAUGCCUAUUAUAAGAGUGGUACAUGAUACUAGUAUUAUUGGGAACAGCUGAUGAGUAGCUUAAAACAUAUUUGGACAUGAUAUAAAUUUUUAAAUUUUAGAUGCAGAAGAAUACUGAAGUUGUAUCUGCAAACAAGUUCCUUUGGCAUGGGUUUAAGAAGCAACAGUAAGAUCUUACCCUUCCAUCAGCAUAUUUUGCCUUGUAAACGCCACCAAUUAUCCCCUGACCUAGUAGCCUGGUACUAUGGAAGUUUCCAGUGGCUGCUUGCAGGUCUAACGAUGAAUAAGUCACAAGGUUGAUUGGGUCUGUGCUCCGCCUCGAAUGGUUUAGUUUGUUCUCGAACUCAUUGUCACUAAUCGACUUGCGAGGCAUUGCGGAUGGUGUCCUACUGCUUAUUGACGUAGAACGCUCCAGUGGCUUCAUGUUGACCGCUGAAGAUUCCUUUUGAACUGUAGAAAAUAAAACAAUGUGAACUAUUACAAUAAAUGUGAAAGUGUUCAUCCCUGAGAUGCCACAGAAAUCAUAUGGGAAGGAGGCCUUUCUUGAUUCAUCAUGAUUUAAUGAUGGACGCAAGGCAUAACUGUGUAAUUUUCUACUUAUAAACAUAUCAUGCACAUAAGUACCUCUGCCGUCAUUAACUAGCGGGGCAAAUGAUCUGUUGUGACCAGACUCGUCCAUGAUGUAAUGAGAUGAGGCAGGAGAGGAAUGAUUCCUCUUCAACACAGACAAGAGAAUCAGAGCUGCAAGAAGCACCCCUAUAACUAUAGCUCCGAUAAGGAGACCAUUUACUCCACUGCCACUCCCUCCACCUGAAGAGCUUCCGAGUGCAGAGCCCUUCUCCAUACCAGGGGGAGCUGAUCCAGAUGACCACUGAUUCCCUCCAAUCCUUCAGAAAGAUUCAAGGACUGUUAGAAUUCAUCAAGUGCAACAAAUAGGAUUAUAUUGGCUGGAAUUACUACUUACUGUAGAUUGUUAAUGUCUUUUAGUUUACUGGGGAUCCACCCGGUAAACUUGUUGUUCUGCAGAUUCCUUGAGCACAAAGGGGAAACCAUUAUAGCUUAGUUCUCAGAAAGACAAGUGUAUUUCAGUAAAUAUGCACAGUAUAAGUAUCCAUUACAUGCUUAAAAACUGGCAAUAGGGUUUACAUCUGUUGGCAUUUCACAAUUAGUACUGUACUGCCAUGCACAGGCACCACCACACAAACGUUUGGGUCAUCAUAUCAAAAUUGGUUUUUAAUGCAAAUGUUUACUUUGAGAUAUACUUACAGAUCCUCAAGAGGAAGUUUGGCCAGAACAUCUAUAUGACCACUGAAUUGGUUGCUCUCCACAUUCCUGGAGACAUUUUUUUGAACGGAAUAACACUGAUUGUAGAUCUUAAAGAGCAUGCAAAUUACUAGGAUGUGUAAAUUUCAGUUUCCUUACAGUGUCUUGAGGUUUCUUAGGUGCUGAAAACUCUGGGGCAGGCUACCUGAGAAGCGGUUGAAUGAGAGAUCCCUGAUAAAACAGUUGACGUUAGUCAUACAGGCCAUGAAAAAUGGGAUAUAGAAAGCUUAGUGGCUUACUACAAUAACAUCUUAGCUAAUAGAAAAUAAGUUGCUGUUUUAAUUUCCGAGAACUUAUAAUUUGCUGUUUAACUUACAAUGUUGAUAGCUUUGGAAGCUGUGAAAACAUAUCUGUCAACUGCCCAUUUAGGUGAUUCUUGCCUACAUUUCUGUGGUUCAAUAAAAAAGGAAUUGGGGUGAUUAAUGCAAACAAAAAUAAUGAUGGUGUGAAGGGAACAGAACUAAGAAGAGCAGGAGAAUUGGAGUUCAUACAGUGUUUCCAGAUCUUCCAUCUGAGAUAUUGAAUAAGGAACUCCUCCAGUAAAAGAAUUUCCAUAAAGAUUUCUGCGUCGAAAAAAUAACAGGAGAGAAUGCUUGGAUCAGCCAUGAACCCAGGAAACUGUAAAUGGACGAGAAAAGUAGGAACUCACAAUUGAACCAUGUUUGGUGGAAGCUGGUACGGAAUAUCGCCGUUGAGAUUGUUAUUGCUCGCAUCGCUGUACUACGUAAAACAAGGAAAUUCAACUAAGUUGCAUAACUACGAUGACCAGUGCAGGAAAUCGCUAGGGCAACUCACAAUUUGGUUACUGAUUUCAAGCUUGAUAGCUGAUAGCCUAGUGUGCCGCUUAAUCCAAGCCCCGACAAGUUACUGCUCUAAGCAAUAUGGUUAUAAAAGAAAACUGAAGUGAGUAGGUUGCAUUGCUAGAAAAAAAAAGGUUCUUGGAACUUUACCAAUCAUCUUCCCUCUUUUGCCCAAACAUAUUAUUUUAGACAAAUGUUGAAGGCAACUACGUACAUUUCUGUCACAGAGGAGCCGCUGCAUUCUAUUCCCUUCCACUCCUCGUCACCACCACAGGGAUCGCCGCCGCUUGAUUUCCAACCGGACAAUUGAGAUGGCUUGUUCAUGCUAUUGAACAUCACAUUAAGCGCCGCAACUGAAAUAAUGAACCAAACAAUAUACAGAAUGUUCAGAACCAUGGCUGAUAUGAUGCAUUCACAGAGGGAAGAACAAGGGCUUGCCGACCCUCACCGUCAGGCUGGUCGGUCUUGGCCACUGCGGCCGCCGCCACGGAAAGGAGGACGGCCAGCCCGACGAGCGGCGGCAGCGGCGGCAGGGGGCGCCGUCGCCGAGCCAUUGCGCGCCAAGGGGAGAACGGCGCGUCUCAGCUGAGAGCAAGCAGGAGGAGACCCCCACGCGCGCGUCGCCUGACCUCCUUCUCCUCUCUCUCAUGGACCGGUGGUGGGAAGGAGUGCUUUCCAAAAUUAGGAGACUGAGGAGGAAGAGAUGGCGAGCAGAAAUUGGAGGGAGGAAAGCGGGUGCGGCCAUUCAAGCUGCGAGAGUGGCGGGAAGCCGCUACUUUGAAGGCUCUACCUUAACGCGUCAAACCGUGUUCUGAUCAGGAAAACUAAAGAACAGCCAUAUAUUUUACUAUCGUUCAACCUAAUAACAUCCGUUGUAGUCUAGCUGGUUAGGAUACUCGGCUCUCACCCGAGAGACCCGGGUUCGAGUCCCGGCAACGGAAUAUCUUUUUGUUUUGUUUACCACCAUUUUAUACCUUUGUUUUGUUUUAUAUCACCAUUUUAUGGAUGGACGGAUCAAGUAAACACUAGCAUUUUAUACCUUUGUUUUGUUUUAUAUCACCAUUUUAUGGAUGAACGGAUCAAGCAAACACUAGCAAUUUUGAAAGCAUAUUUAGAUGAGUUUUGUAACGUUUAAAGUUCAGACUACUACCACCUUAAGAGAACAAGAACACGUCUCAAAACAUUAGUGUACAUCUCUAUUGAAAUUAAUGUAGCCAGUUAACAAUCUCAUGCCUCCUUUACUCUUCCUUUCCCUUUGUAUCCUCCAUCAAAGAACUGGACAAAACAAUGAAUGGCCUCUGGGGCCUUGAUUCUGUAUGGUGUAUCCCUCCCGAGUCACAAAACUCAUCAGCUCUAUGCAGUAAUGUGGUCGCUUAACUUUCGACCACUUGUUUCCAGGGGGAAGUACGACACGGCGACACCGGAGACCAGCAUCACCGUGAUGAAUAUCACGAUGGCUGCCGUCUGGUGGCAUGCGUGAACCAGACCAACGGCCACAAGGGGGCAUAGGAUCCCACCAAAGCGAGCAAUUGAGCUCGCAAACCCGACACCGGUGGCCCUGACUGCAGUCGGAUAAAUCUGCAGGGAACAAAACAUAGGAAUGCAACGAUCUUCAGAGGUUUGACAAAAGAGACAAAAUAUAGGCUCUUAAAGAGUAACCAGACCUCAGGGGCGUAGAUGUGCAGAACAGUGAAGCUUGCUGAGAUGCAAACCCGUGCACCGAAUAAAAAGACGGUCGUCAGAGCUUCUGUCUGAGCAAACAUAAGUGGAGCUAUGCACAGGCAACUGAUGUAAAGCAUGGAAGACAUCGAGAGUUUGCGCCCAAACUUGUCCACGAUGGCAGCAGACAGAAGGAGGCCAGGGACCUCUGCAUCAUUGUUGGCUUACAUAUGAAUAAUUUCUACGACAUUGUUUCUGAAGAUGUUUUGUUGACUAUGGGCAAUAGCACACGUACCUCCAAAGCUGGUGAUGAAUACAUUUCUAUAGAGAUUUUCAUCAUUUAUGUGGGCUGUUGUGGUCACUUCUGCUCCGCCUUCUGAUCCACAAAUCCUAUUUCCAUGAUUCAGUUCUGAUGUUAGCAGAACAAGACCAUAGUAUAAGAAUGCAUGGCCAAGAAAGACAGUCCAAAGUAGAAGACUCGAUCUGAUUAAGUUCGGAGAUAGAAGCUUCAAAAUGGCAUUGAGACCUCCAAUCUCAGAUUUGCUAGCAAGAUCACCAGUAUUAUUUUUCUUAGUUGUUACCAAUUGUGCCGUUUCUGAGGAAUCCCCCAUCUCAUGAAGCUCUGUCCGAUGGCCAGAGACAAGUCGACCAGAGGGAAGAGUAACACGGUUCACUCGCGCCAUUGUUUCCAAAACAUGAACUGCUUCAGCUAUUCUACCCUUCAUGCAUAGAUAUCUUGGUGACUCCAGUGUCACUGGAUAGAAGAGUAGUAGAGCAAAUGAUGGCAACGAUGAAAGUGCCAGCAGCCACCUCCAGCCAAAAGCUGGCAUAACAGCCUGGAAAUUAAGCAGAUAAGUAAAGAAAAAUACAUGGAGAUUUCGGAAAUAGCAAUAGUCACAUCAAAAUGAACAUGCAUGUCAUUUCACCACUUUAUGCCAGCAUAGUGCCAUUAGGUUAUAUACUAUAUAUAUUACCAUGGAUGCUAAUGUUCACUUCAUUAGAACUACGUAUGAGUGAAAGACCACAGCACAAUGACCUGAUUAAUUACACAAGAAGACCAAUGUGGUGGCUAAACUUGCCCAAAUAUGAAAGACAAGCAGUUUUGCUGUUCCAUAGGAUUCAAUGGUAUAUACUACUCUUGAAUUACAAUUGCUGCAAUAAGGACAGCAGAAGAUAUUAUGGGCAAAGGGCACCUGGGCCCAGAAGGCCCAGCAGCCGUGGCCCACAAGGCCCUGUGGUACCAUUCAUGCAUGAACGCGGGUACUUUAGCGUGCGCCAAUGGGUCAGCCUGAAGUUUUUUUCUCUCUGCCUCUCUUCUUUGUACACGUAGUGUUCAUCAAGCACCUUCCCCUUUCUCUUCCUUUGAUUCUCCUCCUAAUUCCCCAAUUCUAUCCUCUAAUCUAUCCCCAGUCUGACCCAAAAAAAAAAUCUAUCCCCAAUCCCCCUCCAGUAAUCCAAGACUCGAACAGAAGAACAUCUGCACGUGGAGCUGUAAUGUGCAUCCAGUGCCCGCAGAUUAGCACACCUGCUAGCCUGAGCUGGUAGCUUGACAAGCCUAGUUAGUGUCGUUCAUUUGUUUGUGGCGCAUCAAUUUAUUUGAAUCAAGGACCCACUCCACUCUUCCCUUCCCCUCAGCUCUCUCCUUUAAUCUUGUACUUGGACCAGUUCUAUUCGUAAUAAUGGAACAAUAUGCAGUUCUCUCGCGUGCUAGAGAAAAAAAGGACAUCUGCACUGAGCAGUCAAGAUGUCAUGCUAUGCAGCUAGAAUGUAACACCCACUGUAGCGUUUACACACAACCCCAAUAUUUCAGAACUAUCUGAUAUUACUUUCUGUUGAGCCAGCUAAAAAUAUCUCUCAAACAUCUAGUAUUAUACAUAAGGCAACUUGGAAACACUGAUCUUACUUUUGCUAAAGAUAUUAACUUACCCAAGCAAGAGAAGCUUCCAGUAUCGUGCCAACGGUCCAAAAUGCCGAGAACAUAACCAUCCAAGUUCCUCGGUUAGGAGCAGGGAUGAACUCUAGGAACCAAGAACCUAGAACUGGCCCACCACCCAGUCCGACCCCGACCAUAAAUCUCAGUACAAUCAAAGAUAAGUAAUUUGGAGCAAACGCGCUAAGAAGACCAGCCCCACCAGUUACAAUGGCUGUGAAGUUGAACCCAACCCUGUAGAGAAGUACAAAGGGUCUAGAUUAGAAUGAGACAAAAUUCACAUGUUGGAAAAUAGGAAACUGUCUCUGAUAAAAUGCAGAGAUGGGAAAAAACAGGGCAUUCAAGGAUUAGAACUAAAUCCAAAAGCUUAAACAUGGAGCGGUAAAGUGCCUAGCUUAAGCUUCCUAGCAUGUCCUCCUACAAACAUCGCCAUGAAGACUGUCAUUGCAAUUUUUUAAGGUUAGAACACUCAAUAAAAUCUCAAUAGUCAAUGGAAAAAGGAUGUAAGGAACCUGCCUUCUUCCAUAGUUAUCCGAAACUAUGCCCCAAGCAUAUGCUCCUACAAGCAUCCCCACGAAGACAACACUUGUUAUAAGACUUUCUGCCUGUGCAGAAAGCUCCCACUCAGCUUGAACCGAUUGCCCAACAAAUGACAAAAGCAUCAUUUCCAUUGCUUCAGAGAUUUUAGCCAUCCCGGAGUAUGCAAGCACGAAGGCAUGGAAUUUUCCAAACCCCAUGAACACAAGUGCCUCAUCCACAGUAUAAGUAGAUACUCCAUCCUCCAUCUGAAAUAAGCAAGCAAAAAUGAAGAAAAUAUUCAUUCAUCGAGUUUUCACUUUCAAGCGCAAGGACAACAUAUCAAGUCUGAUGUGGGGAUAGGUGAUGUGGACUAAGCUUUGCGAAAAUAACUGAGGACCACAGUUUUACUGCUCACUGGUAAAUAACUCUCUCUAUAGUCUAUACAGAUCGAAUGAUAAACAUGAAGUAAAACUUUCCCUGUUGCAUAGCAUCUGAUAUUCACAGUGACAGAGAUCCUCAUCUUGAUCAACCUAGCACUGCUUCACAAAAACAGGGUAACAAUGUGGACCAAAUUAACUUCCGAAUAACCUAAACGUUCAGCACAUCAAAAUAAAGCAUAUUUCCAACUGAAGAACAAACAACUGGUCAACUAAACAACGUGUGUCCCCUACCCAGGGAGAGGAAAAAAGAAAAGAGAAAUCUGCACCACCGAAUCGGGGAAUAAAUUGCACCGAGGACUCCCAUUACCAAAUCAAGGACCAAUCCCCCAAAAACCAGCUAGUCGCAAAGAAUCCACUGAAUCACAGCAGUCCCGUACCGGAGAGGGAGAAACCAAAUCAAGAAUGGCAGCCCGCGCAGCGGAAGAGGGGCGGAUGGGAUCAGCGGACUCGCCAAUCUAGCAAGCAGGUCACGGGGAAGGCAUGAAUGGAGGGGCUGGAUCGCUAGGGCUAUGGAGAAGGGGUGAGAGGCGGGAUUGGUAGGUGAGGUGUACCUCGUCGGAGCCGGCGGCGUGACGAGCGCGGCGCCUCCGACUCUCCGGGAACGUAUCGAGGGCGGGGCGGCGACGACGGCGACGACUGACCGACUGACUGGGGCGGCCCACUUCUUUUAGAUGGGUCGCUUUACAUCUUAGUACCUCACGAACCGCUUAAUUUUUCGGUCCCCAUGUUAGAAGAAGCCCUUUUUUGUUGGAUUUCUUGGUGAGAGUUGGUGUAACAUCCACAAAUCUUGGGUCUCACACAAAGAAAAGGCUUACUCAAUCUCAGAAGAUAUAUGCAUUUUAUAAAUAUUUUUUAUUUGAGUAUGGCUAAUGAUUCAUAGUCAUUUAUGGAACCGAAUAUGUGUAGAGUAUAAAUACAUUUUCUCAUUAUAUAGCAAUAAAUGCAUUCUUUUUAUAGGGUGUAUUUGGAUUUGAAUGAUUUGCUAAAGGGAUGGUUUGGCUAUUGCUUUACAAUAUAGUAUUGUUGGCUACAUAAUGAAUACGGAGUAUUGCGUAAAAAGAUCUAUGGGAUAUGAAUCUAUUGAUACACUUUUAAAUGCUAACAUACCUGUACGUACUUUGACCAAUUGCUGGAGAAGAUUUAGGAAGUUUGAUCCUUUUCAAAUCUUAAUACAUCCUAUAAAAAAUAAAAUGAGGUGUUAGUUGAUUUUUAUUAUUUGAACCGCGCGGUACAAAUAAUAGAUAUAUAGCGUUCUUCAAUUUUGGAAGACGAGAGAAAAUGCAAUGCAAGGACCUCUUGCCCGGCCCUGAAAAAUAAAGGGGAAACCAAAGCUUGCGUUUUGUGGCUUUUGCGAAGAACUCCUUCCUGCGUGCCGUUUGGAGCACGGGCCGGAUGUCAAUAAUCAACAGAGCGAAAGAUCGUUAGCAGUACGCUGUACUGGUCAUCGUCGUUGACUUGUCUUGCAAACCUUAUUAAUUUCCCCCACGAAAAUUUGCAGAAAAUCACAGAUCGUACGCAUUCCUGAUUGGAUGGCUAGUCAGCCACACGCGUAGUACGUCAGUUACCUGACGUUUGGACACUGGGCAAGCGCAAACCGGGUCACGCAUCGUCCGGCGCCCCCUCAACGUAACCCGGCCCAGCUCGCGGCGCAGCAGAGCGAAUCAAAUGGCUGGAGCACCGGCCGCAUCUGCCCCGGCCAGGUAACAGCUCCCUGGCGCACGCCGUUGGGCCUUCCUCUCCUGCUAUGUGUUUUCAGUUCCAGCUAGCGGCGCCGGCGCGCGCGGGUGAAUAGCAUUAGAAGACUAGAGUAUUAGAUGCGCCACGCCAUUUCCAUGACGCCAACCGAACCGAAAACCCAGUCGCCGGCCGCCUCAUCUUGCUCGCCACCGCGUUCGCACGGCAGCACGUAGAUAUAUAUAGCGCCGCGCCGUUGCUUGCUUGCAUUGCCCCCGGGCGAGCCUGCCGCACGCAGCCUAUGACGAAUAUCCAGGCGCCGGCCGGCUGAUCAAUUAGCUAAUAGUGACUGAUCGACCACCAUGCGGUCGUCGUCAUCGUCGUCGUCGACGACGUCGCGGCUGCUGCUCGUGGUGGGGGCGGCGGCGGCGUCGGGCGUGUGCUGCCUGGCGUUGGUGCUGGCGGUGGGCGGCGCGUGCACGGACGGCGGCGUCGCGGUGCAUGGUGGGCGGCCACGCCCACCGUCGUUGUCCUUGGUGGACUACUCCCUGGCGGCGGCCGCGCGCGUGAACGACUACCCUGCCGGCGUGGGCGGAGGCGGCGGCCGUGAUCUGGCCGGCGGUGCGGCGGCGGCGGCGGAGCAAGACUACGGGUUCGUGGAUCCGACACCAGACACGCGCCGCCGCGGGGGAACCGCGCCGAUUCCACACAACUGACCAGUGAUCGACGAUCGGUCCACGGUGUACCGUAUAUAGAGGUAAACCGUAAACGUAUAGUAUAUAGCAGCUUCCUUCUUCCUCUGCAGUAUACGCUUAUACUGUACUCUAUGGCAAUGAUCAUGUGUACCGAGCAAGAAUAUACUUGUAGUCACUGCCGCCCGGCUCCUCUGCAUGUAUAUGUAAUCAUGCCAUGCAAAAAUAUUUACUCGCAGACGAUGACGAAAUGAAACGAUAGACCCGGCCCGGACAGAACUUUGCAUGAAUGAUCCCUAGUCGGCUAGUCCUAGCCCUAGGCCAUCCGUGCAGACGGGAAAUGGUGAGAGUGCGAGGCACAUGAGCAGGAGGUCCGGGUCUCCGGAGGCCGUCGAGCCGCUGUUGACGCACCCGGAGCUGUUGGCACGCUCCGGCGCCGACCAUGCUCGCCAAGUUACCAACACCAUCGCACAAUCCCGCCUCUGCGGUGCUCACCCGCAACAACGGCGCCUAGCCCGUCGACGAGCAAAUCGGCGAGGGGCUCACGAUUGUCCGCGACGUGUUCCCGGCUCCCCUGGGAUACGGCGGCUGCAGCCGCGCCGGGGCGGCUGGAUGCCGGCCGGGGACGCGCAGCAGAAGCGGCUCGCGUUCCAGGCGUGCGCUGCGACAUAACUCUAACAGACCGAGAUGUCGACACGGGACGAACCCACUGAGGUAGCCGCGGCGUGCUCUCAGUCUGAGGCGCCCCCGCACCAUGGCGUGCUCCGACCUCUGAGGCGCCCAGCAUGCGGGCGGCGCGCGGCGCGCUGCGGCCGCCGACCGGUGACCCGCGCGGACUUGGACGAGCGAGGAAAAGGUGGGAAGGGGCCCGUUUUGCGAUUGCACUCGUCGAUCUCGGCCACUCAAGUCCGAUCCAACGGUUAGUACAGAACCUAGGGGUGGACGGUAUUUGAUUUACCCGCCUGGCCGCCAUCGUCGGUGGCAAAAUGACGCCGUCGCGACCUCCGCCACGUGAUAAUUAAAGCGCGGAGGAAGGAGGCCGUCGAGCCGUCGAGCUGCUAGGGUGGACGGUAUUUGAUUUACCGUCCACCUCUGGGUCUCGGCUCCCGGGCGCGCUCGCGUCGCUGGCGACCUCACCGGGCUCGUCGGCGACAGCCACGCCUUCGUGGCCUUCGCCGCUAGCUCCGCGGGCGUUCUGCUGCACAUGGUCACGGAUGCGCUCGCCGGCGUGCUGUCCCGUGGACGUCGGCUCGGCCGUGUCGCGCCUUGUCAUCGCGGACGACGUCCAGGCGCUCCCGGACGCACUCGUCGAUUUGGUGUACGAUUUCAAGCAAGAAAAAAGUAGUGAAGUACCGAUUCCUUUGUUAAAUCAACAGAAUAAUCAUCAUACCAUAUCAUUGAUAACUUGCAUGUGCAUUACAUUUGUUUUCCUCUUAGUCGAUCACUCGAUCUACGAGACCAAGAAACAGUUACGAGACUCGGAAAAGAAAAUCAGAUCAGAAGCACGUGACGCCUGCAGAAGAAACGGCGAUGUGCCCUCAAAAACAAAAAGAAAAAGAAACGGAUCUUGUGCUUGAAGCCUCCGUCUUCUAUGUCCACCUUGGUGAGCUUGGCGCGGUGAUCGUCGUCCACUCCGCGGCCGCCGCCCGCUUCUUGAUCUUGGCCUCCUCCGCGGCUUCAUCCGCGGCCGCCAUGCCGAUGAGAUGACGCACCUGCUCCAUGACGGUGGCCAGCCCCGGGACGUGCUGCUCGAGCAGUUUCAGGGUGUCGGGGCCGUCGCCCUCCAGCGCGGCCACCAUCUCCCGCAGCUCCCGCGGCGAUCGCGCCGCCAGGUACCGCGUGAUGGAGUCGAGUGGCGGCGUCCCAGCAACGAGGGACGCGGCGUGGAUGGCGUCCUCCAGGCCGACGGCCUCGUCGUCGCCCCUGUAGCGGCGGCGCCGGCCGGCGAGGCCGACGCGGAGCUCGCGGCCGCGCAGGGGGUGGGCGUUGAGGUUGUGGCAGGCGCUGCACGCCGUCUCGUCGUCGGGGUACUCCACGAAGGCGUACCCCUUGCGCUUGCCGGUGGCCGGGUCGGCGGCGAGGCGCAGGGAGCGGAUGGGGCCGAUCAGCUCGCAGGCGUCGCGGAGCUCCUUCUCGGAGGCGUGGAACGGGAUGUUGCCGACGAACACGACGCGGCUGCAGCGGCAGUUGGCUGCGGCGGCCGCCAGGGACAGGGAAGUAGACAUGCUGCCGUCCAUGCGUGGAUCGAUCGAUGGAUGGUGCGGGGAGGAGAGCGAGCGAGCGCACGCGCUCGCUUAUAAUUUAUAAAGCCAGGCAGCUGGCGAGUCGAGUCGGAGUCCGCCCGAGAGUGAAUGGCCAUCGCAAACCCCCCGCCUCUGCGGCGGCGGUGUUCACCCGCGUCAACGGCGCCUAGCCCGUCGACAAGCAACUCAGUGACGUGUUCCGGCUCGCCUACGAUACGCCGGCUGCAGCCGCGCCGGGGCGGCUUGCUGCCGGGGACGCGCAGCAGAAGUGGCUCGCGUUCCAGCCGUGCGCUGCGACAUAACAGACCGCGACGUCGACACGGCACGACACGGGAGGAACCCACCAAGAUCGCCGCGGCGUGCUCCCACCGGGCCGGCAUGCGGGCAGCGCGCGGCGCGGCCGCCGACCGGUGCGAGGGCGACCCGCGCGGACUUGGACAAGCGAGGAAAGGUGGGGAAGGGGCCCUUUUUGCAAUUGUGCUUGUCAAUCUCGGCCGGUCAAGUCCGAUCCAGCGGUUAAUAUAGGACCAGGGGUGGACGGUAUUUGAUUUACCGUCCGCCCCUGGGUGGUCCGCUGCCCACCUGGCCGCUAUCGUCGACGGCAAAUCCCGCCUCGUGCUCCUUUGUACGGCUCCUCCGACCCGGAACGGGAAGUCAAUGCUCGCCAAGGCUCUCUCCCACGAUACGGCGGCGGGAUUCAGGAGCCUUCAUUUGCGAUGUGGUCGUUGUCGCGGUGGCGCGGUUCGACGCCGACGGCGAGGUGCGGCGCGUUUCUCGCCGCGACUGGACGGCGCAUUCAGGCGCAACGCGGACCUGGCGGCGUGGCAAGACAGAAAGAGCGCCGCCGAGAUCGCCGCGGUUCGUUUCGAGGAGUCGGCAUGAGGCGGUGCGCGCGGCGACAGGCGACCCGCGCCGAGCCAGCAGGUUGGGAACGGGGCUCUUUUCCUUUGCAACAGCCGAUCCCACCCGCUCAAGCCCGAUCCGACGGUCGCGAGGGACGCAGGGGUUGGACGGUAUUUCAUUUACCGUCCACCAUGGGGUGCCUCGGCUCCCUGGCGCGCUCGCCUCGCUCUCGCUGGCGAUCCCACCGGGCUCGUUGGCGACAGAACACGCCUUCGUGGCCUUCGCCGCUAGCUUCUCGACACUUUCUUCGGGCAUCUUCUGCUGCACAGGAUCUCGGACGCGCUCGUCGGCGUGCUGCCCCGUGGACGUCGGCUCGGCCGUGUCACGCACACCUUGUCAUGCAGCUAGCAACGUUGUGCUGCUGCACACCGAGCUGGCGCGCGCGUCGGCCCGCAUCGUGCUCCUUUAUUAUUCUUGCCGCGGUUCGACGCCGACGGCGAGGUGCGGCGCGUGCUGAUGGACCUACUCGCCGCGGACACCUGGGCGGCGUUCCAAGGCAAAGUGGUCGACGUGCUCGUGAUCGUGGCUGCGAUCAUCCGUGCGGACGCGCUGGACCCAGCGUUGCUGCAGGCCUGCAGCCGGGGGCCGUGUCACGCAUUGUCAUGCAGUACAUCAACAUUGUGCUGCCGACUGCUGUACACAGAACUGGCGCGCGCGUCGGCAAGGCGCCGCGCCGCCCGCGUCGUGCUCCUUUAUUCUCGCCGCAGCAGGACAAGCUGGCGCCCAGGACCUCCGUUCUCCAAGCCUGUGGUUUGACGGCGGCGCGGCGGACAAGUUGCGCGUGCGCGGGGGCAUGGCAACGAGCCGCGAGGACACGCUGGACCGCAGCGUACGCGGCGAGGAUGAGCCUGGAUAGAAUAUAGAUCAAUCUGGAGCCGCGUCCUCGUCGGUCCUCGUCGCCCGGACUCCCAGAGGUCGCUUGUGUUGUGUGUGCUCCUGCUUGCAAACCCACCAACUUUCCGGCCGGCCCAUUGGGAAUGGCAGCCCAGCCGCCGGCAGCAUGUGAGCGGCCCGUGCGCCUAUGUAUGUUAACGCGCCUAGCACAAGGGGGCGGCCAACAUUUCAGGUGAUGCGGGGGAGAACAAAUCAACUGUCUUUGCACUGCCACAAUUAAGGUUCUGUUUGGGAAGGGGUGUUAAAGUUUAACACCCCAUUUUUCAUAAACAUGUGGAGGGGGUGUUAAAACUUGCUAAAGAUGUUAAAAGUGGUCCCCCUCUUCACUUUUUCCCAGGUUACCCCUUCUUUCUCCUCCCUCUCUCUCCGCCGGCCAUAAAUGAGGAGGCAAUGGAGUCAUUUUCCACCAAAGGUGUUAAAGUUUAACACAUCAUCCAAACACCCCAAUGUGUUAAACUUUAGCACUCUAUUUGAGAGUGUUAAAAUUUUAAUACUUGUUAAAUUUUAACGCAGGGUAUCCAAACAGGCUCUAAUCCUGGUAACGGGCCGGCCGUAAGGUCUCCAAACUCAUGAGCUGUGAUUUACGAAUCCUAUAUAGGCUCUUGUAGAGAAGGAGCGAAUCGAAUCAGACUACUUGUUAAAAGGGUUAUAUUAUAGCUGUGGCUCGAGCCCAACAUGUGGAUCGUGAGAAGGACCUAAUCGAAUCGGACUGCUUGUUAAAAGGAUUGGAUUGUAGCUGUGGCUCGAGCCCAACAUGUGGAUCGUGAGUUAUAGGGCUGGCCUGCGGAUCGCCCACAAUUAACAACAACAGGUACGGUGGACUGUAAAGCCCAAAACAUCACUUUAUUCGUCUCGUCUCAAGCGACGGCUGCUUCUUUGUACUACUACUACUGUUAGCAGAAAGACAGCUAGCACAUUACGUACUUACACUUACACAUGGUCAAUCGGUAAGAUACAAAUGUUUUCCAGGAUACAAUGCGGCACCAUGUACGUGCGCAUCAUUUAUUUAAUUUUAUCUUAUCUCAUUUUCGUUAAGUACUUCCUCCGUUUCAAAUUAUACGUCGUUUGGCUUUUCUAGAUGUAUAAUAUUAUUAUGCAUAUAGACAUAGAGCAUAUCUAAAUACAUAACAAAGUUUAUAAAUUUAAGAAUGUCAAAACGACCUAUAAUUUGGAACAAAGUGAGUAGUAGUAUGGUCUAGGUACGUGGCACACAUGCUGGAUCUCGAUUAGGUAGAGAUGAAUAGGUUUUCAGGCUUUGCCAUCUUUCUCCCCACGGGAAAUCUUGAGAACAAUCGGGAAUCUAAGAAUGUUAAAACGACCUAUAAUUUGGAACGGAGUGAGCGGUAGUAUGGUCUAGGUACAUGGCACACAUGCUAGAUCUCGAUUAGGUAGAGAUGAAUAGGUUUUCAGGCUCUGCCGUCUUUCUCCCCGCGGGAAAUCUUGAGAACAGCCGGGAUGUGGGUGUCCAGCAAAUACAAUUCCCAAUUGACGCAGUUGGGAUCGAAGUUACAUAUGUAGCCGUCACCCUGGCUGGCGCCUGACGUCCUCCACAGCUUCCUGAGGUUCGUGUCAUCAAAGCUUCACAAAGAAUCAAUGUAAGAGAGGGCAAAAAGUUAAUCAGUACUCUCGCAAGUAAUCCAAGGACUCAUCCGAAACACUUUCCUUAAUUUUCUUAACAAUGGAGGAAGUGUAUGUUGAGCUGCUGUUUAAAUUUGUUUGUGGGAUUGAUUAACCUUCUUUUUGUUGGAAAUUUUUCAUUGCUGCACCGCGUGACAAGAUUUUGCAUAUUCUAUUUGUAACCUUUUGAAAGAUGCAAUGUACUGUAUAAGCGUAGGUUCAGGCUUUAUCGACCUAUAUUCAAAUUAACGUGUAAAUUAAAACGGAACCACAAUACACUAUUAGAACAAAAGAUGUUUUAGAAUAACUUUCCUAAAUCUCACCAUGCCUUGAAGAAGGCAAACGGGGCAUACAACUUGGCCAGAAUCAUGAAGUAGUUGUAAUUUCGGUUGAUCAGCUUGUUGUGGAACUCCGUGAACAACCCACCAAGUACUAAGUUCACCAGCACGAGCAGCUCGAUGAAAUGUUGUUUGUUCGUGGCGUGCGUGUUCGUUGCCGCCGAGAUUGAGGAGUGCCGACGCCGUCGCAGUUCGACGCCGACGGCUACGAUUAUUCCUGCCCAGCGUCCAACUUCGAGAUUGAGCUGCUCGUGCUGCCCACGCCGUGGUGGUGCAUUGGCGCUUCAGCUUCAUCCCCUGCAUCUCCUCGCAGCUCCACCCGCAUGGCGGCGCCGGCACCCAGCUCACCCGAGGUUUGCUGCGGCAGGGUCCGCUGUGGCUGUUCUCAUGAUGCACGAAUUUCUCCCCAAUCAUCCGCAGCACGUCCGACACCCCAAUCUCGCAAAAUCCAACGAAAAUAAAUCCCUGUCGGUGGCGGUACGUUAUUAGAAAAUAAUAAAAAAAAGACUUGCUCAAGAAAUAAAUGUGACACUCGCUAGUGAAUGGGAUAGGUAACAUGGCCAUCGAUGACUCCCGUCCUGGCACGUACGUAUAGCUAGUAACAUCGGUUGCGCACAGCGCACGUAUUCUCUCCUUUUACUUCCAAGUGUAUACAAACGGCAAGAAUGGAACUCGGGCGCACACGGCAGGUAAUUAAACAUAUAUGGGGAAGGACGAAGGACACGAGGUACUAAUGUUUUAUGUGCUGAAACAACUCGAGUAAAGCACAAACAUGCAAGUAGGAUAUCAUCUUUUAUUUUAUUCUAUAUCUUUUUCCUUUUGUUUUACAACCAUGUCCUUGGUACAUACCGUUUAUACUUCAUAUCUAAAAAUAGCUCGAUUUAGAAGGUAACGCUUGUAAAGUACAAUAUAAAUUGUUUAUACUACCUCCGUUCAUUUAUAUAUGACGCUGGCUUGCUCAAAUUUAAACUGAUCAACGUCAUAUAUAAAUGAAUUAAGGAAUAUAUAAGUAGCUAGGUUUAUUCAAGCCUUUGCAUGAGUUUUCCACCCAACCACCGCCAUAUAGUGCAAUAUCAUGAUAGCAAGGACCUCCUUCGCGCAAAGAUCAACCGAUACAUAUCAUGCAGUGCCUUCUUUCUUCAUGUGGGCUGCCACCUUGAGAACAGCCGGGAUGUGGGUGUUGAACAUAUACAUUCUCCAGUUGAUGCAAUUGGGAUCAAAGUUGAACACGGAUCCAUCACCAUGCCCUUUCCCUGUCGUCCCCCGCAGCAUUCUCAGGUUCGUGUCGUCAAAGCUUCACACAUAGAUUCAAUCAGGAGAAAAAGAAAUACAACUAUCAUUACAGGUGGUGUACGAUAUACAUAGAGAUGGAUGUGUUGAACGUCUGUCUAUUCAAGUACCUUUUUUUGAGUCGGACCUUAGUCCUGCGUCUAAAUAAUGGACAGCUGCGUGUAAUAAUGGACAGGUAUAUGCAUCAAUCGAUCGAUGCAGAGGCUAAGAAAAUAUGAUACAGAGAGAAUCACUGCAUGGGCAUCGAUCUCUCUUAGUACUGCUUAUAUUUGCUAUGUUAACUGCUGUAUAGAUUUUUCUUUUGCUGGCAUGCUUCAUGUAUGCCUAGGGAUAAUAGUUAUUUGCAAACUGUUUUAAUGAUCCGAUUGCAUCUGCAACGAUUAAACAUGUAGCUGUUCAAAUCGUGAGCGAUUGCAACGCGAUGGUGUGUAUAUAAGGUGAUAUCCACUCCUGAAAACUCAGAUAUGCUCUACGCAGUACAUCUCAACUUAAUCAUCAGGUCAUAUUCAAAUCUAAGCCGAAUGAACUACGAAGAGGAAAAAUGAUAAUAAGAUAGUUUGUAAAGCUCACCAUCCCUUGAAGAAGACGUAUGGGGCAUAAAGCUUGGCCAUAAAUAUCAAGCAAUUCAAGCUCCUGUUGAGUUUAUUGUGAUACUCUGUGAAGCGCCCACAAAGUAAUAGACGAUUCGCUAGAUAAAGCACCUAAGAUAUUUCCAAGUGAUCACCACAUGAGCUAAAUGGAGCAGGGUAUUAAAUUGUGUUCAAAAUUAACCCUAUACAAGAAAGAGAAAUGAGCACCUGGAGUCGUGUCUUGUAUGCUAGAACCAUAUAUGCAUGGAAAUAUGCAUAUCUACUGAACAGCAUAGGCCUUUCAUGUUGAAUGGUCCUCUUGUCGUCCCCCACACGAGGAUUGAUCAAGCAGUACCCAUAUACUGAUUCCUCUAGAAGAUUGCAUGACAGUGGAUUUUGGAGUGCUGAGGUCACAUGGUAGACUACUUGAGUUCCCGAACAGUCGUAGUGAGUGGCCAUGGCUACCAUUGUAGCAUUAACCACCAUGUCUCCCGGUAUCUGUCAAAUUUAAGCAUGCAUUUUCUUGGGAUUAUUAAGUUUACAUACAACAAUAUAUAUAUUGUUGUAAUUAUUGAAUUUCCUGUUCUAACAUGUUGCAGAUAUAUGAUGAUCACCGACCGAAUCAAGUACGUGACCGCCUAUGAAACACGGAAGUUUUUGCUCGUAGGAAGCAGCAAUCAUAACAUCCAUUGUCCUGCAACCAAAAAUAGUAGCAUGUAGUGGAAAUCGUUCGACAUACUUUACUUACUAAUUAUUUUUUGCUUGGGAUUUUUUUUAUUUUUCUCCCCACCGGUGGGGGAAAAUUGGAUCCAUUGUUUUCUUGAAUAUGCACAUAACUUGAAUCUGGAAUUAUGUGAUCGAGCCCGUAAAUGUGUGUAUACAAUAUAAAUCUUGCCCCCACCCACAAAAAAAACAAAAAA